rnacentral:lncRNA from 1 species
CAUAAAGAUUAAAGGUUUUCAGACAUUUCAUAUGAAUGCAGCUUGGAAGACUCUUAAGUUCCUUGCAAUCUCUUAGGUUUAAAUGAAUCAACCCCGUGAGAUUAUUAAUUGACUCGGACAGUUCUUUAAUUUUGGACUUGGAUAAAUUAAGCUCUUGUAACUCCUCCAUACCUUCUGAAAUCUCUGGAAACAUCUCAAGGCUCACGCAGCCAAAAAGAUCAAGAGUUUUGAGAGAUUGCAUACGAAUUUUGCAGGGUAGAAUCUUAAGUUUUUCGCACCCUUUCAGAUCCAAUAAAACAAGUUUUGUAAGAUUCGAAAUAGAUGGGUGAACCUUAACUAACCCUCCACAACCAUGAAGAAUUAGCCUCUCAAGAUUUGGCACAUUUGUGAAGUCAGGGGUUUCCUUAAGGUAUGAACAAUAACUUAAAUUGAUGAAUUUCAACUUUUCCUGCGUCUGUUAAAACAUUCAGGAAAACAUGCAUUACUUAAUAAGACAUCUCACUCAAAGCCCAAACAUUUAAAAGAAACAAAUACAUGUAAAUGAUUGCACAUACCUGGGUUCCUUCCCAAAGUCGGUCAAUGUGGCUAUAUUGCAUGUCAAGUCCAACAAGAUUUUCGAAUUGAAAGUUGGAUGGCAAAGACUUGAGCGGGAAACAAGACCAGGAAAGAAACCUCAACUCACUAGAAACAAACUUUAAGGACCCAGUCAGGUGUUGUAUGCUGAAAGUACCGAUCUUGAGAAGUCUUAGUUUAGUCAUCCUAUCAAAAGCUUUAACAAUUAAGCAUCCCUCAUAUGAGUGCCCCAAAUCUAGGAUUAUGCUUUUAACUGUUUCUGUACCCUGUGCAAAUCAAAGGGAAGGAAAAAGCAGAGAACCUUAGUUUAGAUUAUGAAGUUAAUGGUUGUUUCUUAAGGAGUUGUUUGAUAAUAAUUUUGUUUUCACUUUUCACUUUUGUUUUGAUUAUUUAUUUAGAAAUCUGAAAAUUGAAAACAUAUAACUUGUUUGUAAUUGUUUUCAAUUUUCAAUUAUUAAAAAAAUGAAAAUUAAAAAUUAAAAAUGGAAACAAAAGUGGUUAUCAAACGAGCUUAAGAAAUUGAUUUUGGUCAAAAGUUGAAGCUUUCUACUAAACAUUGCAUAAGAAGAGAAAUUAUCACCGUAUUUUUAGUUAUCACAUGAAGAACAUCUUCAUAACUCCACAACCUACUUCGUUUCCCAGGCUCUUCGAUAGAUUCUUGCUGGACGAUUUUCCGACCCAUUUCCUCUAGUAAAUCAUGCAUCUCCAGUUCCCCCUUCCAUGAGACAGUUACUAGAGCUCGAUCGAUUAAAACUUUUAUUCCAAUAUCAGGAUAGGAACCACAGCUGUGCAGAACUUCGGUUGCAUAGUCUUUUCUCAUUCCUUUAAAGAAACAUGCAAUAUCUAGAAAGAUAUCCUUCUCCGUGUCAUCUAGUCCAUCGAAGCUUGUUUUAAGCACAUCAUGAAUUCCCUUUUGCGGGAUUUUCUUUAUUUUUUCUAACUCAUUUUCCCACUGGCGUACAUUUUUGUUAUCAAGAAAAGCUCCCAAGACUUUGAGUGCUAAAGGCAGACCUUGAGCAUAUUUUACAGCACGCCUCGAGAGAUCAUCAUAAUCUCUGUUGGGUUGGUUUUUUCUAAAGGCGUACCGCCUAAAGAGUUCCAGAGCUCCAUUAUCACUUAAAAUCUUGGGAUUAUAUAUCUCAUCAGCUAUGCUUAGUAAUUGCGAAUCUCUGGUUGUUAUAAUAAUUCUGCUUCCACCACCAAAGGAAUGUGGUUCUUUAAGUAAAGCUUCAAUUUGUUCUAAUUCUUCCACAUCAUCAACAACAAUAAGAACUUUUCUCCGACCUAGGCUAUUUAACACCACCUGGAAACCUUUAUUCGAAACGUCGGAACUCCCCACCUUGUUGUUCGAGAUACUCGAUAGAAGUUCUGCCUGCAUAUAUAGUUUGCCAUGCUUUAUGAAACCUUCCUUGAAAUUUUCAAGAAAGCAACAAGCUUUAAAUCCACCAGAGAUUUCAUCAUAAACAGCUCUAGCGAUGGUUGUUUUGCCUAAACCACCCAUACCCCAUAUUCCAACAAUGCGAACAUCAUUAGUUUCAACUCCAGGAGGAUACAAUAAUGAAUGCAUGUUAUGCAUAUGAGAGUCCAUUUCAACCAAGCCAUUAUCUUUGCUUGAUGAUGAUGAGAUGUGGAUCAAUUUCUUAAAAACAUCUUCUACAAUUUUCUCAAUAAGCUCUGCAUCAUCCCUGUCAAAUUUAAAAAACAAUAUAAUAACACCACCAAAUAAUACUUAAUGGGUCUUUUUCAUCUGUUAGUUUAAAAAAAAUAGAAAUUAAAACUAAAACUAAAAUCUAAACGUUAUAAAAAUCCCAAAAAUUAAUAGGAAACUAAAACAAAUUAGAAUUUACUCAUAUUUCGCGAAUCCCAGCCGGAUAAACUGGUGGCAAUUGUAAGAGCGGAUCUCCAGCUCUGAACCUCUUCCAUUUCAGCGUUAGAAUCACGAUCGUGCUGAGCAAAAGCUUCCUCGAAUUUUCUCUUGAGUUUACGAACGUCAGACGGAUCAACUUCAUAGAAAAUGGGGAGUACAAUCUGGUUAUUGGUAUCCUUGCAUUUCAAGAUUUGCACGAGUUCUUUCAAGCACCAAGUGGAAGAAGCAUAGUCUUGAGAGAAAACUACAAUCGAAAGCCUUGACUCUCGAAUCGCUGUCAGGAGCUCAGAAAGGUGGUCGCCUUUUCUGAGCUUCUCGGCAUCAAUGAAGGCGUUGAUUGGUUUCUUAACCAGAGCGUUGUAGAGAUGGCUGACGAAGCCCCUGCGAGUGUCUUCCCCUCUGAAAUUGAUGAACACAUCGUAUUUGCAACCAAGGCCAGAAGAAGAUGAAGAAGAAGAAGCAGCCAUUAUUAAUCGAUCGCACCUGGUCAGCGACGAUCGAGCAGCUAAGACUAAGAGAAUUGUAAGUACAGAGAUACUCAAUAGAUCUACAAAUUGGAUCACCGGAAAUUAGUCUGAUCGAUACCAAGUCAAUGAGUCAAUGCAAAAGUAAAAAGGGGAAAGGGAAAUUAUGCUUUAUGUUUUUUCACAUCUUCUUCGGGGAAAUUUCGGUGUGAAAGGAAUCUUAUCCUUUUGAUUUUUUAACCGAAGCAAAUGCGAAGAAAAGGGUCAAAGUGGUAAAUUGAAUAUACACUUGCCUAUCCAACAACCUCUUAAUUUAAUAUAUUUAAUUGAGAAAAGUAGUUUAGAGGAAGAGGUAUUCAUCAAUUCCCCAUAAACUUGUGACCAUUGGCCAAUUUUCCCCCUCAACUUUAAUUUUGGCCAAUUUCUUCCCUAAACUCUCAUAAUUAGUUAAUUUCCCCCAUCAACUUUAAUUUGGUCAAUUUCCCCCCUCAACUCUCAUAAUUAGUCAAUUUGCACCCUACUGUUAAUUUUUUAUUUAUUUUUCAUCUAUUCUUUUUUUUUUCUUUCAAUCUUUCUAAUAACUUCCAACAAAAUACUAAAAUUAAUAUAAACUCACCUGCAUAAUAUAGGGUAAAAUGUACAAAAACAUAAUACCAUUAGUAUGUGAUAUGGGUUGAUUAUAAGAAAAAGUUAUGAAUCGGGUUUAAAUCAUGUAGAAGAAGAAACAAUAAUCCUAAACUCAUGGAUCAGACCUAUUUCAAUAAAAUGGGUUAUUCUUAAUAAGGAGUCGAAAAUUAUGAAUUGACUAGCCAUUUUUGCACUAAACCUCGAUUCUCCGCAAUUUACUUGAACUUAGCUUUCACUUUUAUAAAGAAAAUUGUAUUCACAUACAAAAAUGUACACAUCAAUCCUUUUCGUUAUCAAUUUUGUAUAGUAAAAAAUCAAAUAAAAUUACUCCAUACUAAUUUAUUAUGACUAAUAAUACUAUUUAUGAUAAAUUGUAAAAUUCUAAAUUUUAAUCUAUUUGUAAUAGGAUAAAGACAUAGGAAAAUGAUUAACAUACAUCUUAUUUAGUUUCUUACACACACUUGUUUAAUUAUGAUCAAAUUAAAAAAUUAACAGUAGGGUGCAAAUUGACUAAUUAUAAGAGUUGAGGGGGGAAAUUGGCCAAAUUAAAGUUGAGGGGGGAAAUUGACUAAUUAUGAGAGUUGAGGGGGGAAAUUGGCCAAAAUUAAAGUUGAGGGGGGAAUUGGCCAAUAGUCACAAGUUCAUGGGGGAAAUUGAUGAAUACCUCUUAGAGGAAUGAUGGUAUCUCUUUUUCUUCUCACUCAAUCUUCCAGCAUGCGAUUUAAUCAUGAUUAAAGCCAAGCUUAAUAAUAGGUCGUAUUAUUUAGGUCGUUUUGGAUUAUAAGUUUUUGUUGUGAACUUGUGAUACGAUAGUUAGAAAAUUAAAAAAAUUAUAAUUUAAAUAUAUGUGGUGAAAUCUGUUAAGAUUUAGAUUCAAAAUUGAAAAUUUCAUUAACUUCAUUAAUUAUUAGCACACGAAGCUUACAAAUGAAAUAAAAAUAAUAAAAUUAGUCUCACAUGUAAUCUCUAUGCGCUAACAAUUAAUAGAGAGAUUCAUUUUAACCUAAAAUGUGUGACUUACGUACUAAUAAUUAACAAAAUAUUGACAAAAUUUUCAAUUUUAAGCAUAAAUCUUAAUAAACUUCAUCUCAUAAACUUAAAUCCUAAUUCAACAAUCUUCUCAUUACCUUACCACUGCAAACUACCUUGCCACUACAAAAAUUAUUAAUCAAAUUAAACUUAUUAUUUACUUACAAAUACGUAACUCAAUCACCGAAAGCUAUCUCCGUUGCUAUCUCCGUUUCUUUGCUGAGUGGACAGCUGUCUCUUUGUCUUCUUUUGGCAGAUAGCUACUAGACUCCUAGUGGCCGGCCUAUUUUCCACAGCUGGUUAUAGGACUCAGUUGCUAUUCAAGAAGUGUUAUGUUGUAAUUCAAUAUUGAUGGAAAUCCAACAGAAUCUUCUUCGAAUUGUUGUGAGCAUUUUGGGAUAUUUUUUAAUCAUAUUCAUUUAUCGUUGUGGGAUCAAUUUUAUUAAAUAUUAUUUAUGUUUAAUUUUAAAUAAAUAAAUUUAAAAUAAAUUUUUAUCGCACGAUAUACUAUGAACGAAUACGAUUCAUAGAUCUCCAAUAUCUUCACAAGAAGAAUCCAAAAGGAUCCGGAUUCAAUGGAAAUAAGCUAAUUUUGAAUCAAAUAACAUUACUUUAUUUUGUAAGUAAAUUAAUUUUAAAUCAAACAACAUUCAUUUAUUAUGUAGCUAAUUAAUUUUGUAUGUGUCAUCAUAUAUAUUAGGCACAUUUUAUUAUAGGUGAUUUUGUGGUAUUCAUUUUCAUUUGUAAGUAAGAGGUCUUAAGUUCGAUUUUCAUCAAAAACGAAUUUAAACUAUAUUAUUGCUAGUCCAUUAUGAGGCCUAACCCACCCUCCUCCCCCUUAGUGUAGAUAGAUCGUUUGUUCAAAAAAAUAUAUAAUCAAAAUAGAAUGUGAAGCGAAACAAUAGAUCAACAUUAUUUAUGUUAAUUAUAAAUAGGUCAACCAUGUAUGUGAUACUUAAAUCAUUUAAAAUAAAAUAAAAAUUACAAAAUCUGCCAUUACAGCUGGCACACACUUUAAUUAACACUUUCUUUCUCAUAAUUUUUAUAUUUGGAAUAAGUCAUACGAAUCAAAUACUACAAUGUAUUAUCUGUUUUUUAAUUCUAUUUUUUACAUUUGGAUUCAGACACUGCGUUGUAGUGUCCAUUUACUGAUUUUGUUUUUUCCAUCACUCACAUGCCUCCUAUAUGUUCCUUUGUACAUUUGGAUUUAGACAAUGCAAUGCAGUGUCUGUUUCUUGGUUCUGGUUUUCUCUUUUGGAUUCAAACGCUGCAUUGCAAUGUAUGUUUCCUAGUCCUAUUUCUUUCAUCAUCCACACGUCUCCUACACUUCACACUUUCAUGCGACUCCUGAUUUUUACAUUUAGAUUCAGACAUUGUAAUGCAAUGUUCAUUUCCUACCUUUGAUUUUUACAUUUAAAUCUAGGGUUAAACUCUGUUUACUACCCUAAUGUUUCGUGGUUUUCUACAUUUAGUACAUCAAAUUUUUUUCAUCCCAGAGUCAUACCUAAAGUGUUAAUUUUGGGACAGUCUCAUACAUCCAUUAGUCAAACUGUUAGUUCUCACGUUAAGUGAUGAUGUGGCGCCCAUGUGGACAAUGACUGGGCCCCACGUGUCAUUAAAAAAUAUUAAAAUAAUUAAUUAUGUAACACCCGCCCCCACUUAUAAAAUUAUAUGUGUGUAAUAUUCCCUAAAUAUUCUGAAUCUAUCAAUUUUACCCUUUUUGGACUACCCUAUCAGGAUCUAAACAUUGGAUCCUUCUUUCUUUUCAAACUGCCACGUGGCAGCUCCCUAGCAAUUUCCCUGUCUUCUCUCUCUGUCCCCCCCCCGUGACUCCUUCUUUCUCUUCUUCUUUUUCUGUUUUCUUUUCUUUCUUCUGUCUGUCUCUCUGUCCCUCCCGACUCUAUCUCUUUCUCUCGUCUCUCUCUCAUAGCUCCCUCAUCUCUCUUCUCUGCAGCAACCCGCACGCACGCACCCAUCUCCCCCGCGCGAAGAAGACCCAUCUCCUUCUUCUCUCUCCCUCUGUCCCGUGCUGCGAGCCCAGAAACCGGAGAGGAACUCCGGCGAAACCUUUAUUUUCCCGGUUGGGACGAAUCGAAGCCGGGUGUAAGCACACCCAACUCCGGCGAUCCCGAGGGUGUCGGGGCUUUUUCCGGCCAUCUCCGAUCGUUCCACGACGAAAGGAAGGUGCAAUUAUUAACGGUGAUUCUGUUAUACCUUCUUGGUAUAGCUUUGCACCGUUGGUGUACGGUGAGUGGACCCCUUCAAAAUCAUGUUUUAACAAUAGAAAUGCAUACAUGAAAAGCAUGAUUUAAUACUUAUGUUUUACGAAGUACUUUAUGAGAUAUAUGCUUACUGAGGCUAGAUUGAAUUAUUACUAUUUUUCCUAUAACCCAUGUUCUUAUAGAAUAUCCGAUGGAUGACGAUAUGAUAUUAGAACAUGUUUAGAACACCUCUUUGUAGUAUAGAUGAUGGAUGACUUUAUACUACGAAGUUGUUUUUCAAUAUGUUAUGCUCAAUGGUUUUGUACUUACCUAGUGGUCCUUUCCGCUACGGGACGUAGGGAUAGAUUCCGGUCCGUCCCGAGCGACGGUUUGGUGUUGGCAUAGGGCCUGGAGUGUGUUUCCUCUGGCUAUUUAGCACAGGGACGGGGAGCCGGCAUGGGGUCUGUAGUGUAUUUUCCUCUGACUGUCUGCUCAGAGACGGGGAGCUGGCAUGGGGCCUGUAGAGUAUCGGACAAUUCACUAGUGUUUAUUACUUAUACAAGUUAUGAAUUUGAGAUAUUGCACGGCAUGCUAGGUUUCGGAAAAUCUAUUUUGAUCAUGAUAUAUGUGUUUUCAUUAAACCUGGGGGUUAGUAUGUUGAUAACUGUUUUAUUAUAUUUAUAUCAAACUGGUCCACUCAUGUUUGUUUUGCGCCCCCUUCAGGACCUACGAACGAGGAUUACGAUAUAAGCUACGAGGCUUUUCCCUAUCAGUGAUCCAGUGCUAUACUUCUUCUGCUUCGAUAUCUUUUGUAAUAUAGCACAUCUCUAUUUUAAAUUCUGUUUGUACUCUGUAAUAGAUGUAUGCUUUGACAUUAUGCGUGGAUCCUAAUGUUGUAAUUAGAAGUUGAAUUUGUAGUAUUAUUGUGGCUAGUCUUGCUGCCUGUUUUAGCUUAUUUGUGAGUUUUUACUUAAAUUAAUGGCUUUCGUCACCCUUUGGGUGUCGGCCAGCACGUGAUAAUCCCGAUGUCACGAGGACAUCGGGAUCGGGGCGUGUCAGAUUGGUAUCAGAGCAUGAUUCAUUCAGAGCAUACUUAGGAUUCUUUUCCACCAUUUGGUAAUUAUAAUUCCCCUUAUAUCCUUAAUUUUCUGUUGUUCUAAAUCUUUCUUGUUUCUUAUCAGAAUUAUGGAUCCCGCUGGUGGGCAUGUACCUCGUCGAGCUCGUUUUGGUAUAGGGGGAGGACUUGAGCAAUUGGCUAAUGUUUUGCGAACUGCCCUUACUGGUAGAUCAUCGAAUCGCACCUAUAUUGAGAUUGCUACCAGUCAUGGUAUUCCAGAGCUUAAGGUAGUGGGAGCCUGUCCGGAGGCUGAGGAAUGGUUAGAGCAGGUGGAAGAUACUCUGGAGGGUAUGAGAUGUCCACCAGGUGAGUGGGCGGAGACUGCUGGGUUUUUUCUUAAGGGUCCUGCAAAGAUUUGGUGGAAAGGAGUGAAGCAUUCUCGUCCACGAGGCACUUCGAUGACUUGGGUGGCAUUCCGGAAAGCUUUCAGUGCACAUUUUCUGAGUCCCAGUUAUCAGUUGAGGAUGAGACAACAAUUUCUGGAGUUUCGUCAAGGCGAUCUGAGUAUCACAGAGAUGGAUAAUACUUUUCGACGCCUGUCGAGACACCAUCCGGUGACUUAUGAUAACCCGAGUGAGAAGAUGGUUCAGUUGCUGGUUUGUUUGAACCCUGAUUAUCGUGAACGAGUGGCAGCUAUAAGGCACAGAAGUUAUGAGGAAAUGAUUGAGACUUGUUUGAGGAUUGAACAAUCUAGGUGGGAGACUCAGCACCAGGAGGAGCAGGCGCAGUAUCAGGAACCACCCAGAUAUCAGGAACAACCUCGGAACCAGAACCAGAGAGGUCAUGGUUUUAGAUCUCGGAGUGUGAGGAAAUCUGGUAGCUCUUCUAACUUUGUUGGCCCUAGACACUCUCAUUCCUUCAAACGUCAGGGUCAAGGUUCAGGUUCUUCCAGCGAGGGUUCGGGUAAUGAAUCAGGGAGGCGAUAUUUCAGUCAUUUUCGAUCGCAGGUUACGUGCCACAGGUGUGGAGGCAUGGGACAUAUUGCCAGAUUUUGCCCUUCAGGACAGCCUGCUGAGAGUUAUGCAUCGGUGCCGAGUUAUGGUGGAGGGAGUAAUCCGAGUUCUAGCUAUGGAGGUAAUUACACUCAGAGUUAUGGUGGAAGUGGAAGUGGAAGUCAGAAUACCCAAUUUUCCACUCAGAGACAGCCGCAACAGUUUGGUGCAGCUUCGAGUAGCCGCUCUCAGGGGAAUCGAGCAGGCCGUAAUAAUCAAGGUUUCAGAGCUCGUGGUAACCGUAACAGUGGUGGAGGACGUCAGUUUCAUGGACGUAUCAACGCCAUGACACAGCAGGAGGCUGAUCAGGAUCCUCAAGUCAUUACCGGUAUGUUACUUAUUUGUGGUAACUGGGCGAGGGUUCUAAUCGAUCCGAGUGCUACUUUUUCUUUUGUGUCUUCAUCUUUUGCACCGAAUUUAAAUGCACCACCUACACCUCUUGGUUAUGAUAUGCUUGUGCAAAUGCCGCAAGGGGAUCUGUUUUGUGCUCAGUGGGAGUAUAAAAGUUGCCCAGUGGUAGUGGAAGGGGAAAUGAUGGAGGCUAAUCUGGUCCCUUUUCAUUUGGCGGAGUUCGAUGUGAUUUUGGGGAUGGAUUGGCUAUCCAGGCACCGGGCCUAUGUCGCAUGUUGGGAGAAAUCUGUGACGUUCAAUCGACCUGGACGACCGUCAAUCACAUUUCAGGGUGAGCGACGAAUCCUUCCUAGUAGUAUUAUUUCCGCUAUUCAGGCUACUAGAUUGUUGAGUAGGGGAUGUGUGGGAUUCUUAGCUCAUGUAGUAACGAGGGAUAAAUCUUCGUUACGUCCUAAGGAUGUGCCAGUGGUGAAGCAUUACACCGAUGUUUUCCCGGAGGAUUUACCAGGGUUACCGCCUGCGAGGGAAAUUGAAUUUACCAUCGAUUUACUUCCAGGAACAGACCCUAUCUCUUUAGCACCUUAUCGCAUGGCACCGGCGGAGUUGAGGGAAUUGAAGGUUCAACUUCAGGAAUUGGUGGAUAAAGGUUACAUCCAACCCAGUAUGUCUCCCUGGGGUGCUCCUGUUUUAUUUGUUAAAAAGAAGGAUGGAUCGAUGAGACUUUGCAUCGACUAUCGGCAGUUAAACCGGGUGACGGUGAAGAAUCGAUAUCCUUUGCCUCGGAUCGACGAUCUGUUCGACCAGCUGAAGGGUGCUCAGAUAUUCUCUAAGAUAGAUCUUCGCUCAGGUUAUCACCAGUUGUUAAUUCGGGAGGGAGAUGUACCGAAGACUGCUUUCCGCACUAGGUAUGGACACUUUGAAUUUCGUGUCAUGCCUUUCGGACUGACGAAUGCACCUGCAGCAUUCAUGGAUUUGAUGAACAGAGUUUUCAGACCGUAUUUGGAUCGGUUUGUGAUUGUGUUCAUUGAUGAUAUUCUGAUCUUUUCCAAGAGUGUCAGCGAGCACAAGAAGCAUUUGAGGUUGGUGUUGGAAAGGUUGAGCAGUGAGCAGUUGUAUGCUAAGUUUAGCAAGUGUCAGUUCUGGCUAACCCAAAUUAGCUUUCUCGGUCAUGUAGUAUCUGCUGAGGGGAUUAGUGUGGAUCCUCAGAAGGUGUCAGCAAUAACUACGUGGGAGCAACCGAGGAAUGUUACUGAAGUGAGGAGUUUUCUAGGUCUGGCUGGCUAUUACCGAAGAUUUGUUAAAGGUUUCUCAGCCAUUGCCUUACCUCUGAAUAAGUUGACUCGAAAGGAAGUGGAGUUUAAGUGGGAUGAAGAUUGUGAGCGGAGUUUUCAGGAACUGAAGCGAUGUCUUACUCAAGCUCCCGUUCUUACUCUUCCAGACGAUAGCGGUGAGUUUGAUAUCUACACGGAUGCAUCAUUAUCAGGUUUGGGUUGUGUACUGAUGCAGCAUGAUAAAGUCAUUGAUUAUGCUUCCAGACAGCUCAAAAUUCACGAGAGAAACUAUCCCACUCAUGAUUUGGAACUUGGUGCAGUAGUGUUUGCUUUGAAGAUCUGGAGACAUUACUUGUACGGUGAGAAGUGUCGUAUCUUUACUGAUCAUAAGAGCCUCAAGUAUAUCUUUACUCAGAGGGAUUUGAAUUUGAGGCAGAGAAGAUGGAUGGAACUUAUCACUGAUUAUAACUGCACGAUCGAGUAUCAUCCCGGACAUGCCAAUGUAGUGGCAGAUGCACUUAGUCGGAAAUAUCAUGGAUAGCUUGCAUCUCUCCAAGCUAUUCAUGUUCCACUACUAUUUUCUCUUCGAGAAACAGGCUUGUCGGUGAGACCGGGUGAGCAAUGAGCGUGGUUGGCAAAUUUCCAAGUUAGACCUGUUUUGGUGGAUAUAGUCAUAGAAGCUCAGGAGCUUGAUCAGGAGAGUGCCAACAUUAAGGUCUCGGUGGAAAAAGGAGAAGAGAAGCAUUUUAUCAUCCGAAGUGAUGGAGCCUUGAUGUGGGAAAACAGAUUGUAUGUUCCUCAUGAUAACGAAGCAGUGAAAAGAGCAAUUCUGGAUGAAGCACAUUUGUCAGCUUAUGCCAUGCAUCCGGGAAGUACUAAACUGUAUCGCACUAUCCGUCUGUUCUAUUAUUGGUUGGGAAUGAAGCGGGAUGUGGCGGAUUAUGUGAGUAGAUGCAUCAUUUGUCAACAAGUAAAGGCAGAGAGGCAAAGACCUGGAGGAUUGAUGCAGAAUCUUCCGAUACCAGCAUGGAAAUGGGAAGACAUCACCAUGGAUUUUGUGUAUGGUCUGCCGAGGACGCGGUCGAGAUUGGACGGCAUAUGGGUAAUUGUUGAUCGACUGACUAAGACCGCUCAUUUCUUACCUGUUCGACAGACCUAUUCAAUGGAGAAAUUAUCGAAGUUGUUCAUCGAUAAUAUUGUUAGACUUCAUGGUGUACCUGUCUCUAUUGUUUCAGACAGAGAUCCCAGAUUUACUUCCAAAUUUUGGAAAGCUUUUAAUACUGCCAUGGGUACUCAGUUGCUGUUUAGUACUGCUUAUCAUCCACAGACUGACGGUCAGUCCGAGAGGACAAUACAAACAUUGGAGGACAUGUUGAGAGUGUCUGUUCUUCAGUGGAAGGGUAGUUGGGAUAACUAUCUGCCGUUGGUUGAAUUUGCAUACAACAACAGCUACCAUUCGAGUAUUGGUGUGGCACCUUAUGAAGCCUUGUAUGGGAGAGUGUGUCGAACGCCGUUGUGUUGGGCAGAGGUCGGCGAGCGAGUAUUGUUGGGACCGGAGAUUGUAGACACUACCAAUGAGAACAUCCAGCUGAUAAAGAGAAAUCUCAAGGCAGCUCAAGACCGACAGAAAAGCAUAGCGGACAAACAUUCCAAAGAUCGUGAGUACAAGAUUGGUGACUUUGUAUUCUUGAAGUUGUCUCCCUGGAAGGGUGUGGUUCGUUUUGGUAAACGAGGAAAGUUGAGUCCUCGAUAUGUUGGUCCUUAUCAGAUUACGGAGAGAAUUGGUGCAGUUGCCUAUAGAUUGGAGUUGCCACCGGAGUUGUCUCAGAUUCACAAUGUUUUCCAUAUUUCUAUGCUUCGGAAAUAUGUAUCAGAUCCCUCUCAUGUUAUUCAGCUAGAGCCGCUGGAAGUAAGUCCGGAUGUUAGUUAUGUUGAAGAACCAGUGGCUAUUCUUGACCAGCAGAAUAAAGUGUUGAGGAACAAGGUCAUUCCGUUGGUGAAAGUGUUGUGGAGGAACCACGCUACUGAAGAAGCGACGUGGGAAACGGAAGACCUGAUGAGGAGUCAGUAUCCGUAUUUAUUUGCUUGAAGUUGUAAUUUCGGGGACGAAAUUUUUAUAAGGGGGGUAGAUUGUAACACCCGCCCCCACUUAUAAAAUUAUAUGUGUGUAAUAUUCCCUAAAUAUUCUGAAUCUAUCAAUUUUACCCUUUUUGGACUACCCUAUCAGGAUCUAAACAUUGGAUCAUUCUUUCUUUUCAAACUGCCACGUGGCAGCUCCCUAGCAAUUUCCCUGUCUUCUCUCUUUGUCCCCCCCCCCGUGACUCCUUCUUUCUCUUCUUCUUUUUCUGUUUUCUUUUCUUUCUUCUGUCUGUCUCUCUGUCCCUCCCGACUCUAUCUCUUUCUCUCGUCUCUCUCUCAUAGCUCCCUCAUCUCUCUUCUCUGCAGCAACCCGCACGCACGCACCCGUCUCCCCCGCGCGAAGAAAACCCAUCUCCUUCUUCUCUCUCCCUCUGUCCCGUGCUGCGAGCCCGGAAACCGGAGAGGAACUCCGGCGAAACCUUUAUUUUCCCGGUUGGGACGAAUCGAAGCCGGGUGUAAGCACACCCAACUCCGGCGAUCCCGAGGGUGUCGGGGCUUUUUCCGGCCAUCUCCGAUCGUUCCACGACGAAAGGAAGGUGCAAUUAUUAACGGUGAUUCUGUUAUACCUUCUUGGUAUAGCUUUGCACCGUUGGUGUACGGUGAGUGGACCCCUUCAAAAUCAUGUUUAACAAUAGAAAUGCAUACAUGAAAAGCAUGAUUUAAUACUUAUGUUUUACGAAGUACUUUAUGAGAUAUAUGCUUACUGAGGCUAGAUUGAAUUAUUACUAUUUUUCCUAUAACCCAUGUUCUUAUAGAAUAUCCGAUGGAUGACGAUAUGAUAUUAGAACAUGUUUAGAACACCUCUUUGUAGUAUAGAUGAUGGAUGACUUUAUACUACGAAGUUGUUUUUCAAUAUGUUAUGCUCAAUGGUUUUGUACUUACCUAGUGGUCCUUUCCGCUACGGGACGUAGGGAUAGAUUCCGGUCCGUCCCGAGCGACGGUUUGGUGUUGGCAUAGGGCCUGGAGUGUGUUUCCUCUGGCUAUUUAGCACAGGGACGGGGAGCCGGCAUGGGGCCUGUAGUGUAUUUUCCUCUGACUGUCUGCUCAGAGACGGGGAGCUGGCAUGGGGCAUGUAGAGUAUCGGACAAUUCACUAAUGUUUAUUACUUAUACAAGUUAUGAAUUUGAGAUAUUGCACGGCAUGCUAGGUUUCGGAAAAUCUAUUUUGAUCAUGAUAUAUGUGUUUUCAUUAAACCUGGGGGUUAGUAUGUUGAUAACUGUUUUAUUAUAUUUAUAUCAAACUGGUCCACUCAUGUUUGUUUUGCGCCCCCUUCAGGACCUACGAACGAGGAUUACGAUAUAAGCUACGAGGCUUUUCCCUAUCAGUGAUCCAGUGCUAUACUUCUUCUGCUUCGAUAUCUUUUGUAAUAUAGCACAUCUCUAUUUUAAAUUCUGUUUGUACUCUGUAAUAGAUGUAUGCUCUGACAUUAUGCGUGGAUCCUAAUGUUGUAAUUAGAAGUUGAAUUUGUAGUAUUAUUGUGGCUAGUCUUGCUGCCUGUUUUAGCUUAUUUGUGAGUUUUUACUUAAAUUAAUGGCUUUCGUCACCCUUUGGGUGUCGGCCAGCACGUGAUCAUCCCGAUGUCACGAGGACAUCGGGAUCGGGGCGUGUCAAAUUAAAUAAAAGUUAUAAAAAAAAAACCGAAUCUGCAACCCAGAAGAAGAACCUUCUGGGUACGUGUUUGCAGUUGCGGGGCGAAUUCUAGAUCUUAAUUGGAUUAUUAGUUUCUGUUGUAAUAUGGUAGUUAGAAGAUUAAAAAAAACUAUGAUUUAUGCUUCAUAUGCUAACAAUUAACAGAUAAUUAAUGAAAUUUUUAAUUUUAAAUCUAAAUCCUAACAUAUUUUACAAUAGAAGCUUAAAUCUUAAUUUACUCAAUCACAUGGAUUAUUUUAUAACUACCUUACUAUUAAUUCAAUUAAACCUAUUAUUUCUACGAAAACUAACAAAAAUUUCAAAAAAAACUUUAGUUUUAAUGAAAAAAGAAAAAUGAAGAUUUGGUAAAUAAUACCAAAAAAAAAAUAAAAAUAUAAAUUUUCAUUAAAAAUGAACAGCAUCAAAAGUGUUUUAUUAAUACUCCAAUUAUUUAUUUACAAAUACGUGACUAAAUGAAAGGGAGCACUCAAAAUGAUGAAAAGCAGGAGCACCGAAGGCUAUCUCCGUUUCUUUGUUGAGUGGACAGCUGUCUCUUCGUCUUCUUUUGGCAGAUAGCUCCUAGUGGCCAGCCUAUAUUCCACAGCUGGUUAUAGGAUUCGGUUGCUAUAUAAGAAGUGUUUUGUUGUAAUUCAAUAUCGAUAGAAAUCCAAUAGGAUCUUUUUCAAAAUUUUGUGCGGAUUUUGGUAUGUUCGUAAAUCGUAUUUGUUCAUAUUAUACGCUCAUUUUUCAUGGAAUAUUAUUUUUGUUUAAUUUUAAAUAAAAUAAUUUAAAAUAAUUUUUUAUUGUAACAUGUACAAUGAACGGAUAUGAAUUGAUUCACAGAUCUUCAAAAUCCUUACAAAGAAAAUCCAAAAAUAAUCCGAAUUCAAUGGAGAUAAGUUAAUUUUGAAUCAAAUAACAUUAGGAAAAAAAAUUAACAUUAGACGGUUUUAAAUAAUUUAUUGUAUAUUUUUAGGGAAUUGUUAUUAGCACUUUAAAAAUCUCAUUUUACACUCCAAACUUUUUAUAUUAGAAAAGAAAAAUACACUUAUGAGGAAUGUAGAAUAAGAUUUUUGAAUUAACCAUGCAAAAAUGUAAUGUUAAAGCAUCAUGUCAUACAGACCUCUUCAAGGUACCAGAAAUUUUUGCACUAAAGAUGUCACAAGCAGCUGAUAUGAAGCUGCAUUUUCUGUGAGUUGAAAUUUUGUCAAUAUAAUCGAUCACCUGAAGAGAGAGAGAGAGAGAAAGACAGUGAUGUCCAGAGAUGUGAGCCUAAAUGCUGAGUGUGUAAAAAAAGAAGAUUAAAUGGAUAGCAAGAAUAUACAACUUUAAUGCUGAAAAGAACAUUGAAUAUGAUGCUCAUUCAUCAUUGCCAUUGAACGUGUACCUUCUUCUUUUCCUCUUUCUCAAAAGCAAGUAGAGCCUUGAAGACUUGCCUAUAUGAUCCAUCAUCACAACCAGGCAAAGUUGUUUUAAUCAUAGCAACAAUGGCUCUAACUAACUACCUGCCAUAAGAAACAUGCUACAUCAACAAGAUCACAGAGUGUACCAGAAACCGUAAUGUAGCAAAAUCUUAGAUAAAAUAGCUGGCCAAAAGGGAAUGGAAAAGCAAGCACAAAAAACAAUGAAAAGGACCAGUGAUGCCAAAAUUCUGGUGGAAAAGGUGAAAAGCUUAUGUCUAUUACAGUUCUUGUAUGCAUUCUUUAUAACUUAAGUUCUACGUAGCAAAAACCACCUUAUGCACAACAAUAUUGGAAAAAUUAGAUACAUACAACUGAGAAGAUAGGUUUUCAUAAUCUGGACAAGUGCUAACUACCUUCUUCCUAUAAACUGCCACUCCAUGAACAUUAAAUGGUAUUUUCCUUUCACGCAAGGCUGUCUGGAAGACUUUUCCUGAUACCUGUAGAAUAAAUUACAAAAGAAAAUGUGACCAAAAUGUCUUAUAUGAUUCACCUCAUUCACAUUAGCACUAAGGCAAGUAAGCUUGACCUGCCUCCGGUAAAGGAUUGCUAUAUUUCCAUAGGAGCACCCUGCUUCUGACCGUUUAGAUGCAGUCUCCAGGAUCUUGUCGACAACAAAGGCGCAUUGUGCAUCCUCAUUGUGACUUUCCUUGAUAAUUACCUACAUUUUGCCAGUAAAACCAGUGUCACUAACUAAAAGGACUGAAAAAUGACAUCAAAUUGUACUUGUUGGAGCAAGGAAAGAUUAAGUACCUUAGACCCAGAAGAAUUGUCCGUGUCAACAUUCUUUAGUUGGCAUCACUUCUUAUUGUUUUUUAUAACAGAAGAUGCAGCUUCCACACAAUAUAGCGUGUGGACCGAAAGUUCUUAUUAAGCCUAAUCUGAACCAUAAAGUUAUGUCAAAUCCCACAGAACCCCAUAAAAUAAAACUUACUUUCCUGUAAUUGUACAAUAUAUUUGUUCUAUACUAUAUAUAACGAAAAAAGACACCGUGAAUGACAUAAGAUAACAUAGCAGUCAAGUGCGAAGCGAACCUCUUUGUAAUUUGAAAAAUCUUUACGAAAAGAAUCAAAUCCAGAAAUGUCCGCCCCAUUGAAACUGAAAAUGGACUGCAGCAGGAUAUAUGUUAUUUGAUUUAGAACAGAUAAGGGCUGGAUUAGAAUGAGCUGAGAGAGGGAGAGAGGGAGAGACGGAGCAAUAACAUUGGAUUUCCAUAAUAAAUCAACAACAUGCCUGAUCAUCAUCACCAACAAUGGUUAUGUGGUUAUGAGAGGCGAGAAUCCGCAAAAGUCUAUAUUGCAUAGCACUUGUGUCUUGAAACUCGUCUAUUACAAUAGCUUUCCAUGACUCCUGGCACUCCUUCAACACUAAUUAAGAGAACACCAUGUAUCAACAUUUAGCAUUACUUGUAAAACUAGAUAAAUCAAUGAAAUAUACUUAGAUGAUAGAGACCUUCAGGAAAAUCACUUAGCAGCUUCACAGAGCAGCUAAUUAAGUCGUGGUAGUCCAAAGCGUUGCACGAUUUCAAGAUAUCAUUGUAAUUCCUAAGAAUUUCACCCUGAUUCAGAUUGAGAGCUAAAACUCAUAAGCAAUAGUUUCAAAGAACUGAAAUGAUAUCUGAAAUUCUAGUUCUGAGCGUACUCCUGUCACAUCACCCAUUCUUUGGCAUUCAGCGGGAGUUCUUUCCAGAAGCUUUUGCCUGAAACAUAAAUAAAUUUAUUGCCUAAUGCCACAUAUUGUAAGACACACCAUUGUAUUGGUCACUCUAGCUAAGCACAAUGAGCUUCAGUGGCAUACGGCGGUCACACAACACGCCGGAUGCACUCUUCCACUUCAUCCAUCCAGCUUGUAUUCUAUGGUUGAGAUCUCCAUCUAAUUCUCCGUUCUUUUGCAAAAUAGAUCCUAGGUAACGAAAACGGUCGCUCUUUGAUAUUUCUUGAUCUCCGAUCCUCACCCCUAAAUCGUUUUGGCCUCCAUUUGCACUGAACUUGCACUCCAUAUAUUCUGUCUUUGAUCGGCUUAGGCGAAAACCUUUAGAUUCCAACACUUCUCUCCAAAGGUUAAGCUUUGCAUUUACCCCUUCCUGAGUUUCAUCUAUCAACACUAUAUCGUCUGCGAAAAGCAUACACCAAGGAAUAUCACCUUGAAUAUGUCCUGUUAACUCAUCCAUUACCAACGCAAAAAAGGUAAGGACUUAAGGAUGAGCCUUGAUGUAAUCCUACAGUUAUGGGAAAGCUUUCGGUUUGUCCUUCAUGAGUUCUUACGGCAGUCUUUGCUCCUUCAUACAUAUCUUGUAUAGCUUGGAUAUAUGCUACUCGUACUCCUUUCUUCUCUAAAAUCCUCCAAAGAAUGUCUCUUGGGACCCUAUCAUACGCUUUUUCCAAAUCUAUAAAGACCAUGUGUAAAUCCUUUUUCCCAUCUCUAUAUCUUUCCAUCAAUCUUCGUAAGAGAUAGAUUGCCUCCAUGGUUGAGCGCCCUGGCAUGAACCCGAAUUGGUUGUCCGAAACCCGUCUCUUGCCUCAAUCUAUGCUCAAUGACUCUCUCCCAGAGCUUCAUUGUAUGACUCAUUAGCUUAAUACCACUAUAGUUCAUGCAAUUUUGUACAUCGCCCUUAUUCUUGUAGAUAGGCACCAAAGUGCUAAUUCGCCACUCAUUCGGCAUCUUCUUCGUUUUCAAAAUCCUAUUGAAAAGGUCAGUGAGCCAUGUUAUACCUGUCUCUCCCAAAACUUUCCACACUUCGAUUGGUAUAUUGUCUGGGCCUACUGCUUUUCUAUGUUUCAUCUUCUUCAAAGCUACAACCACUUAUUCCUUCCGGAUUCCACGAUAAAAAAAGUAGUUUCUACACUCUUCUGAGUUACUCAACUCCCCUAAAGAAGCACUCAUUUCAUGUCCUUCAUUGAAAAGAUUAUGAAAAUAACCUUUCCAUCUGUCUUUAACCGCGUUCUCUGUAGCAAGAACCUUUCCAUCCUCAUCCUUAAUGCACCUCACUUGGUUUAGGUCCCUUGUCUUCUUUUCCCUUACUCUAGCUAGUUUAUAGAUAUCCAACUCUCCUUCUUUGGUAUCUAGUCGCUUAUACAUAUCGUCAUAAGCCGCUAACUUAGCUUCUCUCACAGCUUUCUUCGCCUCUUGCUUCGCAUUUCUAUACCUUUCACCAUUUUCAUCGGUCCUAUCCUUGUAUAAGGUUUUACAACAUUCCUUCUUAGCCUUCACCUUUGCUUGUACCUCCUCAUUCCACCACCAAGAUUCCUUUUGGUGUGGGGCAAAGCCCUUGGACUCUCCUAAUACCUCUUUUGCUACUUUUCGGAUACAACUAGCCAUGGAAUCCCACAUUUGAUUAACUUCCCCCUCUCUAUCCCACACACACUGGGUGAUUACUUUCUCUUUGAAAAUGGCUUAUUUUUCUUCUUUUAGAUUCCACCAUCUAGUCCUUGGGCACUUCCAAGUCUUGUUCUUUUUUCUCACUCUUUUGAUAUGUACAUCCAUCACCAACAAGCGAUGUUGAUUAGCCACGCUCUCUCCUGGUAUAACUUUGCAAUCUUUACAAGUUAUACGAUCCCCUUUCCUCAUUAGAAGAAAAUAUAUUUGUGUUUUUGACGACCCACUCUUGUAGGUGAUCACAUGUUCUUCUCUCUUCUUAAAGAAGGUGUUGGCUAAGAAGAGAUCAUAUGCCAUUGCAAAAUCCAAGAUAGCUUCCCCAUCCUCGUUUCUCUCCCCAAAACCAUGGCCACCAUGAAAACCUCCAUAGUUGCCUGUCUCCCUGCCCACGUGUCCAUUUAAAUCUCCUCCUAUAAAUAACUUCUCCGUCUGAGCAAUUCCUUGCACCAAGUCUCCAAGGUCUUCCCAAAAUUUCUCCUUCGAACUCGUAUCCAACCCUACUUGAGGUGCGUACGCACUAAUCACAUUGAUAAGUUAUUGUCCUAUUACAAUCUUGAUUGCCAUGAUUCUAUCUCCUACCCUCUUGACAUCUACAACAUCUUGUGUCAAGGUCUUGUCCACGAUGAUGCCAACACCGUUUCUCGUUCUAUUUGUGCCCGAAUACCAUAGUUUAAACCCUGAGUUUCUAGAUAUAUAUAUAUAUAUAUAUAUAUAUCAAAUGGCCCCUAAAUGCUAUUAAAAAUCUCAAAAAUUAACAGGAAACUAAAACAAAUUAGAAUUUAUUCAUGGUUUCGCAAUUCCCAGCCGGGUAAACUGGUGGCCGUUGUAAGAGAGGGCCUCCAGCCGGAUAAACAUUUUCGAGUUAUAUGAUAUUUGUAUAGCAAAAAUACUUUAAUAGCAAGUGCGCGUGAGUGAAGAAAUUGAACUUACUUAUAUUCUUUCGAAUCCCAACCGGAAAAAUUGCAGGCUCUGGGAAGAGCGGACCUCCAGCUCUGCACCUCCUUCACGUCAACGUUAGAACGACCUUCAUGUUUAGCAAAAGCUUCUGCAAAACUUCCCUCGAGUUUACGAAUAUUGGACGGAUCGACUUGGUAGAAAAUGGGGAAUACAAUCUGGUUCUUGGAAUGGUUGCAUUCCAAGAUUUCCACGAGUUCUUUCAAGCACCAUGUGGAUGAAGCAUAGUUUUCAGAGAAAACUACAAUCGAAAUCCUUGACUCUCGAAUCGCUGUCAGGAGCUCGGAAAGGCGGUCGCCUUUUCUGAGGUCUUCGGCAUCAAUGAACGUGUUGAUUGGUUUCUGACGCAGAGCUUUGUAGAGAUGGCUGACGAAGCCCGUGCGAGUGUCUUCCCCUCUAAAAUUGAUGAACACAUCGUAUUCCCAACCAAGGCAAGAAGAAGAAGAAGAAGCAGCAAUUAAUCGAUCGCACCUGGGCAGCGAUGAUCGAGCAGCUUAAGACUAAGAGAAUUGUAAGUACAGAAACACUCAAUAGAUCUACAAAUUGGAUCACCAGAAAUUAGUCAAUGAGUCAAUGCAAAAGGGAAAAGGGCAAUUAUGCUUUUUGCGUUUUCACAUCUUCUUCAGGAAAUUUCGGUGUGAAAGGAAUCCGCAUACUUUUGAUUUUUCAACCCAAGAAAAUGCGAAGAAAGGGGACAAAGUAGUAAAUUUAAUCUACAGUUGCCUACCCAACAACCUCUUGAUUUAAUAUAUAUUUAAUUAGGAAAAGUAGUUUAGAGGAAGGAUGGUAUCUCCUUUUCUUCUCUCUCGAUCAGUCAAUCUUCCCGCGUGCGAUUUAAUCAUGAUUAAAGCUAAGCUUAAUCUUAGAUCGUAUUAUUUAGGUCUAAUUGGAUUCUUAAUUCUUGUUGUGAUAUAGUAGUUGGAAGAUUAAAAAAAAUUAUGAUUUAAAUGUUUGUGGUGAAGUCUGUUACGAUUUAGUUUCAAACUUGAAAAUUUCGUUAACUCCGUUAAUUAUUAGCACAUGAGACUCACAAAUGAAACUAAAAAUAUAAAGUUAGCCUCACAUGUAAUCUUCACGUGCUAACAAUUAAAAGAGAGUUCCGUUUUAGCUUAAUAUAUGUGACUCACGUGUUAAUAAUUAACGGAAUAUUAACAAAAAUUUUAAUUUUAAGCAUAAAUUCAAAUAAACUUCACCACAUAAGCUUAAAUUCUAAUUUAGAUAUCUUCUAACUAUCUUAUCACCAUAAAAAUUAUAAUCAAAUUAAACUUAUUAUUUAUUUAUAAAUGCGUAAUUAAAUCACAAAGUGUUGAAUGAAAGGGAGCACUCCAAAUGAUGAAAGAUGUGUGAUAUCCACACAUCUUUUUUUUUACUUUUUACACAUCGUUUUAAUUUUCGACUGUCGGAUCGAAUUAAUUGAAGAAAAUCAAAGGAUAAAAAUCAACAAAGGGUGUGCAAGAAGUAAAAAUGAGUGUGUGGAUAGUCAUCCCAUGAAAAGCGGGAGCAUCGAAAGCUAUCUCCGUUUCUUGUUGUCUAUUUGUCUUCUUUUGGCAGAUAGCUCCUAGGGACCGGCCUAUUUUCCACAGCUGGUUAUAGGACUCAGUUACUAUAGAAGGAGUGUUUUGUUGUAAUUCAAUAUCGAUGGAAAUCCAACAUAAUCUUUUUCAAAUUUUUGUGAGGAUUUUGGGGUGUACGUAAAUUGAUUAUGUUCAUCGUAUAUUAUGUGACCAUUUUUUAUCAAAUACUAUUUGUGUUUCAUUUUAAAUAAAAUAAUUUAAAAUAAUUUUUAACUGCAAGAUGUACAAUGAACGGAUAUAAUUCACAAAUCUCCAAAAUCCUUACAAAAAAAUCCGAAAAAGAUCCAAAUUCAAUGGAAAUAAGCUAAUUUUGAAUCAAAUUACAUUACUUUAUUUUGUAAAUAAAUUAAUUUUGAAUCGAACAACAUUCAUUUAUUAUGUAAGUAAUUCAUUUUGUAUGUAUCAUCAUAUAUAUUAGGCACAUUUUAUCAUAGGUGAUUUUGUGAAAAAUUAAUAAAAAGUUACAAUAUUAACAAUAGAUCAAUAAUAUUUAUGUUAAUUAUAAAUAGGUUAACCAUAUGUUGUGAUACUUAAAUACAUUUAAAAUAAAUAAAAAUUACAAAAUCUGACAUCCACUGCGACGUAGGAGCCACGGUGCAGCCCAAACUUUGCAGAUAAGAAAUCUGGUAAUUCACAGCAUGACAAACAAAUUACUGGGUCUCCUGACCAUCGUUGAUGCCAAUGUGUGCACAAGGAAAGGAGUAAGGUAAUCAAAUGCGUUAGUCUUGUGUACCUGUUUCGGUGUUGGUUUGGAUGAACCCAUUGAGUUCUCGAUCCUUAACUUCUGGAAAUGCUCCUGAAAGCAUAAAUAUAUGUACGGAUUUAAACCAAUGACAAAUGGACAUAAUUUACGGACAAUGAUUGAAGAAAAUACAGAUAUAAACGCCUCAGUAUUCCAUUGACGAAAGUUCUAGAUUUGAUGAAUCAAAAGUCCCACGUUGAGACUGCGUUAAGGCAAAUGGUUCUCAAAACCUGUUUUUCCCUCAUCAAAUGAGCGCGUUGAUCUGCAGGUAUUUUCUGCCAUCUCAAAACCUGUUACAAAGAAAUAUAACGUUGAUGUCGAGCUGGAUAGCAUAUUAUACCAAUUAUGUGUACAAACCUAUUGAAAUAAAGUAGCUGUAGUUGCAUAUUACGACAGAUAUUAACGAAAACAAAAGAAGGCUCGCCUAUUCAAGAUCCUAAAUCCCGUGAUUCUUUUGUUUUUAGUUUCAGAAAUUUUCAGAGCAAACUGGAAAGUACCAAGAUACUUACAUAUUGGGCAUAAUGAAAUGCAUCUUCAUCUUUCAAGCAAGAUUUGAGUGAGCGCAAACCGUCCUGAGAGUUACAUAAGUCAAUCAGUAAUAUAAAAACGUAGACGCAUCACAUCCAAACACAAGUAUUCAAACACCAACAACUUCUUCAUGCGGUGAGGCAUGUUAAAAAAUAGGGAAGAACAGUUAUUGAAUAGGAAGUUAAAGGACUAAAUUUAUGACCUUGUGUUUGUAGUUCUUGGCUCGUAUGCGUUCAUCUAUUACAAAACCAAUCUGUAACAGGUACAACAGAAAAUAUAAGCAGUAGUCAGAACAUUAAUCUUCGGCAUUCACAUUGCCACCAAUCCAAAGUUAAAAGUCUGAAGGCAAAACAGUAUGAUUCUUAUCUCUCAAACAAAAAUGAAACUAUACCCCGGUCUCAGACAUAAAUGAAAUAAGUUCUACUGCCUCAACUGAGUACUGUGAUUAUAUAUAAAUCCAAUUCACCUUGUCAAGUAAUCUCUUAGGAUCUUGAAAUGCUUCCUUCUUAGCCCAGUCAUUAAAUACAUGCGAGAAAAUUGAUCUCUCAUCCACACUGAAUCUAUUGCACAGUGACAGAAGAAUAAAGUUAAACAUGAACAUAACCAACCAAAAUGCUAGUUAUAAUAGUACACCCAUAAUUGCAAGCAAAACCUUUUUAAGAAGCCAUUUCCAUGGUUUUCCUCCCAAAUUCCAUCAAUUCUGCAGAGGCAACGUCAAAUUUACUAUGAUGGAGAUCAUUUUGCACUGUAAUAACUUCAGAAGGUAGGAGAUUUGGUUUCAGAUCAUCUGUUGACGGAGUAGUUUCUUUUGAAGUGUCAUGAUGCUUUUGAUUGCAAGCCUUCUGUACUUACGUCAGCCUACAAAACAAAAAUUGCAUUCAUCCACACUAGACUUAAUAAGAUUAGAAACACUUCAGAUUCUUCAUUAUUUGUAUUUUUGACUAAACAGCAGAACAACUGAGGAUAAUGAACAGUAAUACACACCUGGACUUCUCGUAGAUGAUUUGGAAUUUCUUUCAGAAAUCGCGAAGGUUGAAGCAUCUGAAGGAGUCACCUUCUCAGUCAGAGCAACAACAACAAAUAAGGAGGACAGGAAUUCAAGCUAAAACGAACCUGCCAACUGGAAUCCAUCGUAACAUAAAGAAUGAAAAGCUUUUUUCGAGCACGAGUCAUUGCAACAUAUAAUAGGCGUCUCUCCUCCUAUGAUUAGAGUGGGAUUAUUGAGUUAUUGACCAAAAGAAAAAAGAGUGGGAUUAUUGUGAAAAACAUGUCAAAGCUCUGCAUAUAACUGAAAAAUGUUGAACAAUUUACCACACACCUCAAUGGAGGUCCCAUUUUCUUUUGCAACCCCAUUGAAUUCAUGCAACAACGGGAUCUCAGAUUCAUUUACCUGUGUUAUUGGCAUGAGCAUUAAAGCAAGCUAAGAUGAUUUGAAGAGGUUGAUAUCGUCAUGAAUAUAGUAGAACAGAAUACCAAUUUCAAGCCAUCAAUUAGGUAUAGCAUUGGCAUGUUUAAUCCGUAAAUCUAAUGACAGAACACCUCAACUCUACACAUAAAUAAAUAAACAACCUGAAAAAUAUUACAGCCACAUGUUAAGGCAAAUACCUUAAUUAUGAAAACUAUAUCCCACUCUAAACCUUUUGACUGCAAGAGAAUGAAAAAGAAAGACAGUAAGCCAAGAAUGUUUUGUAGAACUCCAAAGGAAGUCCAAUAGGGAAAUCAUCGCAAGUAUAAGAGUUAGCGAGGUUCGCAUAAGAGGAUAUCAAAAAGAUCUAGAACCUGAUGAAUAGUAGUCAAAGUGACAGAACUUUGGUUGUCAUGUCUUCGGGAGUGAAAAUUUUCACUCUCCUGCUCAGAUAUGUAGUCGAUGAAAGCUUUGAGUAAAUUAACGCAGCCUUUUUCUUCUGCUACGACUUCUCUCUCCCCUUUUCCCGCAACAAAAUGAGUUGAUAAGAAAUCAGAUACGUCGUCUAGUAGGUACUGAAGAACCUGCAAUGAGAAUAAUCGCAUCACAGCAACAGGGUUGGACCAAGAUUUAAGUGACAACAAUGAUUAACUAACUAAAAUAGAGAAAUUAUUCAUUUAAGACCUUGUUGACGGAAAAAAGGGUUUUCCAAGCAGCGGGUCAUUUAAGCUUAUUGUAUAAAUGACAAUCAUCACAAACGGCAAACUUACAGAUCUCACGUCAUUGUCUUCAUUCAGCAGUUUUCCUCCAUCUACAUCAACGACUGCACGUUGCUCAAGACGGUACUUCUAAAAAUUGAAAGUCAACAACAACAACAACAACAACAACAAAGCCUUUUCCCACUAAGUGGGGUCGGCUAUAUGAAUCCUAGAACGCCAUUGCGCUCGGUUUUGUGUCAUGUCCUCCGUUAGAUCCAAGUACUCUAAGUCUUUUCUUAGAGUCUCUUCCAAAGUUGUCCUAGGUCUUCCUCUACCCCUUCGGCCCUGAACCUCUGUCCCGUAGUCACAUCUUCGAACCGGAGCGUUAGUCGGCCUUCUUUGCACAUGUUCAAAAUCACCGGAGCCGAUUUUCUCUCAUAUUUCCUACAAUUUCGGCUACUCCUACUUUACCUCGGAUAUCCUCAUUCCCAAUCUUAUCCUUUCUCGUGUGCCCACACAUCCCACGAAGCAUCCUCAUCUCCGCUACACCCAUUUUGUGUACGUGUUGAUGCUUCACCACCCAACAUUCUGUGCCAUACAACAUCGCUAGCCUUAUUGCCGUCCUAUAAAAUUUUCCCUUGAGCUUCAGUGGCCUACGACGGUCACACAACACGCCGGAUGCACUCUUUCCAUCCAGCUCGUAUUCUAUGGUUGAGAUCUCCAUCUAAUUCUCCGUUCUCUUGCAAGAUAGAUCCUAGGUAGCGAAAACGAUCGCUUUUUGUGAUCUUCGCUAGAUUUCUCCGGUCAUUAGUGUGGAUAAGUAUAUAAAUGGAUAGAGAUAGGAAAGCAAACACAAGAUGUACGUGGUUCACCCAGAUUGGCUACGUCCACGGAAUAGAAGAGUUCUCAUUAAUUGUGAAGGGUUUACACAAGUACAUAGGUUCAAGCUUUCAUUUAGUGAGUACAAGUGAAUGAUUUUAGUACAAAUGACAUUAGGAAAUAUUGUGGGAGAAUGAUCUCGUAAUCACGAAACUUCUAAGUAUCGGAGUGUGGUGUCGUCUUGACUUGCCUUAUCUGUCUCAUAGGUAGAUGUGGCAUCUUCUCUGGAAGUACUCUUCCUCAAACGAUAAAUUAUUAAGAAGCAUUGAAUAUAAGCAUGAAACGAAGAAAAUGUUAUGGAAUGGUGAUCCUCAUCCUCAAAGAUGAUUAAAAGCAAUUUGAUUCAAAAAUGACAUAUCAACUCUGGAGAAAUGGAAGACAAACCUGUGGUACCAUAUUCGCAACUGAGGUUAUGACAGCUGAAAUCGAUUGUUCCUGUGUGCAUUGAUAAGUGAGACUACCAUAGAGAUUCACAACUAAAUAAAGACAGGUAUUCCACAGAACAACCUUUACCUCUUUGGAAACACAGAUCUAACAAAAACUAUAACAUUUUGGAUUAAUAUUGACAAAUCAAGAAUAAUGCAAGGGAGCAAGAGAUACUCUUCCUUCUAAUAACAAGGAGGCGUGAAAAGUAUACAGAGUUCCAACAAUUAGAGAACUAAAAUCAAACUAAAAAAAUCACCAAAGUAGACAGAAUCUCACUUCGCCAAAAAUUUGAAAAUAUACCUUUUUAUCCAUUGAGAUUCAUGAACUACUACUACUACAUCAUGCCAAUAAGCAAUGCGUAAGAGGAGCUACAAUUUACCGAAUAUAUUUACCCUGAGAACAAGUUUUGAAAUCAUCUCUAGUGUUAACAGCACCUUGCGUCCUUGGGUAAGCUGAGUCCUAUUAUCAAGUAAAGAGACCAAUCAGUACAUAUCCAAAAGAUCUUAAAUGCUUGUAAUACCAAAUAAGAAAGAAACAUGAGUAUAUCUUGAAUUAACCAUGCAAAAAUGUAAUGUUAAAGCAUCUUGUCAUACAGACCUCUUCAAGGUACCAGAAAUUUUUGCACUAAAGAUGUCACAAGCAGCUGAUAUGAAGCUGCAUUUUCUGUGAGUUGAAAUUUUGUCAAUAUAAUCGAUCACCUGAAGAGAGAGAGAGAGAAAAAGACAGUGAUAUCCAGAGAUGUGAGCCUAAAUGCUGAGUGUGUAAAAAAAGAAGAUUAAAUGGAUAGCAAGAAUAUACAACUUUAAUGCUGAAAAGAACAUUGAAUAUGAUGCUCAUUCAUCAUUCCCAUUGAACGUGUACCUUCUUCUUUUCCUCUUUCUCAAAAGCAAGUAGAGCCUUGAAGACUUGCCUAUAUGAUCCAUCAUCACAACCAGGCAAAGUUGUUUUAAUCAUAGCAACAAUGGCUCUAACUACCUGCCAUAAGAAACAUGCUACAUCAACAAGAUCACAGAGUGUACCAGAAACCGUAAUGUAGCAAAAUCUUGGAUAAAAUAGCUGGCCAAAAGGGAAUGGAAAAGCAAGCAUGAAAAACAAUGAAAAGGACCAGUGAUGCCAAAAUUCUGGUGGAAAAGGUGAAAAGCUUCUGUCUAUUACAGUUCUUGUAUGCAUUCUUUAUAACUUAAGUUCUACGUAGCAAAAACCACCUUAUGCACAACAAUAUUGGAAAAAUUAGAUACAUACAACUGAGAAGAUAGGUUUUCAUAAUCUGGACAAGUGCUAACUACUUUCUUCCUAUAAACUGCCACUCCAUGAACAUUAAAUGGUAUUUUCCUUUCACGCAAGGCUGUCUGGAAGACUUUUCCUGAUACCUGUAGCAUAAAAUACAAAAGAAAAUGUGACCAAAAUGUCUUAUAUGAUUCACCUCAUUCACAUUAGCACUAAGGCAAGUAAGCUUGACCUGCCUCCGGUAAAGGAUUGCUAUAUUUCCAUAGGAGCACCCUGCUUCUGACCGUUUAGAUGCAGUCUCCAGGAUCUUGUCGACAACAAAGGCGCAUUGUGCAUCCUCAUUGUGACUUUCCUUGAUAAUUACCUACAUUUUGCCAGUAAAACCAGUGUCACUAACUAUAAGGACUGAAAAAUGACAUCAAAUUGUACUUGUUGGAGCAAGGAAAGAUUAAGUACCUUAGACCCAGAAGAAUUGUCCAUGUCAACAUUCUUUAGUUGGCAUUGCUUCUUAUUGUUUUUUAUAACAGAAGUUGCAGCUUCCACAAUAUAGCGUGUGGACCGAAAGUUUUUAUUAAGCCUAAUCUGAACCAUAAAGUUAUGUCAAAUCCCACAGAACCUCGUAAAAUAAAACUUACUUUCCUGUAAUUGUACAAUAUAUUUUUUCUGUACUAUAUAUAAUGAAAAAAGACACUGAAUGACAUAAGAUAACAUAGCAGUCAAGUGCGAAGCGAACCUCUUUGUAAUUUGAAAAAUCUUUACGAAAAGAAUCAAAUCCAGAAAUGUCCGCCCCAUUGAAACUGAAAAUGGACUGCAGCAGGAUAUAUGUUAUUUGAUUUAAAACAGAUAAGGGCUGGAUUAGAAUGAGCUGAGAGAGAGAGAGAGAGAGGGAGAGAGGGAGAGAGGGAGAGAGGGAGAGAGGGAGCAAUAACAUUGGAUUUCCAUAACAAAUCAACAACAUGCCUGAUCAUCAUCACCAACAAUGGUUAUGUGGUUAUGAGAGGCGAGAAUCCGCAAAAGACUAUAUUGCAUAGCACUUGUGUCUUGAAACUCGUCUAUUACAGUAGCUUUCCAUGACUCCUGGCACUCCUUCAACACUAAUUAAGAGAACACCAUGUAUCAACAUUUAGCAUUACUUGUAAAACUAGAUAAAUCAAUGAAAUAUACUUAGAUGAUAGAGACCUUCAGGAAAAUCACUUAGCAGCUUCACAGAGCAGCUAAUUAAGUCGUGGUAGUCCAAAGCAUUGCACGAUUUCAAGAUAUCAUUGUAAUUCCUAAGAAUUUCACCCUGAUUCAGAUUGAGAGCUAAAACUCAUAAGCAAUAGUUUCAAAGAACUGAAAUGAUAUCUGAAAUUCUAGUUCUGAGCGUACUCCUGUCACAUCACCCAUUCUUCGGCAUUCAGCCGGAGUCUUUCCAGAAGCCUUUGCCUGAAACAUAAAUAAAUUUAUUGCCUAAUGCCACAUAUUGUAAGACACACCAUUGUAUUGGUCAUUCUAGCUUGAUUGUAGCUAAUAUUUUUUAAAUCGAAUGAUUAGAGUUCUUAAUCCACAAUAAUCUGAACAUUAAAUUUGGUAUUCAAGACUAACCUGUGUCACCAACUACAGCCAUUUCCUUGAUGCAUCCUUAAAAUGAUGUGGAGAUGUUACGCCGUUAGACUCUUCCCCAUCUAUAGCAACAUUAAGAUUCGUUUACUCUUUUCAUCUUCUGAUAACCGCACAGCUUCAAUGAUUGCUCUUCUCUGUUGCCCAUGUCCAUAUAUCAAAAAUUCUGGUCUGCGCUCGAGUCUAAAACACAAGCCAACAUAACAGACUCAGCUAUACCACCAAAUGUAUGGUGUUCAAAAUCAAGGGAGGUGAAUCAAUAGCUUACUUCUCAGCAUGUGAUCGGCAAAGUUGCAAUGAAAAUGAAUGAAAUGUACUGAUUGUUAGUAGUUUUGCCGUUGCUUUCCCAGUCACAGAUCCAAUUCGAUCUCUCAUCUCGGAAGCUGCUGCUGUAGUGAAAGUCAUUGCUAGAAUGUUCGACGUGCUAAUGCCCUAAGAACACAAAAAAAAAAAAAAAAACGUAUAAGAUUUCGAUCAUAAACAAGAAAUGUAGAGAAACACACAAUUACGAAAGAAAAAGUUAGAGGGAAAGUAGCAACACCUCAUUGAGCAGCAUUAGAACGCGCCCAACUAUCGUUGAAGUCUUUCCACUUCCAGGGCCGGCAACAAUCAUCAAAGGUACUGAAAUAUCGCUGCAAGCUGCCUCGCGCUGCCUUUCGUUGAGAGAAAGCAAAUACUUCAAUACUCAUCCGGCAUGUUAGGCAAUCCAUGGUUAACAGAAUCUUUUUGGUUUUCACUACUCAAAGGUGGCGCUGAUGCGGCACUAACGUCACUACCACAACUCCCAAUAUCAUCACGCUGAAUGUCCACACUCGGUUUCUGCUCGAUUAAAGCGUCAAUUUCCUGCAAAAUACUCUCGUCGAAAUCAUCAUCGUUAAGAAUUCCAGAUGCAGAGAAAGAAUCAAAUGAAGUCAGAAACUGCGGUUGUCUGAUUGGAGUUGUGAAAGAAUCCGAUUUUGACACGCUUGAUUCGGUCCGGCUAACGCUUAAGCUCCCGGAACACGAAGCACUGCCAUAUUCACCACGCGUUGAAUUGUACCGGCUUGCGGAAAUCGGAGGCGGUGUUCUUUGAACUCUAUUGAGCUGAGUUGGCGUUUGGAUUCCAUUUCCGCCACAGAUUCUGGAAUUUGAAAAACACAAUUGAAUUGAUUUAAAUUGAAGCAAGAAAACAGCCGAGUAGCAAAAAAAUAGUAAGAAGAUGAAACCUUUGAUUCCUGAACGACUUACUUGGUAUGAGGGAGGUGAUGAUCAGGUGAAACGGCGUCGUUGCGGGGGCGUUUGCGAUCAAUGAGGGCCUUGGCGGCUCUGAAAUUCCGAGAGAUGCGGUUUCUUUGUUCCGCCGUGAGCCCUCCGCCGUACGCCUGAACGUUUUCCUUGGACAUUGCUUCGAAGAUUCCAACGGAGGAUUUGGCCUGACGGCCUGACCAGGCUGAUAACAGUGUAAAACCUUAGGAGCUAAGGAAAACUAAGAGAUAGAUCGUAGAGAGGGAAAGUUUUUUCUUUUUGGAAACUAGUAGGGAGGGAAAGUUUGUUAAACCUGAAUAAUAUUCUUUUCAUUCAACUUGUCUACAAUAAUUACCACUCUUGGUAUUUAUACAUUUCUAACACACCUCACUAACUAACUAAGACCACUACCAAUCAUACAAAAAUAAUUGUCCUUUGAUGAACUCUUUCACGAACAAAGUGGCAAUCAAUCUCUACAUGUUUGGCUUUAGAGUGCAAUACAGGUUUAGUGGCAAGAGCCAUUGCUUAAAUGUUAUCACAAUGCAAAACUGGAACAGAAGGAGAACCAACAUGCAAAUCUCGAAGAAGAUGUUGUAUCCAGAUAACCUUAGCAGUGGUUGUAGCCAUUGCUCUAUAUUCAGCUUCAGUGGAAGACCCACUCACUGUAUGCUGCUUUUUAGAACUCAAAGAGAUAGGAGUGACAAAACCCAUGGUUGAACGACGAUCAUUGUGAUCCCCUGCCCAAUCAGCAUAUGUAUGAGCUUUCAACUAAGAUGAACCUGAUUUAAAACACAAUCCCAGAGACAUAGUGCCUCUGAGAUAUCGCAGAAUACGUUUCACAGCAGCAAAUGAGUGGCUAAUGGUGAAUGCAUAAACUGACAUACUUGAUUGACGGAAAAAGAAAUAUCUGGUCUUGUAAAUGUUACGUAUUGUAGUGCCCCAACAAUACUUUUGUAAGUGGUAGGAUCAGAAACAGGUUCACUACCAUGAUUCAGAAGCUUUUGAUUAGGAUGACAAGGUGUGGAAAAAGGUUUACAGUCCAGCAUAUGCAUCUUUUGAAUGAGUUCUUUGACACACUUGGUCUGAUGAACAAAGAGUCCCUGUUCUUGAUAUUCAAUCUGUAAACCAAGAAAAUAAUGCAACACACCCAGAUCUUUCAUGUCAAACUCACUAGUUAACUGACUAAUAACAUUCUGAACCUUCACAGCAUCAUUACUAGUGGGAAUGAUAUUAUCAACAUGUAAUAAGAGAACAAUAAUUGAUGAACCAUCACACUUGACAAAUAAAGAAGGAUCUGCAUAUGAUGACUUGAACCCAAGCUUAGGCAAAUAACCUGAAAACCUGUCAUGUUAGGCUCUGGGAGCUUGCUUGAGUCCAUAUAAAGACCUCUCUAGUUUGCACACAUAAUCCGGAUAGGUAGAAUCCACAAACCCUUGGGGCUGAGACAUAAAAACUUCUUCCUCAAGAAAGCCAUGCAAAAAAGCGUUCUUGACAUCUAACUGUUUGAGUUUCCAAUUAUGAGAUGCAGCCAAGGAUAGAACCAAUCGAACUAUGUUUGGUUUGACCACAGGGCUAAAGGUUUCAUAAUAGUUAAUACCAACUUCUUAAGAAUACCCCUUAGCUACAAGUCUAGCCUUGUACCUAGCCACUAAACCAUCUGGAUUUCUCUUAAUCUUGUAGAUCCAUUUACAACUAACAAGAUUUUUGUCAGGUGGUAAGGGCACAAGCCUCCAAGUAUGAUGUUGAAUCAAAGCAUCCAUCUAUUCUUUCAUGGCAUUUUGCCAUUAAACACACUUGACAAUACUAGAAAAAGACUGAGGUUCCUUGAUUUCAGAAGCCUGAUCCACCUUAGCAGAAAACACCUUCUUUUUCAUAAUCCUAGACUUAGACCGGGUUUGCAUGGGAUGACAAUUUUGAGCAUUGAUACACACUGGUUGGAGAUCAUCCACUUGAGACAUUGUAGUAUUUGGAUGAUCUUUUGAAUACACAGUAGGCAAAACCUCUGAAGAAGGCACAAAACUUGUGGAAGAAGAGACAAGAUCACCAGAACUAGUGGGUUGAGAGGAUGAUGACUGAGUAACAUGUUGUGAUUUAGAGGUAAGAGAAGUGGGACCAAUAAAUGGAAAUGUGGAAGAAACACUAGGUGGAUGAAUGAAUGUGUUUGAAUGCACAACAGACAUUGGUGAGGAAGAAUGACCAGAAGUAACUUGAGGAUUGAAACCCAAAGCAUUAGAGUCUGUAGGAAACUUGGAUUCAUCAAAAAUAACAUGUCUAGAUACUAACAGUUUCUGAUCUUUGAGAGAUAAGCAAAUAUACCCUUUGUAUUGUGUAGCAUACCCCAGAAAAAUACACUUAGUAGUUUUAGGUUCAAGUUUAUUGCUUCUAUAGGGUUUCAAUGAAUGAUAGCAUAAACAACAAAAAAUUCUCAAAUGAUCAAGCUUAGGUGGAGAUUUAUAUAGCAUUUCAAAAGGAGACUACAUAUGUAGGGUAGGUGUGGGCAUUCUGUUUAUAAGAAAAGUAGCAGUGGCACACGAAUGGAACUAGAAUUUUGAAGGUUGAAACUUGUUGUAAAAAGGUAAUAGCUGUUUCGACAAUAUGUUGAUUUUUUCUCUCAGCCAACCCAUUAUGUUAUGGGGUAUAAGGACAAGAUUUUUGAUGAACAAUGCCUUUGGUAAGAAGAAAUUGCUUAAACUGAGUAUUAACAUAUUCCCCACCCCCAUCACUUUGCAAAAUUUUUACAUAAGCAUCAAAAUAAUUCGAGACAAAAGCAAGAAAGUUGACAAAACAGUGAGGGACCCCAAACAUCUAUGUGAAUUACUUCAAAUGGAGUAAGUGACUUCGAAGCAAUUACAGGAAAAAUGGAGCUUGGUAAAAUUUGCCUUGCAAACAAGCUUUACAAGUAUGAGAUUGAGAGUUACAAGGAAAAGAUAUACAAGACUUAUUAAGUGCUGCAGUGACAAUGGAAUGUGCAGGAUGGCCUAAUCGACAAUGCCACAAUGUAGAAUACAUCUUUUGACCCACAAAUGCAAUUGGAUUAAAAACAGGAGAAAUAGACCUAUGUGGUUUGAUUAUGGGAAGUGGAUAGACAACAUUAUUACUCAGCCCUUGGAAUAGCACUUUCCCGGUGACCUUGUCUUGUAGAUAGAGAGAAACAUCAUCAAUGAUACAAUGACACUGAUUAUCUUUGCACAACUGAUUCAUAGAUAAUAAGUGUUGUGACAGUUUUGGAACAUGUAACACAAAGUUUAACUUGAAAUUAUGUGACUUAGUGAGAAGAGAAGAGGAACCAAUAUGUUUGAUAGCUAAACCUUCACCACUAGCACUGGUCACAGUAUCAUUUGAUGGAUAAAUUUGUUGCCAUGUGCAAGUUUGACAAAUCUGAGGUCAUAUGGUUAGUUGCUCCCAAGUCAAGAAACCAUAAAUCUUGUUGAAGAGUUGAGGAUGAUGCACCAGCUCGUGCUUGUAUAGCAAGAGGAGGAUUUUGUGAGGAUAUAGUUGAGAGAUACAUAUGUGGUAUGACAUGAUACUGAAACUGGGAGCUAUUAGACCGUGGAAUCAUGCCUUGUGAAGGACCACAUGGAUUCUAGCUAGGUGCUUCGCCAUAUGACCCAGCAGGCAUUGGAGUUGGCAUAGAUGAGGAUAAACCCUGAGAGAAAUGCUUUGAUGUGCCUGUGAAAUUCUUAUUUCGAUCAAAGCAAGUAGCAGCAACAUGGCAAUUUCUGUGACAAAUUUGACAUCCAUGUUGAAAACAAUUCAAUGCAAAAUAAACUUUGCGAUCACAUAUUUGCAGAAAGGCCUUUGCAACCCUAGAAAGAAGAAGGAGCAAAGAAGACCAAAUGUGUACGUUUCUCUUUGGUUUUUUUUCCCUCUUAAUCACGCUGUUCGAAAUCACGGACCUCGGGCCUGGGCCUAGUGGGCCCAAUUAUGAGGCCCAUUAUCUCCGGUCUUCUCGUUCUACUUCUAGUUACCCAAAUUAAGAACGUACUGGUUCGCUUUUAGCGCGAGAGAGAAAUGGAGGCCCUGAUUGCCUCGUACGGAGACUCGUCGUCGGGCUCAGACUCCGAGUCGCCGGCUCCACCUCCAUCACCACCUCCGGAGCUCAACAACCCUCAAGAACCGACCCCUGCGCUGCCUCCACCUCCUCUGUCACUUCUCGACAACCCCAAUUCCUUCGGUAACCUCUGAUUCCCAUCAAUUUUCAUCUUUUAGCUUUCUGUUGUGAUGGCUUUUUCCGAGUUGCCCACCAAGUAUUUGAUGUUUUGCCUCUGAAGGAUUUCUGGACUUCUCGGCAAGCGCCCAGCCGAGCAGAGUUCGGAACUUUCCUCACGUCGAAGGGAACUACGCAGUACAUGUAUACAUCCCAGGUUAUCAAAAUUCUCGAAAUUUUCAGCUCCAUUAGCAAAUGCGAUCGCUUUGCACUUAGUUUUUGCUUGUUUAAUUCUGUGGUCAGUUUAUAUACCACCAGCACCAAGGAAAGAGAUGGCCUUGUUUUUGAACAAGCUAGCUUCUCUGGUGCCUGGUCUCCAUGCGGUUGACGUUGACUUCCUGCUUGACAUUCUGCGUAAGGACGAGCACAAGCUUGAACAAGUUGCUUUAGGCAGAGAGUUCCAUAUAAGUCUCGGAAGAACUGUUCCGAUUCGGGUGCACCAGAUUGAUUCCUUGGUGACAAUGCUGCGGCAGAAGCUUCAGAUUCAGAGGCGGUAUGGUUACAUUUACAUUCUCUUGUCUGCAUUGCGUGAAUUUAGUUCUGUUAUUUAACAUAAUUCUGUAAGCCUGCAAAUUUUUCGUCCAUUUUCAGUUUAACACAUUUUGUUAUUGUGAAACAAGUAUUGGAUUGAUUUUAGCAAGUGGUAGGUUUUUGUUAAUGAUGAUCAGACCCGGACCUUUGUGUCUAUCGAAAUCAUUGCUGCUGGGUUAGCUGAGGUAUGAUUGCUAGCUUUCUCUCUUGGUGCAAUUCUAAAUGUUUUCAGUUGUUAUAUGGGCUUAAGAUUUAGCAAGGACUUGCCGAAAGUCAUGGGAUUUUGAAAUAUCGAGAUCUUGCUUGCUUAUUAGCUUAGAUUUGGUCUUCGAUGCACUUGUAACAUGAAAAACACAAACGAAAACUAAUGCAUGAUAUGCUCAUGGUUUUAACAUGUGUUGUCCUGGCGUAAAUCAUGUUCCUAAUCAUGUCAUGUGAGUAUAAGCCUAUGAAACUUAGGGCAUGUUUGGCGGGCUGGACAAGAUUGGAAUUGGUAUUUCAGACUAGUUAGGUUAGGAUUGAACUGGAUAGGAUAGGUUUUUUGUCUAAAGAUUGGUGUAGACUGUCUUAACCAGACUAGGAACGAUGGGAUUUAAAACGUGAAACAGAUCGGCGACAUCCCAACGAUGACCCGCCCACCCAACAACUCUGCUCGUGACUUGCAACACCUCUCGUACCCUCCACGCCCCUUGCGGCCCGUCAGACCACUCUGAUAUCCUGGAGGAGUGAAACGUGGUUACUAGAAGCAUACCUGUUUUCGUAUUAAUGCACGGUUGAAUCAGCUUUCAUUGUCUACAAGUCUGAAAUAUUUUAACUUCCAUUGAUUUCAGAUAACAAAGCAGAUUCAAGCUGUGAAUGAGGUGUAUAAGCUUCACAAUCAUCCUAAAUUUUACAAGGUUAGCUUUUUCGUCCUUUUCAAACUCGAAUCGCUUCCUGAAUAUAUGACAAUAUAUUGGAUCAAAUGAUUUCUCAAAAAACUAAUUCACUUGAUGGGGUCUUGGUGAUCACAGGAUCCACGCCCUCACAUCUCGGUAGCUUGGGCAUUGGGUGACAUCAGCAAUUCCCUGAACAAAGUGGUUGAAGAAGAAAGACGAAGAUCUACCAUCGGAGGAUCGUUACAGAAAUGUAUUUUUACCAGUAAAUUCAAUGGUAUCGAAUGUAGGAUUGGUAAUAAGACACACAAAAUAUGUAAAUUUUCUGAAGAAUAAUGUAGCCAUUUAACUGUAUUGUGAAAUUCCGAGAAUAUAUCACUGAGCAUUGGAUGAGAAGACAUUUCUUCGUUGGUGUCGAACUUCUUGUCGAAGGUAUUGGCACCAGUGUAAACGUCAUCAUCCAUGUUGAUGGUAAUUACUUCCCAGCUACUAAGGGUGUCGGAACAGCCUUGCACGCAGCCUCCUGUGCAUUACUUGGUAUUGUCUCAGAUUCUCCAAACUUGAAUGCUAAUGUAAACCCACUCUUGACCUUUCCGUCAUCUGCGAUUACCGGAAUGCCGGCUUGGAUGUUGCCGUUGACCUACCGAACUUAAAAUACCGACGAAAUGUUGGAGUACUUAAGUGUACUACUCGUUUUUGUAUGCGAGAGCUCCACCUCUAUCGUUGUAACAGCAUCUGAUGCGGACUAGUCCUUCAUUCCCGUUACUCUUUGCCAUCUCCACUUCGAACUUGGCGUGAUGGCUCCCGGCCUCCUCUCCGGUGAAAUUGAGUAACCCCGGAGCUGGCGUGCCAUCAAGAUUUCCGUCGUGUCUCUAUUUGCUGUUGUGGUUUGGUUUCACCACUAUAAACUUGGCAGAGUUGGCAUUUUCAUUCUGUUGUCUGUAUAUCUUGAUAUUACAAGUAUUUGUUGUGCAAAAUGCAUGCUAAGUUCAACUUAUGUUUAUAUGUGUGUGUGUGUGUGUUGCCACUUUUCCAACGUUUUCUCCAAAAUUGUGACGAGCAACAAAGCAGUUUUGAUUCCGUGCACAACAACGAUACCUCGAAAGAAAUUGAUUCUUCCCCAGAAAGAUGUUUUAAAACAAAGUUGAACAAGGGAAGAAAACUUUUGAAUCGCAAUCAGAUGUCUGGUCAAAUUCUUUAACAGUUGAUGUAUACAGAAGUUCCUUGCUUAUGACACGACUUAUGAGAGGAUGUAUGUAUUGCAUUUGCAUCAAAAGAAAGAAAGAAGGUUGUAAGUGGUAAGGGAACGACUACCGAUGCCGCUCCACUUCUAAUCAAAGGGAUCGAUCCGAGGGUCGUGUUCACUUGCCAUCGCCAUUCCAGUGCAAAGGCAUGUCGGGCACAUUACCUGCCACAUUUACAGACGCAAUGUUAGAUAUAGCUGCCAUUUGGAAGUCAUCUCUCAAAAUUUUGCUACUAAAUCAAUCUUAAACUUCAUUUCCAGUGCAAUUUUUUUCUUCUGAAUUGUCUUUCACAUGCCCGACAAAUAGAAGUAUCACCAAACAUGUGAAUAUAGAGCAUCUAAGCGGCAGGCACUAAAAGGAAUUUAGUAUGCAAUAAACAUUCAACGGACAUAAUUAUAUGUCUAACCUUUCCCGCUCCUGAGCAAUUUGAACAUCGUUCAGUUUUUGGCAGAGAUAGGGGUUGGUUUCCGCCAUCAGCUGUCGAUACUGGUUCAGUAAGAACAAGGGUUCCAGUGCUGGAGCAACGAGCACAAGCAAGAGAUCCUGCGUAAGUAUCAAAUACACAGGUAAGUUGACAUACGAAACCAAUCCGAACAUCUCCAUCGUAUAUAUUUAAAGCUACAGUACAUAAACUAAAAGUCAGAAAUAUAGGACAUUAUCACACCAGUUCCAAGACAAUAUUUGCAUCGUUUAUGCUCCUGCUGUUUCACAUUGUUUAUUUCAACUACCAUCAAUGCUGAGAUCACUCCGACUGCUCCUCCAGAGAAUGACGCCACUAUGGGAUCAACUUGACUGCAGUUUGAAAGUAAAGGAGAUCAAUAAACGAAACUGGUAACAACAUAGUAUCAACAUUAUUUAGCUUCGUUUCAAGAAAGAUGACAUCCUAGGUUUUUCUAAUGUGUAAAAAUUGAGGAUCCUCGUAAAAUUUGACCAUAUCGGUUCCCAAAGCAUUUGAUUCCUACGUUACAGACGGAAAACAGCAACAAUCGAAUUUAAAGAUUCAUAACACGAUAGAUGGUACAAAAUUUCAAAACGAUAAUUACUAGAGAACAGGAGGGUUAAUAGCCUGAGAUAUGAGCAAUACCUCAACUGCAACGGCAGAUGCAUAUUUACUAUAAAGUCUUUAUAUGAUGUGCCUCCUAUUCCCAGCUUCAACUCCAACUGAAAGAUGUAAAGGUAAUUGUAGGCAAAGAGUUACAAACAUAACCGAAUCCAUGUUUUAUAAGCAACAACUACACUUAUUUUGAUAUGUUUCCUCAUUUUUUACUUGCAAAUUCCGAACCAUAUUGUCGGACCAGUAAAAGAAAAUAAUGUUUAUGAUAACUGUUAAAACUAAUUACAACAAGUUAAUGCAUAAAGAACUUACGGAGGGUGCUAUGAGGCCACCGAAAAGGAUAAACCCCACAAUAAUUGAAUAACAAACAGCAUAAUACUGCUUAAGGUUGUCUGAACUCUGCAAGCAAUGAAUUCACCUUGUGAUUAAUACUUUGCACAAACACUAGUUUUCGCAAUUUUUUAUGAAUCGACAAAAGGCUACAACAAAAUAUGGCUAAAACAUGUCGGGGAUAUGAAAAUACAUGUCUUCACAGGGGCACCAGCUUACCAGGGGAGGCAAAAAUGGAAUGAACGAUGGAAAACUAGGAAGUUCGUUUUCUUGAUCUUCAUUUACCGCUCCAAGCUCUGCACGUUUAAUCCGCUGUUGUAUCCUCAGCCUGCGAACCUACGCAUAUCGAAGCUCAUUCUUAAAGAACACAUUUCUAAUGGCAAUUGGAGAGUAAUUUAAAACAUGCUAAACUGAGAAAGUGGUAGCAACUAGUAAUUGCUCUCACCUCCUCCAUAUGCAAGAAAAUUUUGUUGCGACGACUCCGAAUAUUAUCUUGAAUUUCCUGCAGCUCCAUUGUGGCAAAAUCCUGCACUGUUUCAGGCCCCUCUAUGAUACAAAAUCUGCACCAUUAAGCAUGUAAAAAUUAAAAAUUACAGGCUACAAAGCAAUUUCCGUAUAGUUGUUGGGUUAAAUAACAUCAACAGCAAAUAAAUCACAUAGGUUUUUCACAUAAAGUUACAAACUUUCAAGGACUAAUAAGCUGUCUGCAAUCUCAUAAAUUUCACAGUGCAAAGUAACAAUCCAAAGCUUGGAACUUUAAAUUUCCACCUUCUGUUAAUUUUUUAGUGCACCUGGUGUCGUUAGAUUCGAGUAGUAUGUCACAUUAAAUUUUUUUUUUCUGUGCAUGCAUUUUUUUUUAAAAGAAAAUUUUAUAUUGUUAAAGAGCGAGUUCGAAACUAUUACAUUAUGGAAGGACAUAGUACCGAAACUCCGACGAUCAAAAACAAAAUCAUGUACAACCACUCCAAGCAGUCAACAUGGCCAUCACAUAUUGAAUCCAAAAUGUUGACGCCCCAUUCGCUGCAUAUAAUGUACAGACGAGCGGCAGCUUCAACCAGUUCUGCCAUAUCCGGCUGGAUGAGAGCAGCUAAAGACAUGAUUGUUCCCUAAUAACAUGAAUAAAUUGAGUAAACACCAAAAGUAGCAGCAAGGGAAGGAGAUGUGAAGUAUAUGAAGAGGUGUAAGACCUGUGAAUGUCCAGCAACAAAGAUUUUGGAGCUUGUUGUCGAAUAAUGCAACGCAUCAUUUCUGGUAGAUCAAAUAGAGCCAAUUCCCGCCAACUCCAAUUCCAAAAUUUCUACAGUAAAGCAUAAAUCUUAUUCUCUCUUCUGAUAAAGAUGAGUGUCCCAGACUCCAACGUGUUCCACACACAUUCCCUACCCAUACAUCGAAACCUUCAUCUGCAAGGACGAAUCCCAGCGAUUCUUCUGGAGAAUUUAAGAAUCAUGCAUCACCUGGUUAAGAUCAAGAAAAGCCAGUAACCAAGUUCAAUUGAGUUAAAAUGUAUCCCAUGGAUGUUCAUCACUUUGCCCAAUUGUUCUUUUCAAGAAAGGAAAUUUCAACAGAACCUGAAAACUUCAGAUCAGGGGGCACCAAAUAGUGAGCUAUACAUUCAAAAUUUGAAAUAAUCAACUUAGUAGGACCAGUAUGUUGAAAAAAUGGGAAGGAGCUAUGAAAGUAAGACUUUUCACUAAUCAGGCGUCCAGAGAAUCCAUAUUUUACCCGCGUAUCAGUUACGGGGAACACUCCCCACCAGAGCAAUCUCAUUAGUCCUUCACAUCUCAACCGUACAGAAGUUGCACUAACAAACAUGACUCCUAUUAGUCCUUCACAUCUCAAAUCCAGGAAGUACCCAUCUUUCGUCUGAAUCUGGAAAAUAAGCAGCAGUCAAUUUAACAAUCUCGGUAUCUCAAAGUUACUCACUUUAAUCACAAAUUUAGCAAUUAAACAUAUAAAUGGGCAUUUUUUUAGGGAAAUAUUAGUAUAGUACUCACUGUGUGCUCGGAGCAAGAGUACCCAGAAAGCUCAAUGAGCUGCGCACAGAGGACUGCAGUGGUGAACGACAGCGACCAAUUCUGUAAAAUUUAGUCGAGUUUUGGGAAAUUUCUGCAGCGAUUUCGGAGGUCAAGAGGCUGAUAAGGAAAGCCGCGACCAAAGGGCACUGGUCUGGAAGAAAGGCUUUGGUCGCCGCUAUCGCAAUUCGCGAAGGAAGAAGUGCCCCAAAACAAUUUCGGCCCUGGACAGGUGCACUGUUUGCACUGAGCCAGGGCCGGCCCUGAAUCGCGAUAACGUCCUUCUCCAAACAGUAUAUAUACAGAUGCUAGAAAAAUCUACCGGAACUAUUCAAUUCUAGCGUCUACAGCUUUAGCAUUAGUUGGUACAAGGGGCAUUCUUCCAAAGAGGGAGAUGAAAUCGUUGAGGCACCAAAUAGUGAGCUAUACAUUCAAAAUUUGAAAUAAUCAACAUGGUAGGACCAAUAUGUUGAAAAAAUUGGAAGGAGCUAUGAAAGUAUGGCUUUUCACUAAUCAGGCGUCCACAUAAUCAAUAUUUUACUCACAGAUCAUUUACGGGGAACACUCCCCACCAAAACAAUCUUUUUAGUCCCUCACAUCUCAAACCAAGUAGAAAUUGCAGUAACAAACACAUCUCAAACCCAGUAAGUACCCAUCUUUCGUCUGAAUCUGGAAAACAAGCAGCAGUGGAUUCAACAAUCUGGGUAUCUCAAAGUCACUCACUUUAAUCACAAAAUUAACAAUUAAACAUAUAAAUGGGCAUUUAUUUAGUGAAAUAUUAGUAUAGUACUCACUGUGUGCUCGGAGCAAGAGUACCCAGAAAGCUCAAUGAGCUGCGCACAGAGGGACUGCAGCGGUGACGACGGCAACCGAUUCUGUAAAAUUCAGUCGAGUUUUGGGCGAUUUCUGCAGCGAUUUCGGAGGUCAAGAGGCUGAUAAGGAAAGCUGGGACGGAAGGGCACUGGUCUGGAAGAAAGGCUCAGGACACCGCUGUCCCGAUUCAUGAAGGAAGAAGUGCCCCCAAAACAAUUUCGGCUCUGGACAGGUGUACUGUUUGCACUGGACCAGGGUCGGCCCUGGCGAUAACGUCCCCCAAACAGCACAUAUACAGAUGCUAGAAAUAUAUAAAUGUAACCUGAAACUACUAGAACCAUUCAAUUCUAGCGUCUACAGCUUUAGCAUUAGUUGGUACAAGGGACAUUCUUCCAAAGAGGGAGAUGAACUCAUUGAGGCUCUUAUUUAUUCCUCCUCUUGAUGUGCCCUUUUAGGCUGCUAAUUCCACACGAUCCAAUUUCAUACAUCUUCCCUGCAAAAGCAUGUGUGCCUGACUUCAAGAUCAAAUUUUUCCAACAAAAGAAACUUAAAGAUCAAACUCGCUAGCGGAAUAAGUGGUGCACAAGGGUGUUAAAAUCUUGACAUAUGUAUAUUUUUGGCAGAUUUUAUGUGAGCAUGCAACUAAAACUGGCAUCACUAUCAAUGGUGCACAAAGAUUGGUGGAAAACUUUAACAGUUUGAGUUGUAACUUCUCCAUUGUAUUUGUUAAGGCAAGACGGAUGUCAUCUAUUCAUUUUUCUGUAAAACUUAAAAGGCUGCAUAGCAGCUCUUGUUCGUUGUAUUGAAUACCAUGGUUUUACUGAUGAAUGCAGAGUUUGCUGAUGAUUCAUACGACAAGCAAUUGAAAAUCCCAUCAUUAUGCCCCGCAUAUACCAGAAGAAAAAAAAGUCAUUUACACAAAUUCAGAGCGUUCAUCCACUGUAAUUUGCAGAUAUGGAAACGUUAAGAUAAAAGGAAAUGCAAAGUACCUUUCACCCAAAUUGGAGGAGCAACGGUGGCAUUAGCAAGCUAGCAACGGGAAUUGACAUACCAAUAUCUUCACAGUUUCUGCACAAGAACAAAUCAAAAGAAUCCGGCGGUGGAGUUAUGUACCUCUCCUUGGAAAAUGCCACCUCCUGGGAUUUCAAAAUAUACGGCCGUGGCUAGCCGUCUGACCACGCCAAUUCCACCAAAGCCGCCGCAACGUGGCGUAGUGUCCGGUUGAUUGCUUCAAAACAGAGCUUCGUAUCCAUGUGUUUAUCAGCAGAGAGUACCCAAAACCCCUGAAAAUUAUUUCUUUAUUCAGAUAAUAAAAUUUCCCAAAUUUCGAAUUUUAAUUCCGAACAAAAAAAAUAGGGUUUGAAUUUUGAUUACCUAGAAAUUGGGGGGUUGGGGUGGAGAGGGACUCGGGCCAAGACACAGAUAUGCAUCCGUGAUAAGGUGUGCAAGGCUUUUGCAGUUUCUCAGAUCUAAACACUGAAGCCCCGUAAGCCGUUCAAUCCAGGGGGAAAGCUCUUUAAUAGAUGUUCCAUCCAAGAAAAGAAAUCUUAAUCCUUCCAUAUUUUCUUCAAUGCUUGGAAACACCUCAAAUUUUGUACAACCGGAAAGAGAGAGAAAGGCAAGGGACUUCAGCUGACAAAUGCUACUUGGAAGACUCUUAAGUUCUUUACAAUUUUCUAGCUUCAAAUGAUUCAAUCCCAUGAGAUUAUUAAUUGAUAAGGGCAGUUCUUUAAUUUUCGACCCAGAUAAAUCAAGAACUUUUAACCCCUCAAUCACUUCUGAAAUCUCUGGAAACAUCUCAAGACUCCAGCAACCAUAAAGAUCAAAGGUUUUGAGAGAUUUCAUAUGAAUGCUGCUUGGAAGACUCUUAAGUUCCUUGCAAUCUUGUAGAUUCAAAUGACACAACCUCGUAAGAUUAUUAAUUGACGGGGACAGUUCUUUAAUUUUUGAGCAGGGUAAAUCAAGCUUUUCUAACCCCUCAAUACCUUCUGAAAUCGAUGGAAACAUCUCAAGACUGGAGCAGCCAUAAAGAUUAAAGGUUUUCAGACAUUUCAUAUGAAUGCAGCUUGGAAGACUCUUAAGUUUCUUGCAAUCUUUUAGGUUGAAAUGACUCAACCCCGUGAGAUUAUUAAUUGACAGGGGCAGUUCUUUAAUUUUGGACCCGGAUAAAUUAAGCUCUUCUAACUCCUCCAUACCUUCUGAAAUCUCUGGAAACAUCUCAAGACUGGAGCAGCCAGAAAGAUUAAAGGUUUUGAGAGAUCUCAUACGAAUUUUGCUGGGUAGAAUCUUAAGUUCCUUGCAAUUUGAUAGGUUCAAAUGACACAACCCCAUGAGAUUAUUAAUUGACUCGGGCAGUUCUUUAAUUUUGGACUCGGAUAAAUUAAGCUCUUCUAACUCCUCCAUACCUUCUGAAAUCUCUGGAAACAUCAGAAGACUGGAGCAGCCAAAAAGAUUAAAGGUUUUGAGAGAUCUCAUACGAAUUUUGCUAGGUAGAAUCUUAAGUUCCUUGCAAUUUGAUAGGUUGAAAUGACUCAACCCCAUGAGAUUGUUAAUUGACUCGGACAGUUCUUUAAUUUUGGACCCGGAUAAAUCAAGCUCUUCUAACCCCUCAAUCACUUCUAAAAUCUCUGGAAACAUCUCAAGGCUCACGCAGUUAAUAAGAUCAAGAGUUUUGAGAGAUUGCAUACGAAUUUUACUAGGUAGAAUCUUAAGUUUUUCGCACCCAUUCAGAUCCAAUAAAACAAGUUUUGUAAGAUUCGAAAUAGAUGGGUGAACCUUAACUAACCCUAUACAACCAUGAAGAAUUAGCCUCUCAAGAUUUGGCACAUUUGUGAAGUCAGGGGUUUCCUUAAGGUAUUCACAAUAACUUAAAUUGAUGAAUUUCAACUUUUCCUGCGUCUGUUAAAACAUUCAGGAAAACAUGCAUUACUUAAUAAGACAUCUCACUCAAAGCCCAAACAUUUAAAAGAAACAAAUACAUGUAAAUGAUUGUACAUACCUGGGUUCCUUCCCAAAGUCGGUCAAUGUGGCUAUAUUGCAUGUCAAGUCCAACAAGAUUUUCGAAUUGAAAGUUGGAUGGCAAAGACUUGAGCGGGAAACAAGACCAGGAAAGAAACCUCAACUCACUAGAAACAAACUUUAAGGACCCAGUCAGGUGUUGUAUGCUGAAAGUACCGAUCUUGAGAAGUCUUAGUUUAGUCAUCCUAUCAAAAGCUUUAACAAUUAAGCAUCCCUCAUAUGAGUGCCCCAAAUCUAGGAUUAUGCUUUCAACUGUUUCUGUACCCUGUGCAAAUCAAAGGGAAGGAAAAAGCAGAGAACCUUAGUUUAGAUUAUGAAGUUAAUGCUUGUUUCUUAAGGAGUUGUUUGAUAAUAAUUUUGUUUUCACUUUUCACUUUUGUUUUGAUUAUUUAUUUAGAAAUCUGAAAAUUGAAAACAUAUAACUUGUUUGUAAUUGUUUUCAAUUUUCAAUUAUUAAAAAAAUGAAAAUUUAAAAAUAUAAAUGGAAACAAAAGUGGUUAUCAAACGAGCUUAAGAAAUUGAUUUUGGUCAAAAGUUGAAGCUUUCUACUAAACAUUGCAUAAGAAAAGAAAUUAUCACCGUAUUUUUAGUUAUCACAUGAAAAACAUCUUCAUAACUCCACAACCUACUUCGUCUCCCAGGCUCUUUGAUAGAUUCUUGGUAGACGAUUUUCUGACCCAUUUCCUCUAGUAAAUCAUGCAUCUCCAGUUCCCCCCUCCAUGAGACAGUUACUAGAGCUCGAUCGAUUAGAACUUUUAUUCCAAUAUCAGGAUAGGAACCACAGCUGUGCAGAACUGUGGUUGCAUAGUCUUUUCUCAUUCCUUUAAAGAAACAUGCAAUAUCUAGAAAGAUAUCCUUCUCCGUGUCAUCUAGUCCAUCGAAGCUUGUUUUAAGCACAUCAUGAAUUCCCUUUUGCGGGAUUUUCUUUAUUUUUUCUAACUCAUUUUCCCACUGGCGUACAUUUUUGUUAUAAAGAAAAGCUCCCAAGACUUUGAGUGCUAAAGGCAGACCUUGAGCAUAAUUUACAGCACGACUCGAGAUCAUCAUAAUCUCUGUUGGGUUGGUUUUUUCUAAAGGCGUACCGCCUAAAGAGUUCCAGAGCUCCAUAAUCACUUAAAAUCUUGGGAUUAUAUAUCCCAUCAGCUAUGCUUAGUAAUUGCGAAUCUCUGGUUGUUAUAAUAAUUCUGCUUCCACCACCAAAGGAAUGUGGCUCUCCAAGUAAAGCUUCAAUUUGUUCUAAUUCUUCCACAUCAUCAACAACAAUAAGAACUUUUCUCCGACCUAGACUAUUUAACAUCACCUGGAAACCUUUAUUCGAAACGUCGGAACUCCCCACCCUGUUGUUCGAGAUACUCGAUAGAAGUUCUGCCUGCAUAUGUAGUUUGCCAUGCUUCAUGAAACCUUCCUUGAAAUUUUCAAGAAAGCAACAAGCUUUAAAUCCACCAGAGAUUUCAUUAUAAAUAGCUCUAGCGAUGGUUGUUUUGCCUAAACCACCCAUACCCCAUAUUCCAACAAUGCGAACAUCAUUAGUUUCAACUCCAGGAGGAUGCAGUAAUGAAUGCAUGUUAUGCAUAUGAGAGUCCAUUUCAACCAAGCCAUUAUAUUUGCUUGAGGAUGAUGAGAUGUAUCGCCGACCCCACUUAGUGGGAAAAGGCUUUGUUGUUGUUGUUGUUGAUGAUGAUGAUGAGAUGUGGAUCAAUUUCUUAAAAACAUCUUCUACAAUUUUCUCAAUAAGCUCUGCAUCAUCCCUGUCAAAUUUAAAACACAAUAUAAUUACAACACCAAAUGAUACUUAAUGGGUCGUUUUGAUAACAAUUUCGUUUGCAAUUUUUUUUAAAUCUAGAUUUUAAGUUUGCAGAUUUUGUUUUCAGUUUUUAGUUUCAAUGAAAGUAGUUAUUAAACAAGGUUUCCAAUUUUUCUUUCAUGGUAUACAGUACGUAGUCCCAAAUAUCAGUAGUUAGAUCUUGCAUUUAGAUCUAAUGGGUAUUUACAACCUUUUUUCCUGAGAAUUUUGUACCAUUGUAGCCAGAUCACAUGUUUUCAUCCGUUAGUUUUAUAAAAAUGGAAACUACAAACUUAAAAAAAAAAAAAAAUAUAUAAUAUAUAUAUAUAUAUAUAUAUAUCAAAUGGCCCCUAAAUGCUAUUAAAAAUCUCAAAAAUUAACAGGAAACUAAAACAAAUUAGAAUUUAUUCAUGGUUUCGCAAAUCCCAGCCGGAUAAACUGGUGGCCGUUGUAAGAGAGGACCUCCAGCCGGAUAAACAUUUUCGAGUUAUUUGAUAUUUGUAUAGUAAAAAUACUUUAAUAGCAAGUGCGCGUGAGUGAAGAAAUUGAACUUACUUAUAUUCUUUCGAAUCCCAACCGGAAAAAUUGCAGGCUCUGGGAAGAGCGGACCUCCAGCUCUGCACCUCCUUCACGUCAACGUUAGAACGACCUUCAUGUUUAGCAAAAGCUUCUGCAAAACUUCCCUCGAGUUUACGAAUAUUGGACGGAUCGACUUGGUAGAAAAUGGGGAAUACAAUCUGGUUCUUGGAAUGGUUGCAUUCCAAGAUUUCCACGAGUUCUUUCAAGCACCAUGUGGAUGAAGCAUAGUUUUGAGAGAAAACUACAAUCGAAAUCCUUGACUCUCGAAUCGCUGUCAGGAGCUCGGAAAGGCGGUCGCCUUUUCUGAGGUCUUCGGCAUCAAUGAAGGUGUUGAUUGGUUUCUGACGCAGAGCUUUGUAGAGAUGGCUGACGAAGCCCGUGCGAGUGUCUUCCCCUCUAAAACUGAUGAACACAUCGUAUUCCCAACCAAGGCAAGAAGAAGAAGAAGAAGCAGCCAUUAAUCGAUCUCACCUGGGCAGCGAUGAUCGAGCAGCUAAGACUAAGAGAAUUGUAAGUACAGAAACACUCAAUAGAUCUACAAAUUGGAUCACCAGAAAUUAGUCAAUGAGUCAAUGCAAAAGGGAAAAGGGCAAUUAUGCUUUUUGCGUUUUCACAUCUUCUUCAGGAAAUUUCGGUGUGAAAGGAAUCCGCAUACUUUUGAUUUUUCAACCCAAGAAAAUGCGAAGAAAGGGGACAAAGUAGUAAAUUUAAUCUACAGUUAGUUACCUACUCAAUAACCUCUUGAUUUAAUAUAUAUUUAAUUGGGAAAAGUAGUUUAGAGCAAGGAUGUUAUCUCCUUUUCUUCUCUCUCGAUCAGUCAAUCUUCCCGCGUGCGAUUUAAUCAUGAUUAAAGCUAAGCUUAAUCUUAGGUCGUAUUAUUUAGGUCUAAUUGGAUUCUUAAUUCUUGUGAUAUAGUAGUUGGAAGAUUAAAAAAAAAUUAUGAUUUAAACGUUUGUGAUGAAGUCUGUUACGAUUUAAAUUCAAAAUUGAAAAUUUCGUUAACUCCAUUAAUUGUUAGCACAUGAGACUCACAAAUGAAACUAAAAAUAUAAAGUUAGCCUCACAUGUAAUCUUCACGUGCUAACAAUUAAAAGAGAGUUCCGUUUUAGCUUAAUAUAUGUGACUCACGUGUUAAUAAUUAACAAAAUAUUAACAAAAAUUUUAAUUUUAAGCAUAAAUUCAAAUAAACUUCACCACAUAAGCUUAAAUUCUAAUUUAGAUAUCUUCUAAUUUAGAUAAUUUUUAACUGCAAGAUGUACGAUGAACGGAUAUAAUUCACAAAUCUCCAAAAUCCUUACAAAAAAUAUCCGAAAAAGAGCCAAAUUCAAUGGAAAUAAGCUAAUUUUGAAUCAAAUAACAUUACUUUAUUUUGUAAAUAAAUUAAUUUUGAAUUGAACAACAUUCAUUUAUUAUGUAAGUAAUUCAUUUUGUAUGUAUCAUCAUAUAUAUUAGGCACAUUUUAUCAUAGGUGAUUUUGUGAAAAAUUAAUAAAAAGUUACAAUAUUAACAAUAGAUCAAUAAUAUUUAUGUUAAUUAUAAAUAGGCUAACCAUGUAUUAUGAUACUUAAAUGCAUUUAAAAUAAAUAAAAAUUACAAAAUCUACUACUACAGCUAGCAUUCACUUCAACUAAAGCAAUACGUAGUUUUUAUAUUUGGAAUAAGUCAUACGAAUCAGAGACAUGAAGAGGUGUAAGAACUGUGAAUGUCCAACAACAAAGACUUCGGAGUUUGUUGUCGAAUAUCUGCAGCGCAUCAUUUCUGAUAGAUCAAAUCGAGCCAAUUCCCGCAAACUCCAAUCCCACCACCACCUUUCAAGCCGGACUCAGCCCUCCGGGCGGCAUUUGGCAGGACAGCACUGGAUCAAACAAGAUUGAGACUGGCAGUGGGAGCAAUGAACGAGCACACUCAGCAGGGAAGUCCAUCAUGGGUUCUAACCACACAUUGUUUCUCUACUUUGUGGCUUCCAACACGAUUGGAUUUUUUGUUUCACUUUACAUGAUCAAUGUCCUCACCAGCAAUUUCCCUCUGCAGUUGGAGCUUCAAAUUUGUAUUGUCGCGAUGUACAGCACGUACAACACUGCAGUUUUCAGCAUUGCACCGGAGAACGUGCGCUUCUUCGUCCUUCUGUUCUCUGUAGUUUUCCCAACUUUGGUUACACUUGCUGUCCAAAAUGAUCGUCUUUCGACAUACAUCACAAUGGCGAUCUUUAAUCAUAAUGACUUGUACUGCUCGAUCAAACGAGACGCAUGGAGGCGCGACGUAGGAGCCACGGUGCAGCCCAAACUUUGCAGAUAAGAAAUCUGGUAAUUCACAGCAUCACAAACAUGUUACUGGGUCUCCUGACCAUCGUAGAUGCCAAUGUGUGCACAAGGAAAGGAGUAAGGUAAUCAAAUGCUUGAGUCUUGUGUACCUGUUUCGGUGUUGGUUCGGAUGAACCCAUUGAGUUCUCGAUCCUUAACUUCUGGAAAUGCUCCUGAAAGCAUAAAUAUAUGUACGGAUUUAAACCAAUGGCAAAUGGACAUAAUUUACGGACAAUGAUUGAAGAAAAUACAGAUAUAAACGCCUCAGUAUUCCAUUGACGAAAGUUCUAGAUUUGAUGAAUCAAACGUCCCACGUUGAGACUGCGUUAAGGCAAAUGGUUCUCAAACACAAAGCAAUAGUUUGCUACCGAAAACAACCAAAGUCUGACAAAGGGAACCGUCUUACACCUAACCUGUUUUUCCCUCAUCAAAUGAGCGCGUUGAUCUGCAGGUAUUUUCUGCCAUCUCAAAACCUGUUACAAAGAAAUAUAACGUUGAUGUUGAGCUGGAUAGCAUAUUAUACCAAUUAUGUGUACAAACCUAUUGAAAUAAAGUAGCUGUAGUUGCAUAUUACGACAGAUAUUAACGAAAACAAAAGAAGGCUCGCCUAUUCAAGAUCCUAAAUCCCAUGAUUCUUUUGUUUUUAGUUUCAGAAAUUUUCAGAGCACAAACUGGAAAGUACCAAGAUACUUACAUAUUGGGCAUAAUGAAAUGCAUCUUCAUCUUUCAAGCAAGAUUUCAGUGAGCGCAAACCAUCCUGGGAGUUACAUAAGUCAAUCAGUAAUAUAAAAACGUAGAUGCAUCACAUCCAAACACAAGUAUUCAAACACCAACAACUUCUUCAUGCGGUGAGGCAUGUUAAAAAAUAGGGAAGAACAGUUAUUGAAUAGGAAGUUAAAGGACUAAAUUUAUGACCUUGUGUUUGUAGUUCUUGGCUCGUAUGCGUUCAUCUAUUACAAAACCAAUCUGUAACAGGUACAACAGAAAAUAUAAGCAGUAGUCAGAACAUUAAGCAUCGGCAUUCAAAUUGCCGCCAAUCCAAAGUUAAAAGUCUAAAGGCAAAACAGUAUGAUUCUUAUCUCUCAAACAAAAAUGAAACUAUACCCCGGUCUCAGACAUAAAUGAAAUAAGUUCUACUGCCUCAACUGAGUACUGUGAUUAUAUAUAAAUCCAAUUCACCUUGUCAAGUAAUCUCUUAGGAUCUUGAAAUGCUUGCUUCUUAGCCCAGUCAUUAAAUACAUGCGAGAUAAUCGAUCUCUCAUCCACACUGAAUCUAUUGCACAGUGACAGGAGAAUAAAGUCAAACAUGAACAUAACCAACCAAAAAUGCUAGUUAUAAUAGUACACCCAUAAUUGCAAGCAAAACCUUUUUAAGAAGCCAUUUCCAUGGUUUUCCUCCCCAAAUUCCAUCAAUUCUGCAGAGGCAACGUCAAAUUUACUAUGAUGGAGAUCAUUUUGCACCAUAACAACUUCAGAAGGUAGGAGAUUUGGUUUGAGAUCAUCUGUUGACGGAGUAGUUUCUUUUGAAGUGUCAUGAUGCUUUGAUUGCAAGCCUUCUGUACUUACGUCAGCCUACAAAACAAAAAUUGCAUUCAUCCACACUAGACUUAAUAAGAUUAGAAACACUUCAGAUUCUUCACUAUUUGUAAGUUUGACUAAACAGCAGAACAACUGAGGAUAAUGAACAGUAAUACACACCUGGACUUCUCGUAGAUGAUUUGGAAUUUCUUUCAGAAAUCGCGAAGGUUGAAGCAUCUGAAGGAGCCACCUUCUCAGUCAGAGCAACAACAACAAAUAAGGAGGACAGGAAUUCAAGCUAAAACGAACCUGCCAACUGGAAUCCAUCGUAACAUAAAGAAUGAAAAGCUUUUUUCGAGCACGAGUCAUUGCAACAUAUAAUAGGCGUCUUUCCUCCUAUGAUUAGAGUGGGAUUAUUGAGUUAUUGACCAAAAGAAAAAAGAGUGGAAUUAUUGUGACAAACACUUCAAAGCUCUGCAUAUAACUGAAAAAUGUUGAACAAUUUACCACACACCUCAAUGGAGGUCCCAUUUUCUUUUGCAACGCCAUUGAAUUCAUGCAACAACGGAAUCUCAGAUUCAUUUACCUGUGUUAUUGGCAUGAGCAUUAAAGCAAGCUAAGAUGAUUUGAAGAGGUUGAUAUUGUCAUGAAUAUAGUAGAAUAGAAUACCAAUUUCAAGCCAUCAAUUAGGUAUAGCAUUGGCAUGUUUAAUCCGUAAAUCUAAUGACAGAACACCUCAACUCUACACAUAAAUAAAUAAACAACCUGAAAAAUAUUACAGCCACUUGUUAAGGCAAAUACCUUAAUUAUGAAAACUAUAUCCCACUCUAAACCUUUUGACUGCAAGAGAAUGAAAAAGAAAGACAGUAAGCCAAGAAUGUUUUGUAGAACUCCAAAGGAAGUCCAAUAGGGAAAUCAUCGCAAGUAUAAGAGUUAGCGAGGUUCGCAUAAGAGGAUAUCAAAAAGAUCUAGAACCUGAUGAAUAGUAGUCAAAGUGACAGAACUUUGGUUGUCAUGUCUUCGGGAGUGAAAAUUUUCACUCUCCCGCUCAGAUAUGUAGUCGAUGAAAGCUUUGAGUAAAUUAACGCAGCCUUUUUCUUCUGCUACGACUUCUCUCUCCCCUUUUCCCGCAACAAAAUGAGUUGAUAAGAAAUCAGAUACGUCGUCUAGUAGGUACUGAAGAACCUGCAAUGAGAAUAAUCGCAUCAAAACAACAGGGUUGGACCAAGAUUUAAGUGACAACAAUGAUUAACUAACUAAAAUAGAGAAAUUAUUCAUUUAAGACCUUGUUGACUGAAAAAAGGGUUUUCCAAGCAGCGGGUCAUUUAAGCUUAUUGUAUAAAUGACAAUCAUCACAAACGGCAAACUUACAGAUCUCACGUCAUUGUCUUCAUUCAGCAGUUUUCCUCCAUCUACAUCAACGACUGCACGUUGCUCAAGAAGGUACUUCUAAAAACUGAAAGUCAAACGAUAAAUUAUUAAGAAGCAUUGAAUAUAAGCAUGAAACGAAGAAAAUGUUAUGGAAUGGUGAUCCUCAUCCUCAAAGAUGAUUAAAAGCAAUUUGAUUCAAAAAUGACAUAUCAACUCUGGAGAAAUGGAAGACAAACCUGUGGUACCAUAUUCGCAACUGAGGUUAUGACAGCUGAAAUCGAUUGUUCCUGUGUGCAUUGAUAAGUGAGACUACCAUAGAGAUUCACAACUAAAUAAAGACAGGUAUUCCACAGAACAACCUUUACCUCUUUGGAAACACAGAUCUAACAAAAACUAUAACAUUUUGGAUUAAUAUUGACGAAUCAAGAAUAAUGCAAGGGAGCAAGAGAUACUCUUCCUUCUAAUAACAAGGAGGCGUGAAAAGUUUACAGAGUUCCAACAAUUAGAGAACUAAAAUCAAACUAAAAAAAUCACCAAAGUAGACAGAAUCCCACUUCGCCAAAAAUUUGAAAAUAUAUCCUUUUUAUCCAUUGAGAUUCAUGAACUACUACUACUACAUCAUGCCAAUAAGCAAUGCGUAAGAGGUGCUACAAUUUACCGAAUAUAUUUACCCUGAGAACAAGUUUUGAAAUCAUCUCUAGUGUUAACAGCACCUUGCGUCCUUGGGUAAGCUGAGUCCUAUUAUCAAGUAAAGAGACCAAUCAGUACAUAUCCAAAAGAUCUUAAAUGCUUGUAAUACCAAAUAAGAAAGAAACAUGAGUAUAUCUUGAAUUAACAAUGCAAAAAUGUAAUGUUAAAGCAUCUUGUCAUACAGACCUCUUCAAGGUACCAGAAAUUUUGGCACUAAAGAUGUCACAAGCAGCUGAUAUGAAGCUGCAUUUUCUGUGAGUUGAAAUUUUGUCAAUAUAAUCAAUCACCUGAAGAGAGAGAGAGAGAAAGACAGUGAUAUCCAGAGAUGUGAGCCUAAAUGCUGAGUGUGUAAAAAAAGAAGAUUAAAUGGAUAGCAAGAAUAUACAACUUUAAUGCUGAAAAGAACAUUGAAUAUGAUGCUCAUUCAUCAUUGCCAUUGAACGUGUACCUUCUUCUUUUCCUCUUUCUCAAAAGCAAGUAGAGCCUUGAAGACUCGCCUAUAUGAUCCAUCAUCACAACCAGGCAAAGUUGUUUUAAUCAUAGCAACAAUGGCUCUAACUACCUGCCAUAAGAAACAUGCUACAUCAACAAGAUCACAGAGUGUACCAGAAACCGUAAUGUAGCAAAAUCUUAGAUAAAAUAGCUGGCCAAAAGGGAAUGGAAAAGCAAGCACAAAAAACAAUGAAAAGGACCAGUGAUGCCAAAAUUCUGGUGGAAAAGGUGAAAAGCUUACGUCUAUUACAGUUCUUGUAUGCAUUCUUUAUAACUUAAGUUCUACGCAGCAAAAACCACCUUAUGCACAACAAUAUUGGAAAAAUUAGAUACAUACAACUGAGAAGAUAGGUUUUCAUAGCUGGACAAGUGCUAACUACCUUCUUCCUAUAAACUGCCACUCCAUGAACAUUAAAUGGUAUUUUCCUUUCACGCAAGGCUGUCUGGAAGACUUUUCCUGAUACCUGUAGUAUAAAAUACAAAAGAAAAUGUGAGCAAAAUGUCUUAUAUGAUUCACCUCAUUCACAUUAGCACUAAGGCAAGUACGCUUGACCUGCCUCCGGUAAAGGAUUGCUAUAUUUCCAUAGGAGCACCCUGCUUCUGACCGUUUAGAUGCAGUCUCCAGGAUCUUGUCGACAACAAAGGCGCAUUGUGCAUCCUCAUUGUGACUUUCCUUGAUAAUUACCUACAUUUUGCCAGUAAAACCGGUGUCACUAACUAAAAGGACUGAAAAAUGACAUCAAAUUGUACUUGUUGGAGCAAGGAAAGAUUAAGUACCUUAGACCCAGAAGAAUUGUCCGUGUCAACAUUCUUUAGUUGGCAUCGCUUCUUAUUGUUUUUUAUAACAGAAGAUGCAGCUUCCACAAUAUAGCGUGUGGACCGAAAGUUUUUAUUAAGCCUAAUCUGAACCAUAAAGUUAUGUCAAAUCCCACAGAACCCCAUAAAAUAAAACUUACUUUCCUGUAAUUGUACAAUAUAUUUGUUCUAUACUAUAUAUAAUGAAAAAAGACACUGUGAAUGACAUAAGAUAACAUAGCAGUCAAGUGCGAAGCGAACCUCUUUGUUAUUUGAAAAAUCUUUACGAAAAGAAUCAAAUCCAGAAAUGUCCGCCCCAUUGAAACUGAAAAUGGACUGCAGCAGGAUAUAUGUUAUUUGAUUUAGAAAAGAUAAGGGCUGGAUUAAAAUGAGCUGAGAGAGAGAGAGAGGGAGAGAGGGAGCAAUAACAUUGGAUUUCCAUAAUAAAUCAACAACAUGCCUGAUCAUCAUCACCAACAAUGGUUAUGUGGUUAUGAGAGGCGAGAAUCCGCAAAAGACUAUAUUGCAUAGCACUUGUGUCUUGAAACUCGUCUAUUACAAUAGCUUUCCAUGACUCCUGGCACUCCUUCAACACUAAUUAAAAGAACACCAUGUAUCAACAUUUAGCAUUACUUGUAAAACUAGAUAAAUCAAUGAAAUAUACUUAGAUGAUAGAGACCUUCAGGAAAAUCACUUAGCAGCUUCACAGAGCAGCUAAUUAAGUCGUGGUAGUCCAAAGCGUUGCACGAUUUCAAGAUAUCAUUGUAAUUCCUAAGAAUUUCACCCUGAUUCAGAUUGAGAGCUAAAACUCAUAAGCAAUAGUUUCAAAGAACUGAAAUCAUAUCUGAAAUUCUAGUUCUGAGCGUACUCCUGUCACAUCACCCAUUCUUCGGCAUUCAGCGGGAGUCUUUCCAGAAGCUUUUGCCUGAAACAUAAAUAAAUUUAUUGCCUAAUGCCACAUAUUGUAAGACACACCAUUGUAUUGGUCAUUCUAGCUUGAUUGUAGCUAAUAUUUUUUAAAUCGAAUGAUUAGAGUUCUUAAUCCACAAUAAUCUGAACAUUAAAUUUGGUAUUCAAGACUGACCUGUGUCACAAACUUCAGCCAUUUCUUUGAUGCAUCCUUAAAAUGAUGUGGAGAUGUUACGCCGUUAGACUCUUCCCCAUCUAUAGCAACAUUAAGAUUCGUUUUACUCUUUUCAUCUUCUGAUAAACGCACAGCUUCAAUGAUUGCUCUUCUCUGUUGCCCAUGUCCAUAUAUCAAAAAUUCUGGUCUGCGCUCGAGUCUAAAACACAAGGCAACAUAACAGACUCAGCUAUACCACCAUAUGUAUGGUGUUCAAAAUCAAGGGAGGUGAAUCAAUAGCUUACUUCUCAGCAUGUGAUCGGCAAAGUUGCAAUGAAAAUGAAUGAAAUGUACUGAUUGUUAGUAGUUUGCCGUUGCUUUCCCAGUCACAGAUCCAAUUCGAUCUCUCAUCUCGGAAGCUGCUGCUGUAGUGAAAGUCAUUGCUAGAACGUUCGACGUGCUAAUGCCCUAAGAACACCCAAAAAAAAAAAACGAAUAAGAUUUCGAUCAUAAACAAGAAAUGUAGAGAAACAGACAAUUAUGAAAGAAAAAGUUAAGAGGGAAAGUAGCAACACCUCAUUGAGCAGCAUUAGAACGCGCCCAACUAUCGUUGAAGUCUUUCCACUUCCAGGGCCGGCAACAAUCAUCAAAGGUACUGAACUAUCGCUGCAAGCUGCCUCGAGCUGCCUUUCGUUGAGAGAAAGCAAAUACUUCAAAUACUCAUCCGGCAUGUUAGGCAAUCCAUGGUUAACAGAAUCUGUUUGGUUUUCACUACUCAAAGGCGGCGCUGAUGCGGCACUAACGACACUACCACAACUCCCAAUAUCAUCACGCUGAAUGUCCACACUCGUUUUCUGCUCGAUUAAAGCGUCAAUUUCCUGCAAAAUACUCUCAUCGAAAUCAUCAUCGUUAAGAAUUCCAGAUGCAGAGAAAGAAUCAAAUGAAGUCAGAAACUGCGGUUGUCUGAUUGGAGUUGUGAAAGAAUCCGAUUUUGACACGCUUGAUUCGGUCCGGCUAACGCUUAAGCUCCCGGAACACGAAGCACUGCCAUAUUCACCACGCGCUGAAUUGUACCGGCUUGCGGAAAUCGGAGGCGGUGUUCUUUGAACUCUAUUGAGCUGAGUUGGCGUUUGGAUUCCAUUUCCGCCACAGAUUCUGGAAUUUGAAAAACACAAUUGAAUUGAUUUAAAUUGAAGCAAGAAAACGGCCGAGUAGCAAAAAAAUAGUAAGAAGAUGAAACCUUUGAUUCCUGAACGACUUACUUGGUAUGAGGGAGGUGAUGAUCAGGUGAAACGGCGUCGUUGCGGGGGCGUUUGCGAUCAAUGAGGGCCUUGGCGGCUCUGCAAUUCCGAGAGAUGCGGUUUCUUUGUUCCGCCGUGAGCCCUCCGCCGUACGCCUGAACGUUUUCCUUGGACAUUGCUUCGAAGAUUCCAACGGAGGAUUUGGCCUGACGGCCUGACCAGGCUGAUAACAGUGUAAAACCUUAGGAGCUAAGGAAAAACUAAGAGAGAGAUCGUAGAGAGGGGAAAGUUUUUUGUUUUUUGGAAACUUAGAGAGGGAAAGUUUGUUAAACCUGCAUAAUAUUCUUUUCGUUCAACUUGUCUACAAUAAUUACCACUCUUGGUAUUUAUACAUUUGUAACACACCUCACUAACUAACUAAGACCACUACCAAUCAUACAUAAACACUUGUCAUAAUCCUAUGCACUCAUAGUAUCAUCACUCUAACAUCCCCCUCAAGCUCGUGUGGCAGAUUGCCAAGUAUGAAAUUGGAACAAUUACGAGUGAACUGGGGUGAACACAAGCCUUUGGUGAACAUGUCGGCAUAUUGAUCUGCAGAGGUAACAAACUGCAAAAUAAUUGUCCUUCGAUGAACUCUUUCACGAACAAAGUGGCAAUCAAUCUCUAUAUGUUUGGCUUUAGAGUGCAAUACAGGAUUAGUCGCAAGAGCCAUUGCUGAAAUGUUAUCACAAUUCAAAACUGGAACAGAAGGAUAACCAACAUGCAAAUCUCGAAUAAGUUGUUGUAUCCAGAUAACCUUAGCAGUGGUUGUAGCCAUUGCUCUAUAUUCAGCUUCAGUGGAAGACCUACUCACUGUAUGCUGCUUUUUAGAACUCCAAGAGAUAGGAGUAUCUCCCAAAAAAAUGACAAAACCCGUGGUUGAACGACGAUCAUUGGGAUCCCCUGCCCAAUCAGCAUCUGUAUAAGCUUUCAACUAAGAUGAACCUAAUUUAAAACACAAUCCCAAAGACAUAGUGCCUCUGAGAUAUCGCAGAAUACGUUUCACAGCAGCAAAUAAGUGGCUAAGGGUGAAUGCAUAAACUGACAUACUUGAUUGACAUAAAAAGAAAUAUCUAGUCUUGUAAAUGUUACGUAUUGCAGUGCCCCAACAAUACUUUUAUAAGUGGUAGGAUCAGAAACAGGUUCACUACCAUGAUUCAGAAGCUUCUAAUUAGGAUGACAAGGUGUGGGAAAAGGUUUAUAGUCCAGCAUAUGCAUAUUUUGAAGGAGUUCUUUGACAUACUUGGUCUGAUGAACAAAGAGUCCCUGAUCCUGAUACUCAAUCUGUAAACCAAGAAAAUAAUGCAACACACCUAGAUCUUUCAUGUCAAACUCACUAGUUAACUGACUAAUAACAUUAUGAACCUUCACAUCAUCAUUACUAGUGAGAAUGAUAUCAUCAACAUAUAAUAAGAGAACAAUAAUUGAUGAACAAUCACACUUGACAAAUAAUGAAGGAUCUGCAUAUGAGAUUGAGAGUUACAAGGAAAAGAUAUACAAGACUUAUUAAGUGUUGCAAUGACAAUGGAAUGUGCAGGAUCGCCUAAUCAACAAUGCCACAAUGUAGAAGAAAUCUUUUGACCCACAAAUGCAACUGGAUUAAAAACAGGAGAAAUAGACCUCUGUGGUUUGAUAUGGGAAGUGGAUAGACAACAUUAUUACUCAGCCCUUGGAAUAGCACUCUCCCGAUGACCUUGUCCUAUAGACAGAGAGAAACAUCAUCAAUGAUACAACGACACUAAUUAUCUUUGCACAACUAAUUCAUAGAUAAUAAGUGUUGUGAUAGUUUUGGAACAUGUAACAAAGAGUUUAACUUGAAAUUAUGUGACUUAGUGAGAAGAGAAGAGGAACCAAUAUGUUUGAUAGCUAAACCUUCACCACUAGCAGUGGUCACAGUAUCAUUUGAUGGAUAAAUUUGUUGCCAUGUGCAAGUUUGACAAAUCUGAGGUCAUAUGGUUAGUUGCUCCCAAGUCAAGAAACCAGAAAUCUUGUUGAAGAGUUGAGGAUGAUGCACCAGCUCGUGCUUGCACAGCAAGAGGAGGAUUUUGUGAGGAUAUAAUUGAGAGAUACAUAUGUGGUAUGACAGGAUACUGAAACUCGAAGCUAUUAGACUGUGGAAUCAUGCCUUGUGAAAGACCACAUGGAUUCUAGCUAGGUGCUUCACCAUAUGACCCAGUAGGCAUUGGAGUUGGCAUAGACGAGGAUAAACCCUGAGAGAAAUGCUAUGAUGUGUCUGUGAAAUUCUUAUUCCGAUCAAAGCAAGUAGCAGCAACACGGCAGCCUCUGUGACAAAUUUGACAUCCAUGUUGAAAACAAUUCAAUGCAGAAUGACCUUUGCGAUCACAUAUUUGCAUAAUGGCCUCUGUGAUCACAUAUUUGCAGAAUGGCCUUUGCAACCCUAGAAAGAACAAGGCGCGAAGAAGACCAAAUGUGUACGUUUCUCUUUGUUUUUUUUUCCCUCCUAAUCGUGCUGUUCGAAAUCACGGACCUCGGGCUUGGGCCUAAUGGGCCCAAUUAUGAGGCCUAUUAUCUCCGGUCUUCUCGUUCUACUUCUAGUUACCCAAAUUAAGAACGUGCUGGUUCGCUUUUAGCGCGAGAGAGAAAUGGAGGCCCUGAUUGCCUCGUACGGAAACUCGUCGUCGGGCUCAGACUCCGAGACGCCGGCUCCACCUCCACCACCACCUCCGGAGCUCAACAACCCUCAAGAACCGACCCCUGCGCUGCCUCCACCUCCUCUGUCACUUCUCGACAGCCCCAAUUCCUUCGGUAACCUCUGAUUCCCAUCAAUUUUCAUCUUUUAGCUUUCUGUUGUGAUGGCUUUUUCCGAGUUGCCCACCAAGUGUUUGAUAUUUUGCCUCUGAAGGAUUUCUGGACUUCUCGGCAAGCGUCCAGCCGAGCAGAGUUCGGAACUUUCCUCACGUCGAAGGGAACUACGCAGUACAUGUAUACAUCCCAGGUUAUCAAAAUUCUCGAAAUUUUCAGCUCCAUUAGCAAAUGCGAUCGCUUUGCACUUAGUUUUUGCUUGUUUAAUUGUGUGGUUCCAGUUUAUAUACCACCAGCACCAAGGAAAGAGAUGGCCUUGUUUUUGAACAAGCUAGCUUCUCUGGUGCCUUGUCUCCAUGCGGUUGACGUUGACUUCCCGCUUGACAUUCUGCGUAAGGACGAGCACAAGCUUGAACAAGUUGCUUUAGGCAGAGAGUUCCAUAUAAGUCUCGGAAGAACUGUUCCGAUUCGGGUGCACCAGAUUGAUUCCUUGGUGACAAUGCUGCGGCAGAAGCUUCAGAUUCAGAGGCGGUAUGGUUACAUUUACAUUCUCUUGUCUGCAUUGCGUGAAUUUAGUUCUGUUAUUUAACAUAAUUCUGUAAGCCUGCAAUUUUUUCGUCCAUUUUCGGUUUAACACAUUUUGUUAUUGUGCAACAGGUAUUGGAUUGAUUUUAGCAAGUGGGAGGUUUUUGUUAAUGAUGAUCAGACCCGGACCUUUGUGUCUAUCGAAAUCAUUGCUGCUGGGUUAGCUGAGGUAUGAUUGCUAGCUUUCUCUCUUGGUGCAAUUCUAAAUGUUUUCAGUUGUUAUAUGGGCUUAAGAUUUAGUAAGGACUUGCCGAAAGUCAUGGGAUUUUGAAAUAUCGAUAUCUUGCUUGCUUAUUAGCUUAGAUUUGGUCUUCGAUGCACUUGUAACAUGAAAAACACAAACGAAAACUAAUGCAUGAUAUGCUCAUGGUUUUAACAUGUGUUGUCCUGGCGUAAAUCAUGUUCCUAAUCCUGUCAUGUGAGUAUAAGCCUAUGAAACUCAGGGCAUGUUUGGCGGGCCGGACAAGAUUGGAAUUGGUAUUUCAGACUAGUUAGGUUAGGAUUGAACUGGAUAGGAUAGGUUUUUUUGUCUAAAGAUUGGUGUAGACUGUCUUAACCAGACUAGGAACGAUGGGAUUUAAAACGUGAAACAGAUCCGCGACAUCCCAACGAUGACCCGCCCACCCAACAACUCUGCUCGUGACUUGCAACACCUCUCGUACCCUCCACGCCCCUUGAGGCCCGUCAGACCACUCUGAUAUCCUGGAGGGGUGAAACGUGGUUACUAGAAGCAUACCUGUUUUCGUAUUAAUGCACAGUUGAAGCAGCUUUCAUUGUCUACAAGUCUGAAAUAUUUCAACUUCCAUUGAUUUCAGAUAACAAAGCAGAUUCAAGCUGUGAAUGAGGUGUAUAAGCUUCACAAUCUUCCUGAAUUUUACAAGGUUAGCUUUUUCGUGCUUUUCAAACUCGAAAUUACUUACUGAAUAUAUGACAAUAUAUUGGAGCAAAUGAUUGUGCCUGAAUGCUACUCAUUGCUCAAAAAACUAAAUCACUUCAUGGGGUGUUGGUGAUCACAGGAUCCGCGCCCUCACAUCUCGGUAGCUUGGGCAUUGGGUGACAUCGGCAAUUCCCUGAAGAAAGUGGUUGAAGAAGAAAGACGAAGAUCUACCAUCGGAGGAUCGUUACAGAAAUGUAUUUUUACCAGUAAAUUCAAUGGUAUUGAAUGUAGGAUUGGUAAUAAAACACACAAAAUAUGUAAAUUUUCUGAACAAUAAUGUAGCCAUUUAACUAUAUUGUGAAAUUCCGAGAAUAUAUCGCUGAGCAUUGGAUGAGAAGACAUUUCUUCGUUGGUGUCGAACUUCAUGCCGAAGGUAUAGACACCGUGUAAACGCCAUCAUCCAUGCAGUCUCCUGUGCAUUAUUUAGUAUUGUCUCAGUUUCUCCAAACUUGAAUGCUCCUAUAAACCCACUCUUGACCUUUCCGUCAUCUGCGAUUACCGGAAAGCUGGCAAGGAUGUUGCCGUUAACCUACCUAACCGGCUAGGAUGUUGCCGUCAUCUCCAAACUUUAAAUACCGGAAAGCCGGCUCCAAACUUCAAUGUGCUACUAGUUUUUGUAUGCGAGAGCUCCACCUCCAUUGUUGUAACAGCAUCUGAUGCGGACUAGUCCUUCAUUCCCGUUACUCUUUGCUAUCUCCACUUCGAACUUGGCGUAAUGGCUCCCGGCCUCCUCUCCGGUGAAAUUGAGAAACCCCGGAGCUGGCGUUUUCAUUCUGUUGUCCGUAUAUCUUGUAUUACAAGUAUUUGUUGUGCAAAAUGCAAGCUAAGUUCAAUUUAUGUUUAUGUGUGUGUGUGUGUUGCCACUUUGUCACUUUUCCAACGUUUUCUCCAAAAUUGUGAUUUUGGUGAAUCCUAAUAACAAUUCCCUCGUUAAUCAUUGGGACGAGCACCAAGGCAGUUUUGAUUCCGUGCACAACGGCGAUACCUCGAAAGAAAUUGAUUCUAACCCAGAAAGAUGUUUUAAAUCAAAGUUGAACAAGGGAAGAAAACUUUUGAAUCGCAAUCACAUGUCUGGUCAAAUUCUUGAACAGUUGAUGUAUACAGACGUUCCUUGCUUAUGACACGACUUAUGAGAGGAUGUAUGUAUUGCAUUUGCAUCAAAAAAGAGAGAGAAGGUUGUAAGUGGUAAGGGAACGACUACCGAUGCCGCUCCACUUCUAAUCAAAGGGAUCGAUCCGAGGGUCGUGUUCACUUGCCAUCGCCAUUCCAGUGCAAAGGCAUGUCGGGCACAUUACCUGCCACAUUUACAGACGCAAUGUUAGAUAUAGCUGCCAUUUGGAAGUCACUUCUCAAAAUUUUGCUACUAAAUUAAUCUUAGACUUCAUUUCCAGUGCAAUUUUUUGCUACUAAAUUAAGCUUGUGAAUAUAGUACAUCUAAGCGGCAGGCACUAAAAGGAAUUUAGUAUGCAAUAAACAUUCAACGGACUAACCUUUCCCGCUCCUGAGCAAUUUGAACAUCGUUCAGUUUUUGGCAGAGAUAGGGGUUGGUUUCCGCCAUCAGCUGUCGAUACUGGUUCAGUAAGAACAAGGGUUCCAGUGCUGGAGCAACGAGCACAAGCAAGAUAUCCUGCGUAAGUAUCAAAUACACAGGUAAGUUGACAUAUGAAACCAAUCUGUGUAAACUACACUGUAAUAGCAGAAGAAUAUGCAGUACGAGAGAAAGAGAGAGAGAGAGAUUUAGAGAGAGAAGUUAAUACUUCAUAUGUAAUAUUUUCUAUAUCAUCAAUCUUACAAUAUUAAGACUAUAUACUAUAUGAAACUGCUAACUAACUCUAACAACCUCUCUAACAACCUUUCUAAUCUUUUGACAAGUGUCUUCAUAUUCUACCAUUGGAUUACUAUCCUUAACAUCCCCCCUCAAGCUCAGGAGAGGUAGAAUCCAAACUGAGAUUGCGACAAUGAAUCUGAAAGAGAGGAGCAGAUAAUCCCUUGGUCAGUAUGUCUGCAUAUUGCUCACUGGAAGACACAAACUGAACAAGCAACUGCUUCUUUGCAACUCGUUCGCGAACAAAAUGAAUAUCAACCUCAAUGUGCUUUGUGCGUUGAUGUAGAACUGGAUUGGAUUAAGCAAUUACUGACCUUUGUGCAUCUUACUAUUCCUACUUCACCAGUUUUGUAUUGUGAUAAUAUGUCAGCAAUCGCAUUAACAACCUCUCUAACAACCUUUCUAAUCUUUUGACAAGUGUCUUCAUAUUCUACCAUUGGAUUACUAUCCUUAACAAUCUGAACAUCUCCAUCGUAUAUAUUUAAAGCUACAGUACAUAAAACGAAAAGUCAGAAAUAGAGGACAUUAUCACACCAGUUCCAAGACAAUAUUUGCAUCGUUUAUGCUCCUGCUGUUUCACAUUGUUUAUUUCAACUACCAUCAAUGCUGAGAUCACUCCGACUGCUCCUCCAGAGAAUGACGCCACUAUGGGAUCAACUUGACUGCAGUUUGAAAGUAAAGGAGAUCAAUAAACAAAACUGUUAACAACAUAGUAUCAACAUUAUUUAGCUUCGUUUCAAGAAAUAUGACAUCCUAGGUUUUUCUAAUGUGUAAAAAUUGAGGAUCCUUGACUAUAUCGGUUCCCAAAGCAUUUGAUUCCUACGUUACAGACGGAAAACAGUAACAAUCGAAUUUAAAGAUUCAUAACACGAUAGAUGGUAGGUCUCGGGUUCGAGACUUGGGAGCAGCCUCUCCAUAAAUGGGGGUAAGGCUAGCCGACAUUCACCUCUCCCAGACCCUGCGUAAAGCGGGAGCCUUGUGCACUGGGUACGACCUUUUAUAACACGAUAGAUGGUACAAAUUUUCAAAACGAUAAUUACUAGAGAACAGGAGGGUUAAUAGCCUGAGAUAUGAGCAAUACCUCAACUGCAACGGCAGAUGCAUAUUUACUAUAAAGUCUUUAUAUGAUGUGCCUCCUAUUCCCAGCUUCAACUCCAACUGAAAGAUGUAAAGGUAAUUGUAGGCAAAGAGUUACAAACAUAACCGAAUCCAUGUUUUAUAAGCAACAACUACACUUAUUUUGUUAUGUUUCCUCAUUUUUUACUUGCAAAUUCCGAACCAUAUUGUCGGACCAGUAAAAAGAAAAUAAUGUUUAUGAUAACUGUUAAAACUAAUCACAACAAGUUAAUGCAUAAAGAACUUACGGAGGGUGCUAUGAGGCCACCGAAAAGGAUAAACCCCGCAAUAAUUGAAUAACAAACAGCAUAAUAUUGCUUAAGGUUGUCUGAACUCUGCAAGCAAUGAAUUCACCUUGUGAUUAAUACUUUGCACAAACACUAGUUUUCGCAAUUUUUUAUGAAUCGACAAAAGGCUACAACAAAAUAUGGCUAAAACAUGUGAAAAUACAUGUCUUCACAGGGGCACCAGCUUACCAGGGGAGGCAAAAAUGGAAUGAACGAUGGAAAACUAGGAAGUUCGUUUUCUUGAUCUUCAUUUACCGCUCCAAGCUCUGCACGUUUAAUCCGCUGUUGUAUCCUCAGCCCGCGAACCUACGCAUAUCGAAGCUCAUUCUUAAAGAACACAUUUCUAAUGGCAAUUGGAGAGUAAUUUAAAACAUGCUAAACUGAGAAAGUGGUAGCAACAAGCAAUUGCUCUCACUUCCUCCAUAUGCAAGAAAAUUUUGUUGCGACGACUCCGAAUAUUAUCUUGAAUUUCCUGCAGCUCCAUUGUCGCAAAGUCCUGCACUGUUUCAGGCCCCUCUAUGAUACAAAAUCUGCACAAUUAAGCAUGUAAAAACUAAAAAUUACAGGCUAUAAAACAAUUUCCGUAUCAUUUUUGGGAGCUCUCUCUCUCUCUCAAACCAGAAGGCAGAGCUUUCUGUUUCUCUUGAGGUUUCUUUCACUGGUAAAUUCCAGAGAAGCAGAGAAGAAGGCUCUCUGAGAAAUGGCGAUGGUGCAAGUGGAGACAAAACAAAUGUAUAUCUUGAAGCACCGAAAUUGUGCAGAACACUUGUCAACUACCGAACUCUAGGAUUAGGAGAGAGAGAGAGAGAGAGAGUGAGUGACCGGCAAAAAAAAAAAUGAGGGAAGAAUCACCCACAUUUAAAAAUGAUUUUUAGGGGACCUGGUGUCGUUGGAUUCGAGUAGUUGUUCGGUAUGUCACAUUUAAAAUUUUAUUAUCUGAUGAUAAACGUCGAAACAUAAAGAUAGGUCAUCUCUAACCGAAUGAGGACUAAAAAGUCAUGUUUAGUACUAUAAUCCUGCAAUGAAUUAUAUUUUAAUAAAUAAUAUCAGGUUAUAUUUUAUACCAUAUCUAACCGAGUGGGUCAAAUGAUCAUAUGCCAAACAUAGCCUUUUGACAAAAAACUCAUCUCCAACCGAGGGGGCUAAAUGGUCAUAGACCAAACAUAAUUGCUCAAUAAUUUAUUAUUCUAAUUGAAUUAAUAUGAUUAAUUAAAUUAAAUUACCAUAUUAAAAUAAGAUUUCAUGAUAUAUUUUGAGUGCCACUUGCCACAAUACCGAAGAAAGCAUGGUAUUAUUGCACCUGCCACAAAGUCAAGCUUGACAUUCUGCUGCUGGAGGGCUGGCUGGCUAGCUGAAAAUGGCCAGCCUGCUGGCCUGAUUUGGGAGGUUUUGGCCCAAUGGGGCCCCAAGCCCUUUGGCCUAGCCUUCGGUUGGAAACGGUUUUCGUGUUAUUCUGAGUUAUUUUUAACCCUAUGAUCCUUUGGCCGGAUCGAUUGGAGAUGACCUUAGGUGUGUUGAUUGUCUUUGAGACAUCGGAGGUUCUGUGUGAUUGAAUACUUCACCCUCCUCCAAAGGCGCCACUCUUGAGAAGGUUACUUGCCUCAUGCAAACAUUGUGAAUUGCAAGUGAUGAAUUGUUCUGAUGAUGAGGUUUAUUUUUUAACUCAUUAUGUUUCAAGUUUAAACAUUUUUCCCUCUCUUAGUGUAAAAUAUUGUUUGUGAUAAAAAAACUUAAAAUGAGACACUCUCCUUCAUAUAUAAGAUGAUCAAGUGUGAGAUUAAUACUUUUAAUGAGUGACUCAAUUAACCAUUUUCAUUUCUUACGCGUUCAAAAUUAGACAAAUUCUUUGCAUACAUUUAAAAAAAAAAGAUAUUAAGGAGAGUAUAAAAUUAUUACAUUACGAAGAGAGAGUUUCGAACUCGGGACGUAUGAGUAGAACCCUAACGCCUCUCCACUAGGAUAUUAGACCAAUACUGGUCUUGAAUUUUUUUGGUGCCCGGAGCGAAUGCUCAAAACGUGUCUUUUUCCAGUACAACAUAAAUUAAAAAGAAAUAUUUAUAGAGGGCUAGAACCCAAUCGAAGCUGGGGGACUAGGCCCUUACGCCUAUAUUAUAUUACUUACCUAAUACAAACAUUUCUGAUAGAUUUCAGAGGCUCUAAAUGGUCAAACACUUCGUCCUUCCCAAAACCGUUACUGUUGAGAGGGUUCCUUACCUAAUACAAACAUUUUACGUUUACUUAGAACUAGAAAAAUAAGAAUUGCAGGUGAUGAAUUGCUCUAAUGAUGAUGUUUAUUUUUUAACUUAUUGUGUUUUAAGUUUAAAUAAUUCUGUUUCUUUGAUAUAUAUAUUAGUGUAAAAUCAUUCGUAAUAAUAAAAAAAAAGAAUAAAAAUGAUACUCUCAUUUAUAUACAAGUUGAUCAAGUGUGAGAUUAAUAAUUUUAAUGAGUGAAUUAACUAUUUUCAUUUCUUACGAGUUCAAAAUUACACAAAUUCUUUGCAUACAUUUUUUUUUUAAAUAGAAAAUUUCUAUUAUUAAGGAGAGAGUCCUAAACUAUUAGGUUAUGGAAUGUGAGUAGAAACCUAACGCCUAUCCACUAGGAUAUUAGACCACCAGAGCUGAUCCUGAGAUUUUUGGUGCCUGCGUCAAAAUAUGUCCUUUUCCAGUACAACAAUAUAAAUUAAAAAGAAAUAUUUAAAGAGGGCUGGAACCCAGUCGAAGCUGGGAGGCUAGGCCCUCACGCCCAUAUUCUAUUACUUGAAGAAACAAUAUACAACGGGGGGAAUCAUAGUACCGAAACCCCAACAAUAAAAAACAAAGUCACAUGCAACCACUCCAAGCAGUCAACUUGGCCAUUACAUAUUGAAUCCAAAAGGUUGACGGCCUAUUCUCUGCAUACAAUGCACAGAAGAUAACAAGAUUACUAAUAUAAAAAGAACAUCUGAAAAGAUGAACAUAUGCAUCAACAAAUAAGCAGGGGCGGAUCCACAGUGGGGUCGUCGGGGUCAAACGACCCCUUGGAAACCAUGGAAACAACCUUGAAGCUCCCAUAUGCGACCUCUUGGAGCUGGGGUUGUCGGGGUUGUCAGGAAGAGGAAGAAGAAGACUCGGCAGGAAGAGGAAGAAGAAGCAGCUCGCGCGACGUGUAGGUUCUGUGUAGAGUUUCUGACCUUUAAUUCCCACUUCACAAAGACGAGAGAAAGAGAGAGAGGGAAGGAAAGUCCUCGGGGUGGUGGUGAUGUAGACCUUCGUCGGGGUAGUGGUGUGGGUGUGCGUGGGUGUGGAUUCGAUCGGAGAGAGUGAGAGGGUUAAAGAGUGAAAAAGAGAGAGAGAGAGAGAGAGAGAGAGAGAGAGAGAGAGAGAGAGAGAGAGAGAGAGAGAGAGAGAGAGAGAGAGAGAGGAGAGUUCGGGGAGAUGAGAAGGAGGACAAUGGGGACUUGCCCCGUGGCAAGUUGUGAUAGGUAGGAAAUCCCAAAAAGGGAUCCGGAUAGGGUAAGUAAGUGGGGACCAAAUUGUAAACUUCAUUUAACUGUAGGGAAAUUGUGAAAUUACAAGGAAAUCUUUGGGGAGGGGUUUUACAGAAACCCUUCUCAACACUUAAAAGCAAACUGCGUGCUUUUAAUCAGGUUUGGCUCUAUAAUUGAACUUGUAACCAUGCCUUUCCCUAUGACGGAAUUGUGAUAUGCUUUGCCAGAUAUUCACAAGGAAUUCAUUUUUCUUUUUCCAAUUGCAAAAUAUUAGUGAACAAGUUGUUUCUUCUAUGAGAGAUCCAAGCAUAAUGGUUGGGUAGAUGCAGAUGAGAAAAUCAGCAGUUGCUGUAUUUGGCACAGUAAGAUAUUAACUCUUACAUCUAAAUUGAAAAACAUGAAAAUUUCCUAGUUCUCAAGGUCUCACGUGCAUGCUCAGAUACAUUUGUGCUUCAUAUUUGUGUGUUUGAUUCCGAGAAGGCUGACAAGUUGAAGCAAUCUCUUCCUCCAUGUUUGAACAUUCAGGACCUUUGAACAAGGAUUUUGGAGUAGCUGGUUGCGCUAUCCUACCAAGACCCGAUGAAAUGACGAUAUGCAUGCCGUUUCUGUUAAAAAAAAAUAUCCUUAUUGACCCCCCAAACAUUAUUUCCUGGAUCCGCCACUGCAAAUAAGUAAACCAUUCUAAGUGCAAUUUUAGAAGUGAUACGCUCCAAGUGUGAUAUUGGACAGAAGAGCGGCAGCUUCAACCAGUUCUGCUAUAUCCGGCUGGAUGAGAGCUGCUAAAGACAUGAUUGUUCCCUAAUAACAUGAAUAAAUUGAGUAAACACCAAAAGUAGCGCAGCAAGGGAAGGAGAUUUGAAGUAGAUGAAGAGGUGUAAUACCCGUAUAUGCAGCGCAUCAUUUCUGAUAGAUCAAAUCGAGCCAAUUCCUGCCAACUCCAAUGCCGAUAAUCCUACAGUAAAGCAUAAAUCUUAUUCUCUUCUGAUAAAGAUGUGUGUCCCUGACUCCAACGUGUUUGACGCACAUUCCCUACCCAUACAUUGAAACCUUCAUCUGCAAGGACGAAUCCCAGUUAUUCUUCUGGAGAAUUUAAGAACCAUGAAUCACCUGGUCAAGAAAAGCCAGUAACCAAUUACAAUUGAGUUUGAAGCACAUAAGAGCCUAAUUUAAAAUGUAUCCCAUGGAUGUUCAUCAAUUUACACAAUAGUUAGUUUCAAGAAAGGAAAUUUCAACAGAACCUGAAAACUUCAGAUCAGGGGGCACCAAAUAGUGAGCUAUACAUUCAAAAUUUGAAAUAAUCAACUUAGUGGGACCAAUAUGUUGAAAAAAUUGGAAGGAGCUAUGAAAGUAAGGCUUUUCACUAAUCAGACGUCCAGAGAAUCAAUAUUUUACUCACGGAUCAGUUACGGGGAACACUCCCCACCAAAGCAAACUCUUUCGUCUGAAUCUGGAAAACAAGCAGCAGUGGAUUUUAACAGUCUGGGUAUCUCAAAGUUACUUUAAUCACAAAUUUAACAAUUAAACAUAUAAAUGGGCAUUAUUUAGUGAAAUAUUAGUAUAGUACUCACUGUGUGCUCGGAACAAGAGUACCCAGAAAGCUCAAUGAGCUGCGCACAGAGGACUACAGCGGUGAACGACAGCGACCGAUUCUGUAAAAUUCAGUCGAGUUUUGGGUGAUUUCGGAGGUCAAGAGGCUGAUAAGGAAAGCUGCGACCGAAGGGCACUGGUCUGGAAGAAAAGGCUCAGGUCACUGCUGUCCCAAUUCGCGAAGGAAGUGCCCCCAAAACAAUUUCGGCCCUGGACAGGUGCACUGUUUGCACUGGACCAGGGCCGGCCGGCCCAGGCGAUAACGUCCCCCAAACAGUACAUAUACAGAUGCUAGAAAUAUAUUAAUGUAACCUGAAACUACUAGAACCAUUCAAUUCUAGCGUCUACAGCUUUAGCAUUAGUUGGUACAUGGGACAUUCUUCCAAAGAGGGAGAUGAGCUCGUUGAGGCUCUUAUUUAUUCCCCCUCUUGAUGUGCCCUUCUAGGCUGCUAAUUCCAGACGAUCCAAUCUCAUACAUCUUCCCUGCAAAAGCAUGUGUGCCAGACUUCAAGAUCAAAUUUUUCCAACAAAAGAAACUUAAAGAUCAAACUCGCCAGCGGAAUAAAUGAUGCACAAGGGUGUUAAAAUCUUGACAUAUGUAUAUUUUUGGCAGAUUUUAUGUGAGCAUGCUACUAAAACUGGCAUCACUAAAGAUUGGUGGAAAACUUUAACAGUUUGAGUUGUAACUUCUCCAUUGUAUUUGUUAAGGCAAGAUGGAUGACAUCUAUGCAAUUUUCAGUAGAACUUAAAAGGCUGCAUAGCAGCUCUUGUUCGUUGUAUUGAAUACCGUGGUUUUACUGAUGAAUGCAGAGUUUGUUGAUGAUUCAUACGACAAGCAAUUGAAAAUCCCAUCAUUAUGCCCCACAUAUACCAAAAAAAAAAAGUCAUUUACACAAAUUCAGAGCGUUCAUCCACUGUAAUUUGCAGAUAUAGAAACGUUAAGAUAAAAGGAAAUGCAAAGUACCUUUCACCCAAAUUGGAGGAGCACCGGUGGCAUUAGCAAGUUAGCAACGGGAAUUGACAUACCAAUAUCUUCACAGUUUCUGCACAAGCACAAAUCAAAAGAACCCGGCGGUGGAGUUAUGUACCUCUCCUUGGAAAAUGCCACCUCUUGGGAUUUCAAAAUAUGCAGCCAUGGCUAGCCGUCUGACCACGCCAAUUCCACCAAAGCCACCGCAACGCGGCGUAGUGUCCGAUUGAUUGCUUCAAAACAGAGCUUCGUAUCCAUGUGUUUAUCAGCAGAGAGUACCCAAAACCACUGAAAAUUAUUUCUUUAUUCAGAUAAUAAAAUUUCCCAAAUUUGGAAAUUUAAUUCCGAAUCAAAAGUAGGGUUUGAAUUUUGAUUACCUAGAAAUUGGGGGGUUGGGGUGGAGAGGGACCCGUGCCACGACGGAUCUCUGUGUCUGUUUUAACUCAUGCCAAAUUAUAGAGAGUGUCAGGAAGACUUAAAUACUGAAGCCCCGUAAGCCGUUCAAUCCAGGGGGGAAGCUCUUUGAUAGAUGUUUUAUCCAAGAUAAGAUAUCUUAAUCCUUCCAUAUUUUCUUCAAUGCUUGGAAACACCUCAAAUUUUGUACAACCGGAAACAGAGAGACGGACAAGGGACUUGAGCUGACAAAUGCUGCUUGGAAGGCUCUUUAGUUCCUCGCAGUCGUUUAGCUUCAAAUAAGUCAAUCCCGUGAGAUUAUUAAUCGACCAUGGUAGUUCUUUAAUUUUUGAUCCGGAUAAAUUAAGAAAUUCUAACCCUUCAAUCACUUCUGUAAUCUCUGGAAACAUCUCAAGGCUCGAGCAACCAUAAAGAUCAAAGCUUUUGAGUGAUUUCAUACGAAUGCUGCUGGGAAGACUCUUAAGUUUCUUGCAGUAUAGUAGAUUCAAAUGACUCAACCCCGUAAGAUUAUUAAUUGAUGGGGGCAGUUCUUUAAUUUUUGAGCAGCGUAAAUCAAGCUUUUCUAACCCCUCAAUACCUUUUGACAUCGAUGGAAACAUCUCAAGACUGGAGCAGCCAUGAAGGUUCAAGGUUUUGAGACAUUUCAUACGAAUGCAGCCUGGAAGACUCUUAAGUUCCUUGCAAUCUUUUAGGUUGAAAUGACACAACCCCGUGAGAUUAUUAAUUGACAUGGGCAGUUCUUUAAUUUUUGACUCGGAUAAAUUAAGCUCUUCUAACUCCUCCAUACAUUUUGAAAUCUCUGGAAACAUCACAAGAUUGGAGCAGCCAUAAAGAUUAAAGGUUUUGAGAGAUCUCAUACGAAUUUUGCUGGGUAGACUCUCAAGUUCCUUGGAAAAUUCUAAGUUUAAAUGACUCAAUCCCGUGAGAUUAUUAAUUGACUCGGGCAGUACUUUAAUUUUUGACGCGGUUAAAUUAAGCUCUUCUAACUCCUCCAUACCUUCUGAAAUCUCUGGAAACAUCUCAAGAUUGGUGCAACCUCUUAGAUUAAAGGUUUUGAGAGAUUGCAUGCCAAUGUUGUUGGGUAGAAUCUUAAGUUCAUUGCACCAAUUCAGAUCUAAUAAAACAAGCUUUGUAAGAGUCAAAAUCGACCCGUGAACCUCAACUAAGCGUGUACAACUUUGAACAAUUAGCCUCUCAAGAUUUGGCACAUUUGUGAAGUCAGGGGUUAUCUCAAGGUUUUGACAAUGACUUAAAUUGAUGAAUUUCAACUUUUCCUGCGUCUGUUAAAACAUUCAGGAAAACAUGCAUUACUUAAUAAGACAUCUUACUCAAAGCCCAAACAUUUAAAAGAAACAAAUACAAGUAAAUGAUUGUACAUACCUGGGUUCCUUCCCAAAGUCGGUUAAUGAGACUACAUCGCAUGUCAAGUUCAACAAGAUUUUUGAAUUGAAAGUUGGAUGGCAAAGACUUGAGAGGGAAUUGAAACCAGGAGAGAUACCUCAAGUUAGGUAACUUAAAACGGAGCCCACUCAGGUGGUGUUUCCAGUAAUCACGUUUAAAAACGGAGCCCUCACUACUGAUCUUGAGAAGUCUUAGUUGAGUCAUACUAGCAAAAGCUUUAGCAUUUAAGCAUACCCGGUCUGAGUACGAGAAAUCCACGAUUAUGCUUUCAACUGUUUUCGUAGCCUGUGCAAAUCAAAGUAUUAGAAAAUACAAAGAACCUUAGUUUAGAUUAUGAAAUUAAUGCUUGUUUCUUAGGGAGCUGUUUGAUAAUCAUUUCGUUUUUAGUUUAAUUUUUUUUUCAAUUUUCAAUUAUUCAAACAAUGAAAACUAAAAAUUAAAAAUUGAAAACAAAAAUGGUUAUCAAAUGGCCUAAGAAAUUGAUUUUGGUCAAAAGUUGAAGCUUUCUACUAACAAUUGCAUAAGAAAAAGACUUCUCACCGUAUUUUGAGUUAGCAUUUGAUUAACAUCUUCAUAACUCCACAACCUACUUCGUUUCCCAGGCUCUUUGAUAGAUUCUUGACGGACGAUUUCCCGACCCAUUUCCUCUAAUGAAUCAUGCUUCUCCAGUUCCCCCUCCCCUGAGACAGUUAUGAGAGCAUGAUCGAUUAGAACUCUUAUUCCUAUAUGAGGAUGGAAACCACAAUCGUCCAUAAUUCGGGUUGCACAGUCUUUCUUCAUCCCUUUAAAGAAACAUGCAAUAUCUAGAAAGAUGUCUUUCACUGUGUCAUCUAGUCCAUCGAAGCUUGAUUUAAGCACAUCAUGAAUUCCCCUUUGCGGGAUUUUCCUUAUUUUUUCUAACUCAUCUUCCCACUCACGGAUAGUUUUUUUAAGAAGAAAAGCUCCCAAAACUUUGAGUGCUAAGGGCAGACCUUGAGCAUAUUUUACGACACGCUUAGAGAGAUCAUCAUAAUCUCUGGUGGGUUGGUUUUUUCGGAAGGCGUGCUGCCUAAAGAGUUUCAGAGCUCCAGAAUCACUCAAAGUCUUGGGAUUAUAUAUCACAUCAACUAUGCUUAGUAACUGUGAAUCUCUACUUGUUAUAAUAAUCCUACUUCCACCACCAAAGGAAUGUGGCUCUCCAAGUAAAGCAUCAAUUUGUUCUGAUUUGUCCACAUCAUCAACAACAAUAAGAACUUCUCUGACCAAGGCUUUUUAACAUCACCUGAAAACCUUUGUUCGAUAUGUCAGAGCUCCCCACCUUGUUGUCCGAGAUACUAGAUAGAAGUUGUGUCUGCAUAUGUAGUUCGCCGUGCUUCAUGAAACCCUCCUUGACAUUUUUAAGAAAGCAACAAGUUUCAAAUCGACUAGCGAUUUCAUCAUAAACAGCUCUAGCGAUGGUUGUUUUGCCUAAACCACCCAUACCCCAUAUUCCAACAACGCGAACAUUAUUCGUUUCAACUCCAGGAGGAUGUAAUAAUAAAUGCAUUUCAUGCAUAUGAGAAUCCAUGUCAACCAAGCCAUUCUCUUUCCUUGAUGAUGAUGAGAUGUCAAUCAAUUUCCGAUAAACAUAUUCUACAAUUUCCUCUACGAGCACCGCAUCACUCCUGUCAAAUUAAAAAAAAAAAAUAUAAUAACAACAAAAAAUAAUAAUUAAUAGGUCUUUUUCAUCUGUUAGUUUUAAAAAAACUAGAAAUUAAAACCAAAAUCUUGUUGUGGUCUAUUUUAUCUGACAGAGGGACUAGGGCCGGCGGCAGAGAGAGAGAGGAGAGAGAGGUGUGUUUGUAGAAUUGUAGGGGAAUGUGUGUGUUGUUAUCCCUCCUACAUUGUGCCUUUAUUUAUAGUAGUAAAGGGAGAGAAGAUAUUCCUUCUUCUCCAAGUAAUACAAGUUGUAAUAGGAAAGGAUAACUAGAAUCAAAUCUUAUCUAGGAUUUACACAAUCAUACUUAAACUAGGAAUGUUUACAACACUCCCCCUUGAGUGGGUAAAUACUCAAGGUAGAUUCAGCAUCAUGCAGAAGUUGAGGAAGUCGACUCGUCGGCAUUGAUUCCAAGGAACAACGCUUAUUCUCAAUAAGGUAGGAACUUGCAUAAGUAGUAAGUCUCACUAAAAAACCCUAAGGCUAUGGCAAAAACCCAAGUAGGGACAAAAUCCAUAGUCUAAGGAAAAAUGCGUGAGGAAUGCAAAGUCAAAAGAAACGUCUACAGGACAUCAUCAGGGAUAUGACCAGCCCAAGGUGGGUGCCUCGUUAAAACCUAGUUAGGUAGCAAAAACCCAGUGGGAAAAAUGCUCCUAAUCGUAGGGAAAAAGAGUACAUUAAGAUCAAGCAAGUAUCCAGAAGAAACUCCCCCUGAGUUUGACAUAAUUCCAAAGAGAAAUAGCAAAGUUACAACUCAGAAAGUUUUUACGCAUACCAAUUCCAUGAACAAGCUUCUAAAAACGUCGCCUUCGGUAGUGAUUUGGUGAAGAGGUCGGCCAGAUUGUCUUGUGAUCGGAUUUGCGUGACUUCAAUCUUCUGAUGCUCUUGUUGUUGAUGUGUAAAGAAGAACUUCGGCGCAAUAUGCUUGGUGUUGUCUCCUUUGAUGUAACCCUUCUUGAGCUGUUCGAUGCAAGCUGCGUUGUCUUCAAAAAUCGUCGUCGGGGCAUUAACGGCGGGAUGAAGAUCACAGGAGCUUCGAAUAUGGCCCACUACUGCUCUCAACCAAAAGCAUUCCCGAGUUGCUUCAUGUAAGGCGAGAAUUUCAGCAUGGUUAGACGAAGUGGCAACUAAGGUCUGUUUAGUUGACCUCCAAGAUAUUGCGGUGCCUCCAACGGUAAAGACAUAACCCGUUUGAAGAACGCGCCUUGUGCGGAUCAGAUAAGUAUCCAGUGUCGGCAUAACCAACAAGGCGAGAAUCAACCCGAUGAGCAUAGGGUGCGGCAUCACUCGAGGAUUCGUAGGGAUAAGAUAAAGCCCAAAUCCGUAGUACCCUUAAGGUAACGGAAGAUGUCUUUCACGCCAGUCCAAUGUCUGCGUGUUGGUGCAUUGCUGUAUCUUGCCAAAAGAUUAACAGCGAAGGAGAUGUCGGGUCUAGUGCAUUGAGCUAAGUACAAUAAAGCGCCUAUCGCACUUAGAUAAGGAACUUCAGGCUCCAAAAUCUCUUCAUCAUCCUCCUUCGGACGGAAGGGAUCUCGCUUUGCAUCUAGCGUACGAACGACCAUAGGAGUACUCGAAGGCUUCGCUUUAUCCUCAUUAAAACGGCGCAACACCUUCUGGGUGUAGUUCGAUUGAAGUACUAGGAUUCCAUCCGAACAAUGCUCUAUCUCGAGGCCGAGACAGUAUCGAGUCUUACCUAGAUCUUUCAUCUCAAAUUCCGACUUCAGGUGCGAAGCAGUUCUCGCGAGCUCUUCAGGAGUUCCGAUGAGAUUCAUGUCAUCGACAUAUACUGCAACAAUCGCAAAUCCGGAAUGUGACUUCUUAAUGAACACACAAGGGCAUAGUUCGUUAUUCACAUAUCCCUGACUAGUCAAAUACUCACUUAAACGGUUAUACCACAUUCUUCCGGAUUGUUUCAAACCGUAUAGUGAACGCCUCAGCCGAAUUGAGAGCGUGUUCCGAGGUUUGGAAAUAUUUGAACCAGUCAAUGUAAGUCCUUCGGGAACUUUCAUAUAAAUUUCCGUAUCAAGAUCCCCAUAGAGAUACGCGGUUACUACGUCCAUCAGCUGCAUAUCCAGUUUUUCGGAAACUACCAAACUGAUAAGGUAUCGAAAAGUAAUCACAUCCAUAACGGGUGAGUAAGUUUCGUCAUAGUCAAUCCCGGGGCGUUGUGAGAAACCUUGUGCUACAAGACGAGCUUUGUAACGCACAAUUUCGUUCUUCUCAUUACGCUUCCGAACGAAAACCCACUUGUAGCCAACGGGCUUCACAUGUGGAGGAGUAGGAACUACAGGUCCAAACACCUUACGUUUCGCAAGUGAAUCAAGUUCGACUUGGAUUGCUUGUUUCCAGUUUGACCAAUCAGCUCUACGUCGACAUUCAUCAACGGAACGCGGUUCAAUGUCAUCGCUCAACAUGAUCUCAGUAGCUACUGCAAAUGCUAAUGCAUCGUCGACAAUCAUCUCAUUUCUACGCCACACAUCAUCUAAGCUAGCAUAAUAGACCGAAAUCUCACGAUUCUCGGGAGGAGGAUUCGUCUCUUCAAGGACGCUUCCAUAAUCUAGAAUUUCCUCAUGAGUUGGGUAAAAUGAGUAAGCGAUAGUCGGAUUCACGGUAGGCUCUUCAGGACCUUGUGCCGUGGUUUUCCUCUUCCGGGGGUGUGAAUCCUUUGAACCAAGGGGUCUGCCACGCUUUUGUGUAGGGGCAGAUGAUUGGCUAGCCGCUAAUGUACGUGGAUCACCAGAAUUGGCGUCCCGGGCUUCCAGGAGGGUAGUCCGUCGUACAUUUGGUACAUCCAUCUUUGCAGGCGUUUUCGCAGCUGGAAUAUGUGAUCUUGUCACGCGCGCUAGAUCGGUGAAAGCAUCUGGCAUGCUCUGAGCUAUGCUCUGGAGAUCUAAUAUGCGCUGCACUUCAGCUUCAGACUGAGCGGUGCGGGGAUCUAAAUGAGACAAAGUGGGAGUCAUCCACGAUAAUUCGCGUCGUUCAUUAGGAACGUUGACGUUCUUAUCUCCCCCUAACGACGGGAAGACUGUCUCAUAGAAGUGACAAUCCGCGAAACGAGCGGUAAACAGAUCGCCUGUCAAAGGUUCUAAGUAACGAAUAAUCGAAGGAGAAUCAUAUCCGACAUAGAUUCCCAUCCUUCGCUGAGGCCCCAUUUUUGUACAUAAGGGCGGCGAGAUCGGCACAUAGACCGCACAACCAAAAACGCGCAGAUGAGAUAUGUCGGGUUCGCAUCCGGUGACCAACUGAAGGGCACUAAAUGGUUGUGUCGCAACAGGCCUCAGGCGGACCAACUUUGCUGCGUGCAAUAUUGCAUGGCCCCAAGCAGCGAUCGGGAGCUUGGUACGUAUGACCAACGAUCGAGCAAUCAUUUGUAAACGCUUAAUGAAAGCCUCUGCCAGGCCGUUCUGGGUGUGAACAUGGGGUACAGGAUGUUCAACUUCAACCCCAACCGACAUGCAAUAGUCAUCAAAAGUUUUAGAUGUGAAUUCUCCAGCAUUAUCCAAUCGAAUAGAUUUGAUCGGAUAAUCAGGGUGGUGAGCCCUGAGCUUGAUAACCUGAGCCAACAGUUUGGAGAAUGCAGCGUUCCUUGUGGACAACAAGCACACGUGUGACCAACGUGUAGAAGCGUCAACCAAAACCAUAAAAUAUCUAAAUGGUCCGCAGGGAGGUUGAAUCGGUCUACAAAUGUCCCCCUGAAUCCGUUGUAGAAAAAUGGGAGGAUUCGAACGAAUCUUGUCAUAAGAAGGCUUAGUAAUAAGCUUUCCCAUAGAACAUGUUUGACAUGCAAUUUCAUGGAUCGAACCUAAGCUUCGGGUUAGUGGAUGCCCGUGUGAAGUUUUGAGGAUACGGCGCAUCGCUAUUCGUCCAGGAUGUCCCAAACGAUCAUGCCAAAGUGUAAUUUCGUGCGCGGUCCCUGUGGUAGGGCCGGCCACAUAGUGGCAUUCUAUGGGGCGUAUGGUCGUAGUAUAUAGACCACUCGGGUUACGCGCCAUCUUCUCUAGAAUACGCUUCUGGCCAUAUUCGUAGGAAGUUACGCACAGAAAUUUAACUCCGUUUUCUACGUGGGUUUCAGCGUGGUAAUUGUUAUCUCUAAUGUCCUUGAAACUUAGUAACGUUCUUCCGGAACGUGGAGAAUAGAGUGCCUCAGCAAUGGUCAAGAUUGUACCAUUGGACAACAUUAUACGUGCCUUACCGUAUCCUUCGAUCAGGUUGGAUGGGCCUGAGGGGGUUGUCAGAGGUGCAUUCUUAGGUACGAAGUUAGUGAAAUAGAUGCGUUCACGCAAAACAGUAUGCGUGGUUGCACUAUCUGCCAGACAACUAACUUUCCCACUAUUCAUACCUAGAAUUAAUUUGAAUUGGUCACAUGCAUAAAAGUUUAUAAAACAAGUAUCAAUUCAAAAUAAUUUCAUUUAUUCAAGGAAAAAACUUAAUAUCCAAAAUAAAUCGCCAACUAAUAAUCCAAAACAUAAAGGAAAAUUGUUCAAAAUCAACCAAAAACAAGGUGGGGUUCGGCCACUAGGUGGAAUUCGGCCCCAAUUGUCUUAUUUUAACUGAAAAAUAAGUCUAUGUCUAAGAUUCUAAUCUUCCAUAGGAGUGGUAUCCUCCUGAAAAUCAGAAACCUCCAUCUUUGUAAUCUCCGGUUCGUCCACUUGCAGGAAGUUUGAUUCAAACUUCGUACAACGAGAAUGAUAUGCAUCCACAACCUUCUUGGGAGUACGGCAAAUACGGGACCAAUGGUCCUUGGAACCACAACGAUAGCACAUAUCGUCAUUCAUUGUGGCAGGUGCUUUGCCCUUAUUCUUGAAGUUCGGGGCCUUGGGAGUGAGGUUUGGGCGCUUCUGGGCUUUGUUUCCUCCCUUGGAUGGGCCUUGGCUCUGUUGACCUUGGUGGGAUGGCUUCUGGCCGCCCUUACCACGCCUCUUUUGGCGUUUUGGGUGCUGAUUAGUGCUAUAAUGUGCUUCAGGCACAGCAGUAGCCCCAGUAGGUCGAGCUUGAUGAUUUUUCAUCAACAGCUGGUUCUGCUUUUCAGCAAGAAGUAAAACAGAGAUCAAAUCAGAGAACUUAGUGAACUUCUGAGCUCUAUAUUGUUGCUGCAGGACAAUAUUAGAAGCAGAGAAGGUCGAGUAGGUCUUCUCCAGGAGAUCCUCUUCAGUCAAAGUUUCAUUGCAAAACUUGAGAAGUGAUCGGAUUCGACAAACUUCAGAAUUAUAUUCAUUCACAGACUUAAAGUCUUGGAAGCGCAAGUGCUGCCAGUCGUGUCUUGCUUCAGGCAAGAAUAUGUCCUUUUGGUGAUUGAAACGAUCAGCCAAAGCGACCCAUAAUGCACGUGGAUCCUCCUCAGCAAGGUACUCAGUUUGUAGAGCGUCAUGGAUAUGUCUUCGGAUGAAGAUCAUAGCAGUGGCUUUUUCAGCCUCGCCAACAGGUUUAUCUGUUACUUCUUCAAUAGCAGGACGCAAGUUCUUUGCAGUGAGGUGGAGCUUCACAUCUUGAACCCACUUGAGGUAGUUCCUUCCAGAAACCUCCAAAGCGGUGAAGUCGAGUUUGUUCAAAUUCGACAUGUUCCUAUCACAAAAUGGAUGAACAAGAUGUGGUUAGUGUAAUGGAGAAAAAUCAAUCCAUUCACAUAGGAGUAGAACAUACAGGUUCUAAUAGACAUGUAUUGGUUUAAUUUUGCAUGAAAAACUUCGGGUUUUCAUGGGUGAUAUAUUUAAGUGAAAACUUCGGGUUUUCAAACAAGGCAUGUGUAUAAGAAACUUUGGGUUUCAAAGUAAUUAUGAACUUCAGGUUCAUAUAUUCCUGCAGGCAAACACAAAUAUAUAUGCAAACAAAUAUGCAAAGAAUAUAUGUAGAAAUAUUGUAUAAUGAUAAGUGAAUUAAUUUAUUUUUGGUCUUCGGGGCCAAAUUAAAGUGUGGGUGAAAAUAUAAAAACCCAUAUUAUUUAAAAAAAAUUAAAUAAUAAAAUCUCGGGGCCUAAAAAUAUAGGCCAAGAACCCUCGGGUGGGAUUACAGGCCCACGGGGUGAGAAAAGGGGAAUGGGCUGCUGUGUGCAGCCCUAAAAUUUUUUUUUUCUCGGGCCGUUCCAGGCGAGCCCAUAAUUUUUUUUUUCUUUUCGGGCCGUUCCAGGCGAGCCCAGAAACUUUUUUUUUUUUUUUUUAAUUUAGAUGCAUAUAUAAUUCAAUGAAUCACAUAUUUACUUUGAUGCAUAUGCAAAUAAUAGUUUCAAUGCAUGUACAUAUGUAAGAUUCAAUUCAUGGCAAAUAUCAAAUUCACAUAAUUGUAGCAAUUUUGAUUAUGAAGCAUACACAAUUUAUGUAGAAUCUAAAAUACGUAAAACGUAAAGUUGGGUCAUGCAUCAUGGUGAAUGUUCAUGCUAUCAGGGCUUGCAAAAUAUCGAGUUAAAAGCCGUUGUUUGGAAAGAACCUGAUUGCGUGAUGAUAUGGAUGAACUGGUUUGAUGCAGAAAAAAUCUCCAACGUCAGAUUCCUAAGCGCAACGGUAGGAGCGUGCUGAUAACGUGUUGUGGUCUAUUUUAUCUGACAGAGGGACUAGGGCCGGCGGCAGAGAGAGAGAGGAGAGAGAGGUGUGUUUGUAGAAUUGUAGGGGAAUGUGUGUGUUGUUAUCCCUCCUACAUUGUGCCUUUAUUUAUAGUAGUAAAGGGAGAGAAGAUAUUCCUUCUUCUCCAAGUAAUACAAGUUGUAAUAGGAAAGGAUAACUAGAAUCAAAUCUUAUCUAGGAUUUACACAAUCAUACUUAAACUAGGAAUGUUUACAACAAAUCUAAAUAUUUGUCAAAUUAUCUAAAUAUAUAAAGAGAGAGCCCCAGUUUGGUGAAGCAUUCCAAAAUGCCAAGAAUAUCCCUAUGUUUCCUUCACAAUCAAAAUCCAAAAAAUCCAAAAAAAAGGAGGACAAACUGGUAAAAAACUUAUAACCGAACAUAAAAUUGUAUUGAAAGAAAAAACUAAAUUUUUACUAAAAAUUGAGAGCAAGAAAUACAAAAAAAAAAAACAAAAAAAAGGGAAAUUAAACCGAAUACUGGUAGAACAAGUCCACGUAAUUGAUAAUUGACGAAUGCAAUGUUGGUAACUGGUCUUGAUUUAAAAUAAAAAGUUGAAAACACAAAGAGACAGAUGCAGUAAAAAACACCAAUAAAAAACAAAAUAAAAAAAAAAAUAUUGGAAACUGAGGAAAGAAACGUGGGAGAGAGACUGCUGUUUUCAAACUGCAUUAAGUUUAAAGGCUCUCAUGUUAUUGCUAAUGGAAUAAAACAAAAAAGAAAAUAAAAAGAGACCUAAUACGUUUAGAAUAGAACUGCUAUUCGACAGUUGCAGGCUUGAAGUGUGUGAAGGAAACAGUUUUGAAGAACGAUAAACUCGAACGUUCAUGAAAAUAAAAGCGAACGUGGGAGAGGAACCAGUUUUGCGGGACAUGUAAAUAAAACACAAAAUAAAAUAACCUCAAGAGAAUAAAUUGAAAUUGUUGUGCCAGAGCCUGAAGGAGAAGAUCAAAUUGGCGAAAACCAACAAGAACUGGUAGUUCUGUAGUUCUCAAUUAUUAAAUUUGUGUGUUUUGUUCUCUAUCAAAAUGCUUCUUAUUCCUUAAUCUUCUCAUGCAUUUUCACAUGAUUAUUGAAAAUUCUGCACGUUAAUUGUAAUGGUUUGAUUGUGGUUUUUGUUCUCUGCAGGUUUUUCUUCCCUUAUCUUAUCAAAUAAAUCAAUUGAUAGGUUAGGCUUUCAUUUUUUUUUCUUCACAGGACUUUUAAGGACAUCCUCAAGUCAAAGUGAUGGAAUCAAAGUCUUCAGGUUUGGAUGCUUUUUUCCUUCUCUUUUUAGAGUAAUUUUCGAGUUUCUUCUCGCAUUUUUCGGGUUCCUUUCCCCAGUCCCCCAAAAUAACAAUAACAAAUUAGGCUUCUUCAUUUUUAGACUCUCUUGGGGUUGGCAGAUAAGGGGUUGCUUGCAUUUAAACCUCACCGUCCGGCUUCUUCUUUCUUAUGAAUUUUUAUCCCUUUCCUACGGCCAGUUCGUGAAGGCCGUUUUCAAAUUGAGGUUUUGUAUAUUCUGUCUCUUAAGAUUUGAUUCUUUCUAUUUUGGAUUAUUUUUUGUCUGAUUUCUCAAACAAUUUGGCUAAUGAAGAGUUUAUGGAUAUACAAUGGGACAAUAUUAUUUUCUCUCUGUUUUAUGUGUUUAUUUAGUUUUACUGUAGUUUUCAUCUAUGCCUUGAGUUUUGGCUUCUCUAUCUUUUUAUCUUUUGUAGCGUUCCAGGUAAAUGGUGAGAAUUAUUCAAGUAUGCGACAUCAUUUUAGUUUCAUGUGAAAAAUCUUCUCUUAUAAUUUUGUUUGAGUGAUUGAAUGUGCAUAUGUGAGCUCUAAGGUUUGGUUCCAUAUUUAUUGUUGAAGAAAAACAGGAAGUGAGGAACACAAUAACCCUACCACGAUUAUGUAUGAAAUAAAUUGGAUCUAUUAAAAACUCAUAUUUUGGGUGUGUUGUUAGGAAGAAAUGCCUAAACUCCGAAUUUGUAUGGAACAUACUCAUUAUAGAAUAGAUUAAUUGUAUGUGUUAUUGCUUUUAGUACUAAAAUUGACUUAUUUGCCCUCCUACAAGUCAUAGCUUUGCUAAUAAAUUGAGAACAAUGUCUGAUUUAGUUUUUUUUUUUUGUCGAAAUGUCUUAUUAGUUUAACUCUUUUCAUUUGAUAAUUCUCUUGCCCUUGGUUUGAGAUAUAAAGUAUUUCAUUUCAGUCAUCAAGUGUCACAGCCUGUCCCGAAAUAUUUUAUUGAUGUUGUGAAAUGACGAAACUGCCUUUGAGCGUUUUUUGACAUUUAAACUUUAGGGUUUGUUUUGGUAACCAUGGUUGUGUUUAGGGUUAGGUGGAAGUGUGAGGACACACACAUCACCCUUUCCCUUUCUUUCUCUUCUCUCCCGUGCACUCUCUCUCUCUCGGAAACACUCUCCCUCUCGGAAACACUCUCCCUCUCUUCCUUCUUUGUACGGACAACAUCAAAACCCUCUCAAACCUUGUAGAUCGAGGGUGUAAAGAACACCAUUGGGUUCGUGAGGAUCAUACAAGUCAAAAGGUACCAGUUUCAGGUAAGGAAACCUUCGAUUUCCCGUGAAAACCCUAACCCUCCGAUUUUGUCACUGUUUAUGCUCAUGUAAAACCUUGUGUUUUAGGGGAUUUUAAGCUCAUAGGGAGCUUUAGGAGGUCCUAAGGAAGAUCAGAGUGGUUUGUUGGAAGAAUUUGGACGUCGAAAUAGUGAGAUCGACGAGUUGCAGGGUUUGGCCUGAUUAUCGAGGUUUUUUUCCAGCGAGUUGGAGGUCGAGGCAUGUAUGGUUUUGUUCGUCUUUGUGAGAUCUUCAAAUUGGUUCAAAUUUCAUUGAAAAUGGUGCAAAAAUGAAGAAGUUAUAGGCAUUAGAAAUUUUUCCAUAAACCGGUGACUCACCGGAGAAGAAAGGAGUUGACGGAAUAUACUAACGGCGUCAUGUAUCUUUAACAGAUUCAGUUAGUUUUAACGGAAUAUUCCUGACGGCGUUAACUGACGCCGUCAGUGUGCCAAGCACAUGGGCGCACGUGGGGGCGCAUCUGGCCGUGCCUUGGCCACGUGGGUGAUCAGAAAAUUAUUCUAAAAAUAUGGGGAUGUUUCUGAGGUUGUGUAGAUCAUUUUGGUAUAUUCAAACACCCCGAUUGAGCAUUGUAUGAGAAGUUGUUACCAAGUUUUGUGUUUGUGCUUUAAAAGUAACGUUUAUAUAGUUGUUUCGCAUAUAGGUGAGACCUAUCCCGAGGACGAGCGAAGUCAGGGGCAACUCGGGGGUUACGACCCUUCCACAUACCAGUGAGUAUAUAUAUAUAUUGAAUAUUUUCCUAGAAAAGCGAUUUAAAUGUGUGAAAUCCCGUUUCUGGAUUUCAUUGUUAUCACCUACAUAUUUGUAUUAUUGAGAUUUUAUAUUAUUUCUCGAGAAUUUAUUUUAAUUUGUUUGAAUUUAAAUUUAAAUUAAAUUAGUUAUUAACGUUUGAAGUUUGAGGCAUUUUAGAAAUAAAUAGAAAAAUCUGAAAUUUUCUUAUGAAAUCUGGUGUGCCACAUGGGUGGCCCAGAUUCAAUGGAAAGGAAAAUGGAUGGUGGAGAUGCAAAGGAAAGGAUUUAAAAGAGAGUGGGCGCUGCCCAGUUAGGAGGGGGGAGAGAAAGAGGUGACCAAUUGGGCGAAGAGGAAAGGAGAGUAAGGAGAGAAGAAGAGGAAGAGGGAACCGGCCGGGGUUUACUAUGGCCCAUGACCCGACCCGGUUAUAUCUCCCAACUCCGGCCACCAUGGACGGCUAGGAUGGUGUCAAAAUGAUCCUUAGCUCGAGGCCAAUCGAUCUCUCUUCCAUUUCUACACUUAAAACGACGAGGGGGAGUCCAAUUUUGAGGAAAUACCACGGUGGGUGCGUCGGGCUUAUGUGGAAAUCCAUUAAAUCUUGAAACGUUUUCUUCCAAUUACAACCACCCAUAGCAUCCUCAUGAGGCCUAGAACAAAGCCCAGACAAGUUUGGGGGCGGCAGAGUUGUUUUCGAGUCGGAUCGAACACACCUAAAAACAAGGGUUCCGUACGGUUCGAGUGAAAUUGGGGAUUUUCCCGGCCAAAUUGGACUUGGCCACAGGUAUAAAAAUUGCUAUACUCAUUGAAAUCUUCAUUUCUGUAAAUUUUGAUAAUUUUUAAAAAUAGUUGAAUUUUUCCGGCAAGUCGGGGCGGCCGACGGCCACCCGUGGCGGCGAGUGCGGCGGUUUCCUGGCCAGUGGGCCGAAAAUAUCAUUUUAAGUUCAAUUAGAUGUCUUGAUUUCAUAAUUGAUAUCCUUAUGAUAUGGUUUGAUUGUUUGAACCUAAUUUCAUUACGAUACGUGGUUAGGUCAAAAUAUGAUUCGACGAUCCUACCGUUGGAUCGUCACCAAACCUUAAUGCGUGAUAGAACAUAAUAUUUUUGGAUCAUAGAAACUUACGGAUCGAGAAUCUGACGUACGGAUCUUCCCUAAUUGGAUUUCUAAGUUUGUAAAAUUAAAUGUCGACCGCCACUUGAAUUUUGAAAUUGGCGGAGAUCCAACUGUCGGAUCAUGUUGAGAUUUCAGUAUGUUGUUAUUUGAGCAUAAUGUGGACUUUGGAAAGUUUCGGAUCGGAAAUCCGAGGUGCGGAUCUUCCGAAUCAAAUUACAUAAGUUUGUGGACCCUACUGUUGAUCGAGAGUUGACUUUUGCUCAACAUGUCAUGAAACGUCCUAAUUACUAAAAUUAGUACUACAGGGGAACUAGGUGAAGUCUAGUGGGCAUGCAUUGAUUAGAGAGUGACUUGAAUAUAUGUGAUAUGAUUAUUACCUUAAUUUCCUAUUAGUAUCCUUUGUGAAGAUGAAUUGGUUUUAUAAAUGUGAUUUCUAUUGAAAUGUGAUUUUUAUAUAUUUAGCCAUAGGCCUAUGAUUAUUAAACAUGAUUUGGCUUGGUACUGAUGAUGGUUGUGACAUAUGUGAGUUAAAUUAUCUUUUUAGUAAUGUGAAUGAUGUGUAUGAUUAUUUUCAUGACAAUGUGAUCCUAGAAUCCUAUUAAAAGUAUGUUGUAGCACUUAUAUGCUUGGGUGCCAUAUUAGUGGUGACCUUGAGAAGUUGAUGGUGUAGGUGACUACGUUGUAACUCAUAGGGUUGAGAUGUGAUGUGGAUAAGUUGAGGUGUUGAAAUUACUACACCAUGUAGUAGUUGUACAUUGAUGGUCCUGCUUGGUAUAUCCGCAUUGGGGGACCAUACGCAUUCUAGGAGUGAUCAUGCUUGGUAUAUCUGCAUUGGGUGAUCACUACCUACCUGAUUAUCUUGACCCUGCUUGGUUAAUCCGCAUUGGGGGGUCACAAGUGGUCCUGCUUGGUUAACCCGCAUUGGGGGACCAUACUUUAUAUGGAUCGCGCUUGGUUAAACCGCGUUGGGCGAUCCUUAUGGCCAUGUAUGCUUAGGAGUGAUCAUGCUUGGUAUAUCCGUAUUGGGUGAUCACUGCCUAGGAUAUUAAACUAUGCAUACGGUUUUGCUUGGUAUAUCCGCGUUGGGGGACCAUAUGCAUUCUAAAAGUAAGGAGGAUUAGUUGUGUUGAUGCACAAAAUCAGCGAAGACUUUGGUACAACAGAAAGUGUCAGGUUUUGUGACCUUCGCUUGGUUGCUUCGGUCACUAGUGAGGAUAAAUACGUAAAUAAAUAGAGACAGAGAAGCAAACACAGGAUGUACGUGGUUCACCCAGAUUGGCUACGUCCACGGAGUAGAGGAGUUCUUAUUAGUAGUGAAGGGCUUACACAAGUACAAAGGAUCAAGCUCUCAAUUUAGUGAGUUCUUGUGAAUGAUUUACACAAAAUGGCAUUAGGCAAUAUUGUGGGGGAAUGACCCCUAUUUAUAGAAAAACUUGUAGCUUUGUCACAUUGACAUGUGUCAUGUUAUGAUUGGUUCUUGAUGUUGACACGUGCUGCGCUCUGAUUGGCUUCUAAUCCUGACACGUGUCGAGUAGUGAUUGGCCUCCUGGUCGGAGGGGAACUCUUCUGGGUCCUUGACAGUAUAGCGUUGGCUGGUACUCGGUAGUUUCGGGAUUGGUCAAGUAUGGUACAAACAGUGCUCCCCUAAGUUCCCGAGUGAGGGAAACUCCUCGGUUGGGGACUUGCAAGAUCCAAUCCCUUGAGUAAUCACGAAACUUCUAAGUACCGAAGUGUGGUCUGAUCUUCAUCUGCCCUUCUCUGGAAGUACCUUUCCUCCAUCCGGGAAUGGUGUAUUUAGCUGAUGUUGACGCACAAGCUAAUGUAUCAAUUUCACUUGAAGCUUAGUUGUAGUUUCGGGCUUAGUCAAGUGUGAUACAAACCCUAUAGUAGGAGUCCCCCAAGUCGCCGAGCUAGGAGAUCUGCCGAAAGAGGUGACAGACAAGGUAAGCAGUCAAACUUCCAAGUAAGCAACCCAGGAUCAGAGGUUUGACUUCGGCUUCCGGUUGAUUGUUCUCAUUCUCCUUGUCUCUCAUUCAACUGCCAGGAUAAGGAGAAGCAAAUGGAUAAGAGAUGAUAUGAGAUACUUUUGCUUUUGAAGAAGUAACUUUCCACAGGCUUAUUCUUGAACUGUGCUGGAGGGUUUUCUGGUGCCCUUCAGAGUAUAAGGCCAACUCAAAAAUUUGAGGGUCAAAACAAGUCCAUCAAAUCUAGAGUACGUUCGACCUUGAUGAUAUGGGAUACUUUUGCUGUUGACGGAAUAAUGAAUGUGGUAUGGAAAGGUGUCGUGCUGUAGUGAUCUGUUUCAGCUCACCGUUUGAACCUUCUGCUUCAAUCUUUUGCAUGGCAGAAGUGGUGUGCAACCUUUGCAUUUAAAUGGUCCUUCAGAACAUUCCUUCAUAGUGACUCAUCCACGCUUGGCAGCUUCAGUGUAAAGAGCCAAUAUCUGAUCAACUGUCAUGAGGUAUUUGCCGGUGGAAUUCGUGACCUUGACAGCAGUUGAGGAUGAGUACUCGAGAGCAAUGCUAAGUAAGCAACCAGGCAAAGGCUCCAGGCAGUCAGUUCCAAAUUGGAGGUUUGAUUUCAGGUUCCGACUGACUGCUCUCUUUCUCCUUGUCCUGCAGGUGUGGACAAGGACAAAGACAAAGACAGGGAGAAAGCAUGAUAUGGGAUACUCUUGCUUUCGAUCCUGAUGAUAUGAGAUACUCUUGUUCUUGGUGUGGCUUAUUUGCUGAGGUAUUAUCGGGGGGAAAUAAAGCUGAGUAUUUCGAGAGGUUAUGUUGAGGGUGCCUUUUCGAAUGCGAGAAAGGGUUGAGCAUUUUUGCAGGUUUGCCUGUCCGUUGAGGAGGGAGGUCAAUGUAUAUAGGGAUUUCCCAAUAACAAGUAGUAAUGCUAUUCCUUUACCCUUCUUGGUCACAGCAAUGUAGUGGGAGCUGCCAGCUUCACGUGUUUUAAUUUUGUCAGAGCACUUUGAAAAAAGUGGUAUGUGGUAUCUGGAAAGCUGAUGUUACGUGUGAAGAUUACAGACAAGCUUUAUCUAAGGAAAUCUGGCUCUCGAAGUUCUGAGAGUUGUGCCUCUUCGGUUUUCGAACAAGCAAUCCCGUCGAGGAUCUGACUCUCGAGAUUCGGAAAGCGGUGCUACUCCGGUUUUUUAGAAAGUAAUUAUGUUGGGAGUCUUUUCUUGAAUGUGAGUAAAGGUUGGACGUUCUUGCCAACCUGUCUUGCCGCAAAACACGGAGGUCGACACACAUAGGGACUUUCCAGUUGUCAAGCAGUGGUGCUGUUCCUUUACCCUUAUGGGUAAUAGUAGGGUAGCUGGAACUUCGAAAUUCUCGUGCCUAAACUUUGUCAGAGAUCUUUGACAAAGUUAUAUGUGGUACCCGAUGAGUUGAUGGUGCAUAUGGAGAGCGGUGAUUGAACAGUAAGAUUCACGUGCUUUCUACUUCACCAGAAAUCUUCGACAGAUUGCCCGUAAUUUCUGCAAAGCUGAGUGUGCAUGUGACAGGUGCUGACGAGGCUGAAAAAGCAGGUGCUUCUUUGAUUUCUGAGAUCGGCCCUCGUGGUCUCUGAGCAGCCCAGCUUUUGAGAAAGCAAACGCCUCUUCGAUUUCUGAAGCUCCGUCGAGUGCAGAUUUUUAUAGAGGCUGGCAUUAAGUUCCACAGCACACUUGAAUCUCUACCAGUAGAAGCUCAUUUCUUGCACUUCUAAGAUCUUGAUUUGUCUGACCUCUUCCCUCUUCAACACAUUUGAAAAUGUCUGGACCCUCCGACCGUCGUUUUGACUUGAACCUUGGAGAAGAGACAGCCACGCCUUCUCCAGACAACAUAUGGCGCCCAUCAUUCAUAUCCCCUACCGGUCCUCUUACCGUUGGGGAUUCUGUGAUGAAGAAUGAUAUGACCGCUGCAGUGGUGGCCAGGAACCUUCUCACUCCCAAAGAUAACAUACUACUUUCCAAACGGUCUGAUGAGUUGGCUGUUAAGGACUCUUUGGCCCUUAGUGUUCAGUGUGCAGGUUCUGUGUCUAAUAUGGCCCAACGCCUAUUUGCUAGAACCCGCCAAGUUGAAUCAUAUUGGCUGCUGAAGUGAUGAGUCUCAAACAGGAGAUUAGAGGGCUCAAGCAUGAGAAUAAGCAGUUGCACCGGCUCGCCCAUGACUAUGCUACAAACAUGAAGAGGAAGCUUGACCAGAUGAAGGAAUCUGAUGGUAAGGUUUUACUUGAUCAUCAGCGGUUUGUGGGUUUGUUCCAAAGGCAUUUAUUGCCUUCGUUCCUCUGGGGCUGUACCUGGUAAUGAAGCUUCAAAUGAUGAACCUCCAAUGCCUCCUCCUUCUGGGGUUUUGUCAAGUACUGAGGCUCCGGAUAACCACCCUCCGGUGCUUUCUCUUUCUGGGGCUCUACCGACUGCUGAGACUUCCCCUAAGCAACCUUUGUGAAGGCUCCCUUUUGUUUGUUUAUUUUGACUCAUGUAUAUGUACAUAUUUGUGGCUUAUCGAAAAUAUUAAUAAAAUAAGCUUUGCUUCAUUUCAACAUAUUGUGUUAAAUACACCAAAGCCUUCUUCAUAAAGUUCUUUGAAUUUUUGCUUUUGUUGAAACCUGUAUUGUUGAAGCUUUGUGAGUGAAGCAUGUAGUUUGAGGUAGUGUUCCCUUAAUUUCUCGAGUGAGGAAAACUUCUCGGUUGGAGACUUGAAAAAUCCAAGUCACUGAGUGGUUGUGAGACUGCCGAGUAUCAAGGUGCAGUAGCAUAUGGUGGGAGUCCCCCAAGUCUUCAGGCGAAGAGAGUUGCCGAAUGAGGUGUCUCGCGUGUUACUAAUUUGUCAAAGUAACGAAUUCUUGUUUCGAUGUCACACAUUCGUAUAUGCUUUAUCUAAAAAAUAUUUCCAACUUUUGUGUGUGUUUGAUGCUGCAUGCUAUUGACUAGACAAGAUCAAGUGCAAUUAGUAGCUUUCUCUCUUUUUCAUCUUUUCUUUGGUGGAAUUGCUUUUCGUUUCCACUAAUCAGCCUGAGUGGAUGCAAGAUAACACCUUUCUCUAUAGCUCAGAUUGCAAAGUCGUCUUCAUGAAAGUUUUUCCUUAUCUUGUGAACUACAAUAUAUCCAAAUUUGAGAUCCAUCGGAGUAGUACAACUUCAGAAAUUCAAGUAUGAUGAGUAACUGUUCAUCAAUGUUCUGUUAAUCCGUCAGACUUGUUGUGAGCUUCGAAACUCCAUUUUCUCUUGUUCAGAUCAACAUACUUUCUUUCUUCAUCGAAGUUGUUCCUCAGCUUGUGAACUACAACAUAUCCAAAUUUGAGAUCCCUCGGAGCAGUAUAACUCCAGAAAUCCAGGUAUGAUGAAUGACUGGUUAUUAUUUUUCUGUCAACCCGUCAGAUUUGUUGUGAGCUUCGAAACUCCAUUUUCUCUUGUUCAGAUCGGUAUGCUUUUCUUCAUUGAAGUUGUUCCUCAGCUCGUGAACUACAACAUAUCCAAAUUUGAGAUCCCUCGGAGCAGUAUAACUCCAGAAAUCCAGGUAUGAUGAAUGACUGGUUAUUAUUUUUCUGUCAACCCGUCAGAUUUGUUGUGAGCUUCGAAACUCCAUUUUCUAUUGUUCAGAUCGGCAUGCUUUCUUCAUUGAAGUUGUUCCUCAUCGUCUCUUUCAUAACAUAUCAAAAAUUCAGAAUGAACUAAUGGUUAAAUAUUUCCAGAUCUUUGAAACAUCACAGCAGCUUCGAAAUCUGCAAGAAUCCGACUGUCAUGUUUGGAACUUCAACACUUUAAUUUCCGUCGCUCAAACAGAAAUGGUUCCUUCUUGAAAGUUGUUCAUAUGCUCAAGAACUAUAGGGUGUCCAAAAUUCAGCUCCAUUGGAGAAGAGCAGAGGUUGCAGAAAUUUGAUAGAUGAAAGGAGGCGGAAGAGGGAGAGAGAGAAAAAGUCUCUUGGGUUGGAUUUCUAUUUUGGGGCAGAUUCCAAUUUUUGUAGCACCUUCAUUAUUGAUGAAUUGCUUGUACUUUUGUCCAUUAUGAAACUUGGGACUUUGGCUUGUUGUUGGAUCUAUUAUAAUAUGUUUGGGAACAUAUAUAAGUGAAUAAAUAAGAAGGAAAAUUUUGGGCCCUUGUGGGUGUAAAACAAAAAAUGUUUAUGUUUACCCAAGUGGUUUUGUGAACAAAAUUUGUUUAUUUGGAGCAAGGUUUUGUGUUGAAGCUUUGUAGGUGAAGCUUUGUAGAUGAAGCUUUCGAGGUGAAGCUUUGAUGGUGAAGCUUUGUAGAUGAAGCUUUCUGGGUGAAGCUUUGAUGGUGAAGCUUUGUAGAUGAAGCUUUCGAGGUGAAGCUUUGAUGGUGAAGCUUUGUAGAUGAAGCUUUCUGGGUGAAGCUUUGAUGGUGAAGCUUUGUAGAUGAAAGUAUGUAGAGGGAGCUUUCUAGGUGAAGAUUUUUUAGGUGAAGCUUUGUAGGUGAAGCUUUUUUAAGUGAAGCUUUUCGGGUGAAGUUUUUGUUGGGUGAAGCUUUGUGGGUGAAGCUUUUUAGGUGAAGCUUUGUGGGUGAAGCUUUGGAGGUGAAGCUUUUCGGGUGAAGCUUUUUGGAUGAAGCUUUUUUUUUUUUUUUUUUUUUUUUUUUUUUUUUUUUUGGCGCUUGACACGGUCUUCAUUUGCUUGUUUUGUAGUGACUGUGGAAGACGGAUUGCUUUCUGAAUUGAGAAGGGUUCCGGCAUCGCUUGCUAUGAAUGUAAAAGAGUGAGGGCUGAGUUGGCUAAAUUACCUCUUUAUUGAAUUCAUUGCCAAAUGGCCUUCAUUACAUAGGAUGCCGAACGGCUAUAGCUCAACACUUGUACAUCGUGAGUCUAUUUGUAGUAGUACUUCAAGUGAUCAGCGUUCCAUGGAUGGCCAAGGGUCUUGCCAUCGGAGCUUCUAAGUGUGUAAGAGCCAGGGCGACUGAUGCCAAUGACUUCAUACGGUCCAUCCCAGUUUGGACUAAGUGUGCCUUCACUCGGGACUCUGUCGCAGAGUAAUCUUUUCUUUUAAGACCCAGUCUCCUAUUUUGAAAGAACGAGGCUUGACCCUAGAGUCAUAAUAGUUGGAGAUGCGCUGCUUGUAGGCGACAUUCCUCAAGUGAGCUUGGUUUCUGUGUUCCUCGACUAAAUCCAAGUUGAGGGUGAGUUGUUUGUCAUUUUCACUUUGAAUGUAGUUCUGGACUCGGAAUGUUGCUUGCUCGAGCUCAACAGGGACAACCGCCUCUGUGCCAAAGGCAAGUGAGAAUGGAGUUUCUCCUGUUGAAGUCCGAUAUGAAGUGCGAUAUGACCAAAGAACUUGGGGUACAAAUUCUGGCCAACAGCCUUUAGCUUUGUCCAAGCUGGUUUUCAAAGUGCGCUUGAUUAUUUUGUUGAUGGCCUCAACUUGUCCAUUAGACUGGGGAUGAGCUGGAGAGGCAAAGCAUAAGUUGAUGUUGAACUUAGAGCAGAACAACCUGAACUUCUUGUUGUCAAACUGUCGCCCAUUGUCAGUGACUAUCGCAUUGGGAAUGCCGAAUCUACAAAGGAUGUUCUUCCACACGAAGUCUUCUAUCUUUGCCUCAGUAAUGGUUGCCAAGGGUUCUACUUCGGCCCACUUUGUGAAGUAGUCCACUGCAACGACUGCGUAACAGACUUUGCCCUUCCCUGCCGGCAUUGGGCCGAUCAAAUCAAGUCCCCACUGGGCGAAGGGCCAAGGGCUGAUCAUAGGAGUAAGAGGCUCUGGAGGGGAAUGAGGAAUAGUUGCAUAUCGUUGACAUUUGUCACAUGAGCGGGAUACUUUGAUGGCAUCCUGGUGGAGUGUUGGCCAGUAAUAUCCUUGGCGAAAAGUCUUGUGUGCUAGGGACCGAGAUCCAGCAUGAUCUCCACAGACUCCCUCAUGUAUUUCCCGAAGGACGAUUUCCGCCUCGGCAGGCGUAAGACACCUUAAGUAUGGCAGGCUAAAACCUCGCUUAUAGAGUUGAUCAUUGAUGAUCAGGUAGCGGGUAGACUUGUAUCGAAUUUGCUUAGCCUGGACUUUAUCAUUUGGGAGGGUGCCAUGAGCAAGGAAAUUAUAGAUCGGGGUGAUCCAACUAUCCCCCUGUUGUAAGUUGCAUACUUCUGCGGCCAUGGUGCUUGGUGUUGCCAACAGUUCGACAUGAAUUUUUCUUCCAAUCUUGUCUUCCACAGCUGAGGCGAGGCGAGCCAGGGCGUCUGCAUGACUGUUUGCCGCUCGAGGAACUUGGGUGAUCUGGUAGUGGAAGUGCUUGAGUAAAAGUUGUGUUUGCGCAAGAUAUGCUGCCAUGGAGCUGUCCUUAGCAUCAAAGUUGUUGGUAACCUGGUUGACCACUAAUUGGGAGUCACUGAAAAUAUCAAUUUGUUUAACCCCGAGGUGUUUGGCCAAACGUAAUCCUGCUAGAAGGGCUUCAUACUCGGCCUCAUUAUUUGAUGCCUUGAAUUUGAAACGAAGAGCAUACUCCAUUGCUACUUUGUCGGGUGUAGUCAAGACUAGUCCCGCUCCACAGCCCUGUUGGUUGGAUGAGCCAUCAACAUACAGACUCCAUGCUGGGGUUGUUGGUUCUAUCUUCUGAGCUUCCGGGGGUAAUGAAGCCACUGUUUCAGGUGUAGAAGCAAUGUCAACCGGAUAUGUGAAGUCGGCAAUGAAGUCUGCCACUGCUUGGCCCUUCUCAGCUGGCUUUGGUUGGUAGGAGAUGUCAAACUCACCCAACGCUAUUGCCCAUUUGAUCAUUCGCCCUGAAGUGUCAGGACUUUGGAGUAUCUGUCGAAGAGGAUAAUUGGUAAGCACGAUGAUGGAGUGCGCUUGGAAGUAAGGGCGGAGUUUUCGAGCAGACAUGACCAAUGCCAGAGCCAAUUUCUCAAUGUUAGAGUACCGUGUCUCCGCAUCUUGUAAGGCUUUGCUAGCGUAGUAGACAGGUCGCUCAAUAUUCCCAUCCUUUCGAAUGAGAACGGAACUUACGGCUGAAGCUGAUACCGAUAGGUAGAUAAUGAGAAUGUCUCCUACCUCGGGCUUGGUGAGUAGAGGGGCUUUACUCAUGUACUCCUUGAGGUUUUUGAAUGCCUCGGCACAUUCAUCAGUCCAUGUAAUGUACUUCCUACUUCCCUUAAGUGCUUUAAAAAAGGGAGCACAUUUGUCUGUGGCCUUAGAAAUGAACCUGGUUAAGGCUGCCACCUUGCCAGUAAGGCUCUGGAUGUCCUUUGAAGUUACCGGUUCCUUCAUGUCGAGGAUUGCUUUGAUCUUCUCGGGAUUAGCUUCAAUGCCUCGUUGGCUAAUCAUGAAACCUAAGAAUUUGCCAGAGCCUACGCCGAAGGCACAUUUGUUGGGGUUUAACCUCAUUCGAUACCUCUUCAAAAUAGUGAAAGUUUCAGAUAGGUUGGUGAUGUGUUGGUCAGCAUGUUUGCUCUUGACUAACAUAUCAUCAACGUAAACUUCCAUGCUCUUCCCAAUCUGCUCGGCGAACAUUGAGUUGACUAGUCUCUGAUAAGUCGCUCCUGCAUUCUUUAGGCCGAAAGGCAUGACUUUAUAGCAGUAUAGUCCUCUGUCGGUAGUGAAGGCUGUGUGUUCUUGAUCCGAAGGGUUCAUGAGGAUUUGGUUGUAUCCUGAGUAAGCAUCCAUGAAGCUCAGGAGUUCACACCCGGCCGUAGAGUCUAUAAGUCUGUCAAUAAGAGGAAGAGGGAAGCUAUCUUUCGGACACCCUUUGUUUAGGUCGGUGUAGUCAACACACAUUCUCCACAAGACCUUUUGAAGCGAAAGACUUUCUUUGGUCGGAUUUUUCCUAACAAGGACCACAUUUGCUACCCAUGUCGGGUAAUUGACUUCGCGGACAAAGCCUAUGCCUUUGAGUUUUUCAACUUCUGCUUUCAUUGCCUCGUAUCGUUCAGCGUCAUAAGAUCUUCGCUUCUGUCUCACCGGCUUGAUCUUGGGGUCAAUACUCAAACGAUGACAGAUGACAUCGGGAGAGAUGCCUGGCAUGUCCUCGUAUGACCAGGCGAAGACUUCAGUGUUCUCUUUCAAAAAAGAUAUCAAUGCUAACCGAAGGGGUGGUGACAAUGUGGUGCCAAUCUUCACCAUGUGAUCUGGAUAAUCUCUUGAGAUAGGUACCUUCUCCAACUCUUCAGCAGGUUGGGCUUGCUGGGUGAAAGAGUCAUCUCGAGGAUCAUCGGGUUGAUUGUUGCUAUCAGGAAGAUCCAAGUUCGCUUCAUCUAGGCUGGUCUUUGUGACUUGGUCAUGUACAGACAGGGUUUCCUUGGGUCCGGGCAAGUGUUGUUGCUUAACUGAAGUGUUGUAACAUGAUCGUGCACUAAGCUGAUCUCCUCUGAUGUAGCCGUUGCCAUGGGGGGUUGGAAAUUUCAUCAACAGCAUAUGCGUGGAUACCAUAGCCUUGAGAUCAUUGAUGCCUGUGCGCCCAAAGAUGACAUUGUAUGCCGUUGGGCAGUCAACCACUAGGAAGUUAGUGGUAAUGGUAGCCGUGUAAGGGCCUGUACCAAUAGUAAAGGGUAAAUGUAUGCUCCCUAAGGGUUGCACGAUAUCACCGGAGAAGCUUAUCAGAGGAGAAAUCGAGCGAUCGAGCAAGUGUUCAGCUACACUGAGUGCCCUGAAAGCUUCGGCAAACAUGAUAUUGACCGAAGCCCCUGUGUCUACGAGGAUUCGUCGAACAUCAAAGUUGGCUAUGUGAGCCUCCACGAUCAAUGGGUCGUUAUGAGGGUAGAUGAUGCCUCUUUCUUCCUCAGGGUAGAAACAUAUCGGAUCCCAGUUAGGCUUUUGAUACUUCCCUCCCCUGAUGUCUUCCACGUGAAACACUUGGUGACCAGGCCUCAGAAUUCGUUCACUGUUUUUCAUGGCCCUAUUGGAAGAUUCAGAUAUGGGUGUGCCGCCGCUUAUGGAAUAUAUGACAUUCACCUGGCGUUGGUUACGGUUAUCCCUUUGAGGGUGAAGGAGGAAUUGAUCAAUUUUUCCUUCUCGUGCCAAAGCUUCAAUACGAUCACGGAGGAUGAUACAUUUCUCGCUAUCAUGGCCGUUAUGCUCAUGGUAGCAACAAAACAUGCCCGCGUUAUUCGGGGGCGUGUAAUCUGGGUGCCUCGGCUUUGGCUUUGGUAUCAGGUGAGCUAUGCUGGGGUAAAUGGCCGCGCAUGUGGCAUUCAAGGGCGUGUAUGUCUCAUACCUUGGGGUAGGGGGUAUCUUGACGCGGGUUUGACCCACUGCAUUGACUGCCUGGGGGCGAGCGUUAUUGUGGCGAUACCCUUGGUUAUCGGGAUAGUGUCCCUUACUCUUUUUUACUGAAAUGAGAGUGGUGAGGAUGGAAAUCCUUCCUCUUGCCUUGAAAUUGAUAUGUCUGUUGAUUCGGCGAAGCAUUAUGCAAGGCAUGGGGAGGUGCCACUGCUGUUUGGAAAGUCGAGGUCUUCUCAUUUAGGUGAGUCUGGCUUCCACCUCCCACUUGUUGAUAAAGGAUGGUUGUAGGGGGUUUCUCCUGAUAUGUCUUUGCCUCGGCGGAGGCAUGGUUAUAAGCCUGCGCCAUCACCUCAGAGUAAGUCUUCCAAGUAUUGGCAUUGAUCAUGUAUUUAAAGAAACAAUCACGUAGGCCUGCCGUGAAGGCUUUGAGGGCAGUCUUGUCGUCUGCCUCGGCACACCGGGAGUAUUCAUGGCUGAAGCGGCCAGCAUACAUACGUAAUGACUCGUCUGGCUUCUGGCGGAUAGUGUACAGGUCAUCUGCAGAGUGCAAGCGAUCGGUUUGGAAAAUGUGUUGGGAAACAAAUAGUUUCCUCAAUUCCUCAAAUGAGUCUACCGUCUCAGGUGUAAGACGACAAUACCAAUUUAGAGCUCCGCCAGAGAGGGUGGAGGGGAAGAGAAGACAUCGCUCUUCGUCGGUGUGCAUCCGGUAUGCCAUGGUGGACUCAAAGAGGUUAAGGUGCUCAAUCGGGUCCUCUUUUCCAGUAUAAAGUUGCAAGCCAAGCUUUUUGCUUUGUCUUUGCUUGAAGGGGGGUGUUGAGGAUCCUCCUUGUAAGAGGGCCAGGCCUGGGUUGGUUCCAGUCAGGUAUUUCAGCCUGACGUUCAGCCUUCAACUUGUUUACUUCCUCAAGAAGUUGUAGGACAAGGGGGUCCUGAGCGGAGUUAUGUGCCACUGGAGCUUUCUUUCGUAAAUCUCCAUCUUCUCUUGGAAUUAGGAAGGUUUGAUCAAGGGCAUGUGAUUUUUCCCUGGACUCGCUGUACUGGCUUCCAGGGUAUGUCUGUCGGAACACCUCUGAGUCCCCUGUACCCUCAUGUCUCUCUAGGACUUGUUGCCCCUUCCCCAAAUUGGUGGCCGGCUUGGGCCGUGGCAGGGGACCGAGUCUCUCAGAAAUCCUUGGGUCAUUAAUCUUUGAGCUUAUAUGGAUGGAAUUCUCUCGACGUUGCUUCAGGAAAUCCCGACAAUAGCGAAAGACAGCUUUCGAUCCUUCUGCCCCUUCAGCAAAGAGGUGUCUCCCUCCACUUCUCAUGGUUCGGGUUGAAGCAACUGGGUUAAGAGAAGCCUCAUGUUGAUUAUCAAGUCGAGGGGUAAUCUGUUCCCUAUCAGGGAUAUCUAUGUCGAAUGCAUGUGACCCUCCAUGUUGGAGGGCACCCAGUUGAUGGUUGACUUCCACGGGGGCAACAAGCUCGCGUGUCUGAGCUUGCCUAGCUUCGUGGAGUGUCUCGAAGAGCUUCUCAUAUUGCUCCUGGAGGACCUCAUUCCUCAUUGCUAUCUUGUUGUUCUGAGCUUCCAACUCAUCGACUUUAGCUUGAAGAAGAACUCGUUUUCCUUCCUUCUUUCGUUGUUUCGCACUAUGUGCAAGGGGGGUGUCAUUCUGUGUGCUGUGGCUUCCUUCGCUUCCCAUGUUGGAGAGGGAUGCCUGGUCAAAAGAAAGUGUACGAAUGAUAGAAACCAGCUUGACACAGCUGAAGAGAGUAGGAAUAAGUGUCGUUUCCCACAGACGGCGCCAAAUGUUGAUUAUCAAAAUCAGCGAAGACUUUGGUACAACAGAAAGUGUCAGGUUUUGUGACCUUCGCUUGGUUGCUUCGGUCACUAGUGAGGAUAAAUACGUAAAUAAAUAGAGACAGAGAAGCAAACACAGGAUGUACGUGGUUCACCCAGAUUGGCUACGUCCACGGAGUAGAGGAGUUCUUAUUAGUAGUGAAGGGCUUACACAAGUACAAAGGAUCAAGCUCUCAAUUUAGUGAGUUCUUGUGAAUGAUUUAACACAAAAUGGCAUUAGGCAAUAUUGUGGGGGAAUGACCCCUAUUUAUAGAAAAACUUGUAGCUUUGUCACAUUGACAUGUGUCAUGUUAUGAUUGGUUCUUGAUGUUGACACGUGAUGCGCUCUGAUUGGCUUCUAAUCCUGACACGUGUCGAGUAGUGAUUGGCCUCCUGGUCGGAGGGGAACUCUUCUGGGUCCUUGACAGUAUAGCGUUGGCCGGUGCUCGGUAGUUUCGGGAUUGGUCAAGUAUGGUACAAACAAGUUGUACUUAGUACAUUUGAUGGGCAAUCAUAUUUUAGUUGGUUCCGUUGAGUGGUCCGGAAUCCUUUUUGGUGUCUUGGUUCCGUUGAGAGGUCCGGAACCCGAUGCUGAUGGAUUUCGUUGAGGGGUCCGAAAUUGCAUCAUUUGAUUCAUUUAAGACAGCUUCAGCAAUGUAGACUUAUGUCGAAUUGUGUCGCUCUAACCCGGCAUUCCGAUGAAUUGUAUGUGUUAUUGAUGAUAUGGUGAUUGGCAUUAUUGAUUGAUGUGAUAAUUGGAUGGUAAUGGAAUGCAUAUGUGAGGAUGAAUGACGUUAUGAGUAGAGAUUAUUAUUGUGCUUUGUUAAAUGUUCCUUAAGGUGCUACAUAAUUGAAUUGUGGUAUUAUGUUGAGACCUAGUGGUCUAUGUGACGAAUGUUCGAUAGUAGUGAAAUGUGAACUACGAAUGACUUGAUCCCUGUUGAGGGUACGUAGGUAGUCUAACGAGGAGGUUAGAUGCAGUCAUAAAAUACACAAAAAUUACAACGAAAUUCGAAUAUUGAAUUAUGCUUUGUAAAUAUUUCGGGCGGGAUAUGUGAGAUAUACGGGUUUUUAAUGACGUCACGUGCUGAUCUUGGACGUAUGUCGGGAUCAGGGCGUGACAAAAUGAGUUUUAUGAAAUGAAAUGGCAUGCCAAUUAUAUUUAUAUUAAGAAUGUGCAUAUGUGAUUAUAUAUGUUGUGAUUCGAUGCUAUGGGCGCUCAGGUAAGUUUCAAGUAAGUUUAUGUGUUGAGUUUAAGGUGUGGAAAAAUGAUGAUUGUUGAGAUGUGUUGAGAGCUCAUUAACCUGCACCCGGGUGUUAGUGCUCCUGCCCAUGGUUAGGGGCACAGUCUUUCACGUGAUGUUUACCUCCCGUAGCACACGCUCAUCUUGGAUCCAAGUUAGGUGCACAAUCCUGUUGUAUAGACCACUUUCAGUGGGUUCGACUCGUUGGUGACCUGCAAUCAUUCGCACAGUCUUCACGUGAUUGUAGCAUUAGAGCAUAUUUGUUUUACACCCAGUCAUGUCGUAUAGACCACUAUAGGUGGGUUCGACUCGUGUGCAGACAUGAUUUAUGAGAUAGAAUUCAGUUGAUUUGAUAUUCUCACAUGUUAUCACUCCUUGGGGUACUUACCUUGUUAUUUGAGAUGAUUGGCAUGGUAUAUUCACGUUUUGACUUUGGAUUUUGAUAUUGCUGGAUAUGUUGAGAUUACGAGUAUAUGUAUAUGCUAUUUGCUGGGAAAUUAUACAGGUUUUACAGAGAGGGGUUAUACUUUUGAGAAAUGAAAUGAUUUUGAAAAGUUUUGUUUUUUGCCCACUCACGCGUUUUGUUUUGCGCCCCUCUAGGUUUUAGGUAGCGUUGUUGGUGGCUUACGAGUUUUCAGCGGAGGUUCUGACAGACCAUCACUUAUGUAGAAUCACCUUUGGGUGUUGUUAUUUAGUACUUUUAUGCUUGACUGCACUUAGGCUAGUUAAGCUCUGAUUGUGUAUUCACACUUAAUUUCCACUCUUGCAUCUUAGUCUUGUCUAGUACUAUCAGGAUUUGGUUUCUAUUCAAUUGUAUUUCUCUAUAUUAAUCUUGCUUCCGCACUGUGCAUAUGGCUACGUCACCCUCACGUGACGGUUAGCAUGUCUCGAUCUUGGUCGGGGUGUGUCAUCAAGUCACCUUUUAACUUCUAUUAUGUUGAUUUUUGUCUGUAGGUACACAAAAAUAUGCAGAUUUGGCUUUCAAAUUGAGAGGCCUAAGGACAAUCUCUGUUCAUAGAAAAAAAAGUUGGACAUAGAAGGCAUGGGUAUGGGAACAUGAUUGGUUGUUAUAUUGCUUUGGGACGUUUUGAUAUUUUAGAGAUUAAUGAGUUUGUGGAGAUUUUGUUUUUCACAUCUUGCUUUGUAUUUGAACUUAAGCACUAUAACUGAACUUACUUUAAAAUUAUAGGACUUCAAAACGCGACCGCGGUUAGGAUUAGAAAGGGCCAAGUAUAUAUGUUGAGAAACUAGGCAUUGCAAGCAUAUAAAUUCCAAUUUUAUUAUUGCUAAACCAUAUAUCAAAUGUAGUUAGGAAUUAAAUUAAGUACAAACUACAUGGGGAUGGAGAAAGUUAUGUAUAGGUGAGAGCCUAAAAAUACUUGAGAAUCAAAUACUGCACAAAUUUGUGAUAAGUUAGAUGAGUAAAGAUCGCCUUUUGUCAAGCAGUUUUUGACUUUUCUGCAUUCUUUUAUAUAGUUUUUUCUUUUUUUCUUCCUAUUUUGUCAGAUUAGAUAGAUAGGGGCGCUAAUAAAAAAAAAGAAAGAAAGUAUUUUUGCAUUUUGCUGCACGUGAUGAUGUUGAUGAUAUACAAUAUUCAAUGACUAAACCCUAUUCCCUAUACUAUAGCAAAAAAUGAAGCAUAAUUAUACAAUAGCUACACACAAAACAUUGAAAGUAUACAUGCGUGCAGUAAGAAUGAAUGGUAAAAAUGCCAUGUUCCUUUUAACAUUGCGAAUUACCGAGCUUUAUGGAGGGAGUAUAAAUACGAAUGCUCUUGGUGGUCUUCAUCUAAUUUCUUAUUAGUAUCAUCUCGAUGUUUUGGAACUUUUGACAGCCCUCUCACCGAACAUAUAAUUUUUAGGGGCGCGCAGCGCUCGUAAUUAAAAAAACGCGCAUGCGGAGAGGCUGGUAUAUACUAAAGUCCUACGCCCAAAAAUGCUGUUCAUAAGAGCAGUGUAAAGACGCAAAUACCCCUCCUCAACUGAUCUUUUCCUUCCUAUAUUUCAUGAGGCUACAGUAAAAAGACGAAAAACCAUGUUGCACACGUGGCGUGCUAGCGAGAUUUCUCUCUUCCACCGCUUCCUUCCUCUGCAGUCUACACCUCUUGCGUUUUUGCCUUUCCUCUCCAGCUGUCGGCCAUCACAGAGUCUUAUGGCAUCUUCCCGUUCUUUUCGCUGUUUUUCCUUCGGUUGCUUUUCACUUCUUUUCCUCUAAUUUGACUUCGUUUGUUUUGUGUUAUGUGGUUUUUAUUGAUUUUCAAUGUGUAUUGAUUGAUACUAACAAUUACAAGAUGAAACUUAUAUAUAGGGAAAGAAAGAUGACAUAAGCCUAACUUGCCUAACUUGCCUAACUUACACAAAGAAAGUUGACUAGCCUAACUUCACUAGUCAUCCAAUACAAUUGUUCCAACAUGUUUAUUUCAUGCAUUUUAACACUCCCCCUCAAGUUGGAGUGUGGAUGUCAAUGAUACCCAACUUGCUAAGUAAGACCUCAAAUUGCGCCGAGCUUAGUGGUUUGGUGAACAAAUCUGCAGGUUGAUUCGAGGUUCGUAUGUAAGCUGUUUGCACCAUUCCCAUCUGAAUCUUCUCACGUACUAAGUGACAGUCGAUCUCUAUAUGCUUCGUUCGUUCAUGAAACACUGGGUUCGAAGCAAUGUGCAUGGCAUCUUGAUUAUCACAAAACAAUGUGACUGGUUGUGCAUGAUUCACUCGUAAGUCCUUCAAAAGGUUUCUUAGCCAUAUAACUUCACAACAGGUGAUAGCCAUAGAACGAUAUUCUGCCUCUGCACUAGAACGAGAUACUGUGCUUUGCUUCUUUGUUUUCCAAGAUAUCGGUGCUUGCCCAAGGAAGAUACAAUAACCGGUUAUUGACCUUCUAGUGUCUUUACACCGAGCCCAAUCAGCAUCACAAAAAGCUUGUAAUUGUAGUGAACCUGUAGAAGGCAAAAGAAUUCCCUGGCCAGGAGAUUGUUUGAUGUAUCUGAGAACCUUAUACACUGCAUCAAGGUGUGGUUGUCGCGGCUUGUCCAUGAAUUGGCUUAACAUAUUAACCACGUAAGUCAGGUCAGGCCUCAUGAUGGUUAAGUAAAUUAGCCUCCCUACGAGUCUCCUAUAUGAAGAAGGAUCAUGUAGGAGCGUCCCUUCAGUUUAUGUAAGGGACAAGUUUGGUUCCAUGGGCAAUCGUGAGGGCUUCGCACCAAGGAACCCAACAUCUUCUAGUAUCUCCAACGCAUAUUUGCGUUGGCACAAGGCAAUCCCUUGUUUAGAUCUUGCAACUUCUAUCCCCAAAAAAUAUUUGAUUUUUCCCAAAUCCUUUAGCUUAAAAUGUUGGGAAAUGAAGAGUUUAGUCUCUUCAAUUUCUCUCAAAUUGUUACCUGCAAGUAUUACGUCAUCAACAUACACAAGUAAUGCCAUGAAACUGCCUUGAUUGAUGAAAACCAGCAGUCUUGAGAGCACUAGACAGCUUAAUAAACCACUGUCUUGAGGCCUGUUUUAAACCAUAAAUGGAUUUGUGUAAUUUGCAUAGUUGUGUCUCCCCCUUUCGUCCGAACCCAGGAGGUAUAUAAACCUCAUCGUAUAAGUCACCAUGCAAAAAUGCGUUGUUUACAUCAAGUUGGUGAAGAUGCCAACCACAGAUGAAGGCAAUACUGAGGAGGACAUGGACGGUGGUGAGCUUGGCAACUGGAGCAAAUGUUUCCCGAUAAUCAAGCCCUUCAAUUUGACUAUAGCCUUUAGCAACGAGACGGGCUUUGUAGCGUUCAACACUGCCGUCAAGUUUAAGCUUCACCUUAUAGAUCCAUUUGCAGCCUAUGGGAUGUUUGUGAGGUGGUAAGGGCACAAGAGUCCAAGUGCGAUUGUCAUGGAGGGCAUCAAUCUCUUUUUGCAUGGCGUCACGCCAUUUUGGAUCCUGAACAGCCUGCGAAAAACUGGUGGGUUCUUUGAUAAUGGUGAGGGUGGUGAGAAAGGUUUUGUGAGGGGGGAUACAUGGUCAUAGGAUAAAUAACGAGAUAGGGAGUGAGAUGUACCUGAGGACUGAACCAUGCUUGUGGAAGAUGUGGGUGCAACACGGGAUGGGAGGGCCACCUCAACAUGAAAGUCUUGCAAAAAUAUGGAAGUUUUGGUUGGUCGAGUGCUAGGACGGAGUGCAGGGGUUGGAUCUGGUGAUGGAGUGGUUGGAGGUGGGGAAGAGUGUAGGGUAGGUGAAGGUGUUGAUAAGGUAUCUGGUGGUGGAGUUGUAGAGGGUAAAGGAGAUGAGGGUGGUGUGAUGUCGGCAAGUGUGGGAGAUGUGGUGUUUAUGUCUGCUGGUGCAAGGCUUGAAUGCGACUCAAUGGGAGAGGUCGAGUCAAACGGGAUAGGUGUAGUGUUUGAUGGAGACGGGGCAACGGAAGUGUUACAAUGUUGGAAUGGAAAAUGAUCUUCAAAAAAUACGACAUCCCUAGAAACAAAAGUCUUAUUGUGUUUUAUAUCAAACAAUUUAUAACCCUUUUGACCAUAAGGAUACCCAAGAAAAAUGCAUUGGAUUGCACGAGGGUCAAAUUUAGAGGGCCUUUGGGCAUGUGUAGAAGCAAAACACAAGCUACCGAAAACCUUCAAAUGAGAAUAGUUAGGUGCUUUGUGAAACAGUUUUUCGUAUGGUGUUUUACCUUGGAGAAGUGGAGUGGGUGUUCUAUUGAUGAGGUAGGCUGAGGUUAGGAUUGCAUCUCCCCAAAAACAUUUUGGCAGACAAGCUUGAAAGAGCAAAGCCCGAGCAACAUUGAGCAAGUGCCGGUGUUUACGUUCGGCAACACCAUUUUGUUGUGGUGUGUUGACUCAACUAGAUUGAUGUAUGAUGCCUUUGAGAGCAUAAAAUUGCUCAAGUUUAAACUCAGGGCCAUUGUCACUUCGUAUGAUUUGAACUCUGGUAUUGAAUUGAGUCUCAAUCAUUUGAAUGAAUUUGACUAAAAUGUCUUUUGUGUCAGAUUUAUGUUUCAUCAAAUGAACCCAAGUGCUUCUAGUGUAGUCAUCUACGAUGGUAAGGAAAUACUUGGCACCUGAAAUAGAAGCAACUUGAUAACCACCCUAAAUAUCAAUAUGCAAUAAUUCAAAACAUGAUUUGGUAGAAAUAGAGCUCAAAGGAAAGGGUGAUCGUGUUUGUUUGGCCAAUGGGCAAAUUGAACAUUUUUCCAAAUCACAAGCUUUAUUGUUAAAGAAAGGUAAUAACGAAGUGGCUUUAUGAGAUGGGUGUCCUAGGCGUUGGUGCCAAAGCUUUGGUGCGAUGGUUUGAAUAUUGUUGCAUGUUCUUUUCCUUGAUGAGUCGAGGUAGUAGAGUCCAUCCCUUUCAGUUCCCAUCCCAAUCAUCUUCCCCGAGCGAAGGUUCUGAAUGACACAAAAUUGGGUGAAGAAAAUUGUGACAUAUAAGGAAUCAUAGGCUAGUUUACUGAUGGAUAUUAAAUUUAAUUUAAAGAAUGGCACACAUAGGACAUUGUCAAGGAUAAGAUUAUGAGAGAAAACAACUUGUCCAAUGUGAGUGACUUUGGCAACGGAACCAUUUGGCAGUUCAACUGUAUGAUUUUCAACAGCUCGUGAGUGUGUAAAGAGACUAGGGUUGAAAGUUCUUCAUGACUAGAAGGAUUACCGACUUGAUUGGCAAAUGAUGAUUUGUUCUUGUUCAACAUUUGAAGGAUUUGCUUGCAAUCCUCCUGAGAGAACGGGAAAUUGGGCAACAUCUCUUGCUUGUUACUUUGUGAAACUUGAUUCCCUUUUGAAGAAAAAGGACGACUGCUUUCCGUUUCUGUGGCUGCUUUUCGUUUUCGACAGAAAUCGAAGGUGUGACCUUUCCAUCCACAAAAAGUGCACUUGAGAUGUGCACGACAGUUUUUGGUGAUGUGAUUUGUUCUAUUGCACUUUCCACAUCGCAUCUCUUUGUCUUCCGGUGUAGGUUCUUGCGACAAAUUCUUCACUCCAAAGACAACAGCCUCUGGUUGUGUACUCUUCCCAUUGGAAACCUCUGCCUGGCGUUCAUGUCGAAGGACCAACGCAUAUGCCUUGUUCACCGUAGGCUGUGGUUCAAGAAGAAGGGUAUUGCUUCGAACCGUAGCAUACGAUUCGUUCAAUCCCAUAAGGAACUUCAUGGUUUUCUGAGUUUCAACAUAUGAGUUCAUCUCAUUCUUUGUUCCACAACUGCAUGCUGGAAUGGAACACAAAGUAUCACGUUCAUCCCAUAAACUUUUAAGUUUAGUGCAGUAAGAACUUACACUCAUAUUGCUUUAGACGCAAUCAUGGAUCUCGUUCUUAACAUGGAACAGCUGAACUAUAUUCACAUGUGAGAACCUCUCCUGCAGAUCGGUCCACAUUUGUCGAGCAUCCUUGUAGUUGAUGACACUCCUUGAAAUCUCCUUUGACAUGGAGCCUAGUAGCCAUGUCUUGACCAAGUUGUUGCAGCGAUUCCAUUGUUGCAACUCCUCAGAAUUGUCCUCACUUGGUUUGUUGAUUGUCCCAUCAACAAAACCAAGUUUGUUCUUGACCGUUAAGGCCAUACUCAUGGAUUGAACCCAUGUGCUGUAGUUGUCUUCCACCAAUGGUUGUGGUACGAGGAUUGCACCAGGUUGGUCCGAGUGGUGGAGAUAGAGUGGGUGGUUGGGAUUUUCCCAUUUUGAAUGAGAAGCCAUGCCUGGAAUGGUUGACCUCAUGACUGCCUUAGAGCUUGUGUUUUGUGGUUUUCCCAGAUCACAGCUCUGAUACCAUAUUGAUUUUCAAUGUGUAUUGAUUGAUACUAACAAUUACAAGAUGAAACUUAUAUAUAGGGAAAGAAAGAGGACAUAAGCCUAACUUGCCUAACUUGCCUAACUUACACAAAGAAAGUUGACUAGCCUAACUUCACUAGUCAUCCAAUACAAUUGUUCCAAUACAAUUGUUCCAACAUGUUUAUUUCAUGCAUUUUAACAGUUUUGGUUUCGUUUGCUCUCUUUCCCUUCUUCUCUGUUGGUUUCUGUUGCUUCUCCAUCAGUUCACCCAAACCACCGCUUGCUUCUCCACCAGUUCACCCAAAUCCGACGAAGGGCGCCACAACAAACGUGCCAAUCUUCCUGCACCACCGGUCUCCGCAACGUUUUCCAAAACCCGCUUGACCGAAGGUAAGCGAAUUUGGUGUUCUGGAUUAUAUCGGAAUUGAAAUAGGUUUGGUUUCAUUAACUUUUUGGGUUAAUAAAUUUGUAUGCUCUGAUUCUUUUGAAUUUGAGUUUGGAUUGGAAUUUAAUUUUGAUUUACAAAUCUCUGAUAAAACCUCAACAAGAAACUUAAACCCUCAGCAAGAAACUUAAACCCAAUGCAUCAUCCUAUUAAUUCCAACAUCUCCUCAAUAAGUAUUCUAAGAUAUAAAUAUUACAAUUCUGGUGAUCAUAGAAAAAUGCAUAUUUGAGUGAUCAUGGAACACUGUUAGUAGCUACACAUAUCAUAAUAAUUUAGGAUAUGGACGUUAAAUUAUCUUAAACUGCAGAAUGUGGCUUUUACAUUGUUAUAUGGAAUUUCCCCUAGGAAGAAAUAGCAUUGAACUUAUAGGAUGGAUACAUAAAUAGCCUAUGUACGCAUUACAAAAUGAUUUAGUUGUUUGGGAUUAAACAAAGUUUGGUUUUUCAUGGUGAGUUCUCAACUGGGUUUUACUUAUUUUUUUGCCUCCGAUAUAAGUUUUAGAUGCUUUUCUUUGUUUUUCGCUAAUUUUUAAAUUUAUUUUUUUUACUAUUUAGUGUGAGAAAAUGGCUUCAAAAUUGGAUUUCCAAUGUCUGGGCAGAGGAAAACAGGAAGAGAACACCAAUGGUGGUUACGAAGGAGAAUCCCUUCUUUGCGGUGGAAAUUGACGGUCCAUGUGCAACAUUCAACCCAGUUUAUAAGAGCAGGGGUCAAUAUGAAGAACCAAUGACAUGGGGUUUUGUUUAAUUUUAUUAAGUUUUGUACUGAGGUAAAAUUCUCCCCAUUUAACAUAGUUUUAAAUGUUGAUUAGUAUAUGUGUAAAUAGGAUUGUGAGUAUGGUUGUAUAUGUAGUAGUAGAAUUGAAAACAUUGUUGUAAUUAUGUGUAAGUAGAGUUGUAAACCCGACGCAUCGCGCGGGCCUUUUUGCUUGUUACCCCUAAACGUUACAAAAAUCCCAAAAAUUAAAAGGAAACUAAAAAAAAUUAGAAUUUACCCAUAGUUUCGCGAAUCCCAGCCGGAUGAACUGGUGGCAGUUGUAAGAGCGGAUCUCCAGCUCCGAACCUCUUCUAUUUCAGCGUUAGAAUCAUGGUCGUGCUGAUCAAAAGCUUUCGCGAAACUUCCCUUUAGUUUACGACAUCAGACGGAUCAACUUCAUAGAAAAUGGGGAGUACAAUCUGUUUAUUGGUAUCCUCGCAUUCCAGGAUUUGCACGAGUUCUUUCAAGCACCAAGUGGAAGAAGCAUAGUUUUGAGAGAAAACUACAAUCGAAAUCCUUGACUCUCGAAUGGCUGACAGGAGCUUGGAAAGGCGGUCGCCUUUUCUGAGGUCUUCGGCAUCAAUGAAGGCGUUGAUUGGUUUCUGACGCAGGGCUUUGUAGAGAUGGCUGACGAAGCCCCUGCGAGUGUCUUCCCCUCUGAAAUUGAUGAACACAUCGUAUUUCCAACCAAGGCCAGAAGAAGAAGAAGAAGCAGCCAUUAAUCGAUCGAGCAGCUAAGUCCUAGAGUAAUGUAAGAACAGAAAUACUCGAUUGAUCAAUAAAUUGAAUCACAGAAAAAACUGGUCUGAUCGAUACGAAGUCAACGAGGACAGAAAAUUAUGCUUUAUGUGUUUUCACAUCUUCUUCCGGGAAAUUUAACGAAAAUAAUUUUCUUGCCGGCAAAAUUGACUUCAAAAUAUAAAAAUAUUCUUCCAGGUAUGGACAUAUGAAGUUUCAGUGUGAAACGAAUCUGCAUACUUUGGUUUGGUUUUGACCCAAGAAAAUGCUAAGAAAGGAUGGUUUAGCAGCUUUGCAUGAGGGGACUGGGUCAAAGUACUCUGUUGAAUCUGCCCUUGCCUACCCAACAACUUCUUUGUAAGUCGGAAAUAAAUCCCGAUCUUCCUAUUCACACGAAAAAUGAGUGGGGUGACAGGAAAUAUUUCUUGUUAAAUGUAAGCAUCUCACACAUGUGGUAUAUUCAAAGGUAUUGAGGCGACAAACGAGCGAUUAAUAGUUUGGCUUUUAAUUUGAUGUCACGGUAGUAACGGUACUUACUAUGAAAUCUUUGAUAUAUUUGCUUUUAGCUACAAAACAACUAAAACUCCACAAAUUGCUUAUGAAAAUAAAAAAUAUUGACAAGAUUUGAACUUGUAUUAUCUACAUCUUCACUACACAUUGUUGCUCCGCUCGUGUUCUGAAGUUGACAAUAGCUAGAAGGUCACAGCAAGAAGCAGAGGAGGCUAACUGUUACAGAAAAUUUGUUUAUUCAAAGCAUUAAUAAAAACACAUUGAAAUUAAUUCACGCAAAAAAUAAAUAAUACAGUGAAGGAUUUACAGUGGUGGCAGCCACACUUCAAAAAUAGGGCGUCUCACCCUGUGGAGAAAGCAUUUUUUGCUAUGAAUAAAAAUUCCACUGCGUAACAAAACAGGAGAUUAAUGAUUGAGUGAUAGCUGAGUUGUUUGCAAUGAGAGAGAUGUUUUUACUUUUAUUGAUAAGGAGUCUACAUAUGCGAUGUUCUCAUAGUAUAAAACUUCGCCGACAACAAUUAUAACUUGUUUGUGUUGAUAAAUUUUGAAUGACAUUAAUAUUGUCUAAUAUCUAAAAGAAUUUGGAUGGCUACAUUUUUUUUUUUUGGAAAACCUUUUAACCUUAUAAAUUGCGGGCUUCUUCCGACAAUUCCUAACUUCGUCACUGCUUCAGUCAACUCGAAGUCCUAGUGGUUCUUGUCCAUGAUAUCAAUAUCCCUACAAUAAACGGUGACUUCAAUAUGAGCUACACUCAGUCUAACAAAAAGUUUGUAUAGAGAAGAUAUGCAUGAAAAAAUGGCAAUGGUUGUGUUUGUGUUGCUGAACGAAUGAUACUGAAAUACCUAAACCCAAGUCAAGCUCCUUUAGUCCACGAAAACAAAAGUUUAGAAUACAAUAAUGUUUGCAUAUAGACUAGAGAAACGACAUACCGCAGGCCAGGAAGGUGCAGUGAAAGAGAGAGGAAGAGAGGAAAAGAGGAAAGAAACAAACAUGAAAUGACAAAGACUAUCAAAUAGAUUAUAACAAUGACUUCUUAGCGAUGGUUACAACUAUUUAACUAUCGAUAAUGCAUUAUUUUAGUUUGAAACGUGGAAGCAUUUGAGAAGUAGCAUGUCAACAACCAUUACACAAUAAUAUUGUCUAAUAUCUAAAAGAAUUUGGAAGUCUACAUUUUUUGGAACCUUUUACCCUUAUAAAUUUUGCGCCUCUCCUGACAAUUUCUAGUUUCGUCGUUGCUUCAGUCAACUCCAAGUUCUAGUGGUUCUUGUCUAUGAUAUCAAUAGCCCCACCGUAAAUGGUGACUUCAGUAUAAGCUACACUUAGUAUAAGUGUAUGGGGGACAUAUAUGUAUGAAAAAAUGGCAGUGGUUGUAUCUGUGUUGACUAACGGAUGGUACUGGAAUACCUAAACCCAAGUCAAGCUCCUUCAGUCCACAAAAAUCAAAAGUUUAUAAUAUAAUAAUGUUUGCAUAUAGACUUGAGAAAAGACAUACCGCCAGCCGGGAAGGUGCAAUGAACAAGAGAGGAAAAGAGGAAAUAAACGAACAAGAAAGGACAAAGACUAUCCAAUAGAUUAUAACAAUGACUUCUUAGUAGUGAAGUGAUUAAGCUAUUCCACUAUUAAUAAUGCAUUAUUCUUAGAUUGAAAUGGUUCAGAAAUUUAAAAGCCAGAAUUGACUUAUAUAAAAUCAAUUUUUAAUUGGGUAGAUGUAAUUUGUAAAACAAAAAUGUUUAUAAAAAAAAAUUUCUCUUGAAAAUGUAUUCUGGUGCCAGGAUUUAAACCUGGAUGAAAACUCUUAACCGUAAGACUUUUUGUAGUGAGCAACACUGGACUAGUUGAUAGACUAUGAUGAAAUAAACCAUUUAAAUGUACUCCUUACGUUAUGCAGUGCGCAUACUGGAUAAACAAUUAGUGCACAUAAUGUGGUUAUCUGAUUUGUGGGGAAUGGUGAUGCUCACCGCUGACUUUUGGUUUACUGACAGGCUCUCAAAGUUAAAUAUAUCAGAUUUUGUUUGACAUUCGUAACAUAUUUUAAUAUUUUCACCACAACAACAACAACAACAACAAAGUCUUUUCCCACUAAGUGGGGUCGGCUAUAUGAAUCCUAGAACGCCAUUGCGCUCGGUUUUGUGUCAUGUCCUCUGUUAGAUCCAAGUACUCUAAGUCUUUUCUUAGAGUCUCUUCUAAAGUUUUCCUAGGUCUUCCUCUACUCCUUCGGCCUUGAACCUCUGUCUCGUAGUCACAUCUUCGAACCGGAGCGUCAAUAGGCCUUCUUUGCACAUGUCCAAAUCACCGGAACCGAUUUUCUCUCAUCUUUCCUUCAAUUUCGGCUACUCCUACUUUACCUCGGAUAUCCUCAUUCCCAAUCUUAUCCUUUCUCGUGUGCCCACACAUCCCACGAAGCAUCCUCAUCUCCACUACACCCAUUUUGUGUACGUGUUGAUGUUUCACCGCCCAACAUUCUGUGCCAUACAACAUCGCUGGCCUUAUUGUCGUCCUAUAAAAUUUUCCCUUGAGCUUCAGUGGCUUACGACGGUCACACAACACGCCGGAUGCACUCUUACACUUCAUCCAUCCAGCUUGUAUUCUAUGGUUGAGAUCUCCAUCUAAUUCUCCGUUCUCUUGCAAGAUAGAUCCUAGGUAGCGAAAACGGUCGCUUUUUGUGAUCUUCGCUAGAUUACUCCGGUCAUUAGCGUGGAUAAGUAUAUAAAUGGAUAGAGAUAGGAAAGCAAACACAAGAUGUACGUGGUUCACCCAGAUUGGCUACAUCCACGGAAUAGAGGAGUUCUCAUUAAUUGUGAAGGGUUUACACAAGUACAUAGGUUCAAGCUCUCCUUUAGUGAGUACAAGUGAAUGAUUUAGUACAAAUGACAUUAUGAAAUAUUGUGGGAGAAUGAUCUCGUAAUCAUGAAACUUCUAAGUAUCGGAGUGUGGUAUCGUCUUGACUUGCCUUAUCUGUCUCAUAGGUAGAUGUGGCAUCUUCUCUGGAAGUACUCUUCCUCCAUCCAUGGGUGGUAUCUUUAACUGGUGGAGAUGCAUAAGGUAAUGUAUCAAUUUCACUUGAAGCUUACUUGUAGUUUCAGGCUUGGUCAAGCGCGAUACAAACCAUGUAGUAGGAGUCCCCCAAGUCGCCGAGCUAGGGGAUUUGCUGAAAGAGGUGACAGACAAGGUAAGCAAUCAGAGCUCCGGCUGAUUGUUCACAUUCUCCCUAUCUUGCAGGCAGCAUGAAGGAUAAAGAGAAGAAAAAAUGAGAAGAGAUGAUAUGGGAUACUUUUGCUUUUGAAGAAGUAACUUUCCACAGGCUUAUUCUUGAACUGAAGCUGGAGGGUUUUCUGGUUUCCUCCAGAGUAUAAGGCCGACUGAAGAAUUUGAGGGUCAAAACAAGUCCAUCAAAUCUAGAGUACGUUCGACCCUGCUGAUAUGGGAUACUUUUGCUUUUGACAGAGUAAUGGAUGUAUCGGCACGUGUGCUGUUACGCUUGUCUCUCCACAUGCUUCCUUGUAUCCUUCUCACUUGCCCUAUCUGUUCCUCAAGGCAAGAUGCGGUAUCUUCCCUGGAAGCAUAAGAUGUUGAAGAUGAGUACUCGAGAGCAAUGCCAGGUAAGUAAUCAGGUAAGGGGUUCCAGGCAGUCAGUUCCUAGCUGGAAGCUUGAUUCCAAGUGCUGACUGAUUGCUCUCUUUCUCCUUGUCUUGCAGGUAAAGAACAAGGCCAAAGGAAAAGACAGGGAAAAAGCAUGAUAUGGGAUAUACUCUUGCUUUUUAACCCUGAUGAUAUGAGAUAUUCUUGCUCUAGUAUAGCUUGUUUGUAGAGGUAUUAUCGGGGGGAAAGAAAGCUGAAUAUUUCGAAAGGCUUCGUUGGGAGUGCCCUCUCAGAUAUGAGAAAGGGUUGAGCAUUUUUGCAGGUCUGCCUGUCCGUUGGGGAUGGAGGUCGACAUAUAUAGGAGUCUCCCUAAUAACAAGUAGUAAUGUUAUUCCUUUACCCUGCUUGGUCAUAGCACGAUAGUUGGAGCUGCCAGCUUCACAUGUUUUAACUCUGUCAGAGCACUUUGAAAAAGUGGUCUGUGGUAUCUGGAAAGCUGAUGUUGCGUGUGAAGAUUACAGACAAGCUUUACCCAAGGAGAUUUGGUUCUUGAAGUUGGGAAAAUGGUGCCUUUUCGGUUUUCGAACAAGCAAUCCUAUCGGGGAUCUGGCUCUCGAGAUUUGGAGAACGAUGCCUCUUCGAUUUUUGAGAAAGCAAUCAUGCUGGGGGUCUAGCUCUCGAGAUUCGGAGAGCGGUGUCUCUUCGAUUUUUGAGAAAGUAAUCAUGUUGGGAGUCUGGCUCUCGAGAUUCGGAGGACGGUGCCUCUUCGAUUUUGGAGCAAGCAAUCUUGUUGAGAAUGUUUUCUCGAAUGUGAGUAAAGGUUGGGCAUGUUUGCUAGUCUACCUUGCCACGAAGCACAGAGGUUGACACACAGGGACUUUCCAAUUAUCCAGCAAUGGUACUGUUCCUUUACCCUCUUUUCGAUUUUUGAGAAAGUAGGCAUGUUGGGAGUCUGGCUCUCGAGAUUCGGAGGACGGUGCCUCUUCGAUUUUGGAGCAAGCAAUCUUGUAAUCUUGUUGGGAGUGUUUUCUCGAAUGUGAGUAAAGGUUGGGCAUGUUUGCUAGUCUACCUUGCCACGAAGCACAGAGGUUGACACACAGGGACUUUCCAAUUAUCCAGCAGUGGUACUGUUCCUUUACCCUCGUGGGUAAUAAUAUGGUAGCUAGACCUUCAAAAUUUAUGUGUCUAAACUUUGUUAGUGUUGUUUCUUUGCUAUUCUUUUACCCUUCUUGGUCAGAGCGAUGUAGUGGGAGCUGCAAGCUUCACGUGCUCAACUUUGGCAGAGAACUUUGGUAAAGUUAUCUGUGGUACCCAUGAGCUACUGUUGCGUGUGGGAAGUGGGUGAUUGAACAGUAAGAUUCAUGUGCCUUCUACUUCACCAGAAGUCUUCGACAUAAUGCCCAUAAUUUCCGCAAAGCUGAGUGUGCGUGUGACAGGUGCUGACAAGGCUGGAAAAGUAGGUGCCUCUUUGAUUUCUGAGAUCGACCCUCAUGGUCUCUGAGCAGCCCAGCUUUUGAGAAAGCAAGCGCCUCUUCGAUUUCUGAGAUCGGCCUUCGUGGUCUUUGAGCAACCCAGCUUUUGAGAAAGCAAACGCCUCUUCGGUUUCUGAGAUCAACCCUCGUGGUCUCUGAGAGUAAAGGUUGGGCAUGUUUGCUAGUCUACCUUGCCAUGAAGCACAUAGGUUGACACAUUCGGAGAGCGGUGUCUCUUCGAUUUUUGAGAAAGUAGUCAUGUUGGGAGUCUGGCUCUCGAGAUUCGGAGGACGGUGCCUCUUCGAUUUUGGAGCAAGCAAUCUUAUUGGGAGUGUUUUCUCAAAUGUGAGUAAAGGUUGGGCAUGUUUGCUAGUCUACCUUGCCACGAAGCACAGAGGUUGACACACAGGGACUUUCCAAUUAUCCAGCAGUGGUACUGUUCCUUUACCCUUAUGGGUAAUAAUAUGGUAGCUAGACCUUCAAAAUUUAUGUGUCUAAACUUUGUUAGUACUAUUUCUUUGCUAUUCUUUUACCCUUCUUGGUCAGAGCGAUGUAGUGGGAGCUGCAAGCUUCACGUGCUCAACUUUGGCAGAGAACUUUGGCAAAGUUAUCUGUGGUACCCAUGAGCUACUGUUGCGUGUGGGAAAUGGGUGAUUGAACAGUAAGAUUCAUGUGCUUUCUACUUCACCAGAAGUCUUCGACAGAAUGCCCAUAAUUUUCGCAAAGCUGAGUGUGCAUGUGACAGGUGCUGACAAGGUUGGAAAGGUAGGUGCCUCUUCGAUUUCUGAGAUCGGCCCUCGUGGUCUCUGAGCAGCCCAGCUUUUGAGAAAGCAAGCGCCUCUUCGAUUUCUGAGAUCAGCCUUCGUGGUCUUUGAGCAGCCCAGCUUUUGAAAAAGCAAACGCCUCUUCGAUUUCUGAGAUCAACCCUCGUGGUCUCUGAGCAGCCCAGCUUUUGAGAAAGCAAACGCCUCUUCGAUUUUUGAAGCUCCGUCGAGUGUAUAUUUUUAUAGGGGCUGGCAUUAAGUUCCAAAGCACACUUGAAUCUCCACCAGUAGAAGCUCCAUUCUUGUACUUCUAAGAUCUUGAUUUGUCCGACUUCUUCUCUCUUCAACACCUUUGAAAAUGUCUGGCCCCUCCGACCGUCGUUUUGACUUGAACCUUGUUGAAGAUGCAGCCCCGCCUUCUCAAGACAACAUAUGGCGCCCAUCCUUCGUCUCCCCUACUGGUCCUCUUACCGUUGGGGAUUCCGUGAUGAAGAAUGAUAUGACCGUUGCGGUGGUGGCCAGGAACCUUCUCACUCCCAAAGAUAACAGACUACUUUCCAAACGGUCUGAUGAGUUAGCUGUUAAGGAUUCUCUGGCUCUCAGUGUUCAGUAUGCAAGUUCUGUGUCUAAUAUGGCCCAACACCUAUUUGCUCGAACCCGUCAAGUUGAAUCAUUGGCGGCUGAAGUGAUGAGUCUCAAACAGGAGAUUAGAGGGCUCAAGCAUGAGAAUAAACAGUUGCACCGGCUCGCACAUGACUAUGCUACAAACAUGAAGAUGAAGCUUGACCAGAUGAAGGAAUCUGAUGGUCAGGUUUUACUUGAUCAUCAGAGAUUUGUGGGUUUGUUCCAAAGGCAUUUAUUGCCUUCGUCUUCUGGGGCUGUAUCGCGUAAUGAAGCUCUAAAUGAUCAACCUCUGAUGCCUCCUCCUUCUAGGGUUCUGUCCAGUACUGAGGCUCCGAAUGAUCCCCCUCCGGUGCCUUCUCUUUCUGGGGCUCUACCGACUGCUGAGACUUCUCCUAAGCAACCUUUGUGAAGGCUCCCUCUUGUUUGUUUAUUUUGACUCAUGUAUAUGUAUGUGUAGCUUAUCGGGGAUAUCAAUAAAUAAGCUUUCCUUCAUUUCAACAUAUUGUGUUAAAUACACCAAAGCCUUCUUCGCUAAGUUCUUUGAAUUUUCUUUUGUUGAAGCUUGUAUGUUGAAACUUUGUGAGUGGAUCAUGUAGGUUAAGGUAGUGUUCCCUUAUUUUCAUCAAUAUUGAUAUUUUAAACAAUGACAAUUCUUAGAAUACUGGAAUUCAUGUCAUUUUCAUAAACAAAUAAAUGGUUAAGAAAUGUAUAUAUUAGAAAAUUAAGAGCCAGAUUUAACUAAUAUUAAAUCGAUUUUAAAUCGGGUAGUAAAACAAAAUUAGGAAUCUGUGUCCUUUUCAUAAAUAAAUAAAUGGUUACAAAAUUUAUAUAUCAUAAAUUUAAAAGCCAGAAUUGACUUAUAUAAAAUCGAUUUUUAAUUGGGUAGAUGUAAUUUGUAAAACAAAAAUGUUUAAAAAACAAUUCUCUUAAAAAUGGUAUUCUGGUGCCAGGAUUCGAACCUGGAUGAAAACUCUUAACCGUAAGACUUUUUGUAGUGAGCAACAUCAGAUGAGUUGAUAGAUUAUGUAACGCCCCGCGCCCGAAAUAUUUAUUUUCAUAAAAUAAUUCCAAUGAUAAGCCUAAAUUAAAUUUUUUAUUUACAUUACAACCAAUAAUCACGAUUCCUUAUUUAAUUUUCUUAAUCCCUCACAAAAACUAUAACCCAUAAUUAACUUACCAAAACAUACGAUUAAAUUUUCAUAAUUUGUCACCAACUUCUACUCUUAAAACAACUUCCCAACUAAAGAUUAAAUCUCAAUUAUUAAGGCUACAUCUAACUCUUGUUAGACUGCCUACAUACCCUUUAGCGGGAUCAAGGCUUUCGUAGUUCAUAAAUCCGUUUAAAUCCAUUCUUAUAGCCGUUUCUGAAAAUAUUCUAGAAUUGGAAAUAUUCAACAUUAGCUUUCACAAUCGAAUCACAUCAAAUGAUUACCAAUUAUGGAUUUAAAUUGUCUAAAUUAGUAUUAAAAGGCAGCGUCGGCCCACUGGCCACGCGCCACCACGGGUGGCGAUCUCCAGUGAUCGGAAACCCCAAUUUCCGACAAACUCUACAAAUUACCAAAUUUUAUAGGGUUGUAGAGUUCAAUUAUAGGAACAACUUUCAUACUUGGGACGAAGUCCAAUUCGGCCAAGAAAAGCCCCAAUUUCACUCAAUUCCGUCUGAACCCUAGAAUUUGGGUGUCCUCAAUUAGUCAUCUCCCGUGCCCCGCCGCCCCAAACAAGGCUUGGUAGAUGUUCCUGGGUUCACAAGGAGUCUAACCAUGGUGGUAGUCAAUGGUGGUGGCUUCACAAACGGGAGAUCGCAGAAACGGACCCAUCGCACCCACCAAUGUAGGUUUCACUAAAUUAAAGCAUAUUUCCAUCGAAAUUGGGAUGGAAUUGGUGAAGGUAUCAAUUGGUAUCGAAGGGAGGGUUAUUUUUGGCACCGUUCCCAUCAUCAACGAUGGUCGGAAUAAAAAACAAUGGUCAGGUCGGGUCGGCGGGUUGAAGGAAGGUCUGGUUCCCUUCUCUCCUUUCCCUCCCUACCUCCCCCUCUGGUUGGUCCGUGUCUCUCGCCUUCUCUCCUUCCCUUUCCAUCACAGCCACACACGUGGCUUCUCAGAUCCUUGCUCCAGCAAAUCUGGAGCCUUUUAGAUAUUGGUCAAAUGACCAUUUUACUCCUAACUUCAAUUGUUAAUAACUUCUUCGUUAUAACUCCGUUUCAUGAACGGUUUUCGUCUACAUGUUCGUAGGGCCAUCCUUUAUCCAAAUAUAUCAAGAAAUCCGAUAAAAUAUAUGAGGAUAAAAUACAUCCUUGUAUAAUUACGUCAAACUAGUUAGGGCAUUUUCUUCUUUUCUACUUAACGAUAAAUUUUACUACGUAAAUUAUAAAAUUUCCGGAAACAAAACUUUAAAAGUUCACAAUUUUUUUUUCUUUCAUAACCAUAAAUUGAUUUAUUGUCGAUUUUUCUUCACAUAUUCAUAUAUUUAAAUUUUCAGGGUAUUACAGAUUAUGACAAAAUAAACCAUUUAAAUGUUCUCCUUACGUUAUGCAUUGCGCAUAUUGGAUAAACAAUUAGUGCACAUAAUGUGGUUAUCUGAUUUGUGGGGAAAGGUGAUGCUCACCGCUGACUUUUGGUUUAGAGACAGGCUCUCAAACUUAAAUAUAUCAGAUUUUGUUUGACAUUCGUAACAUAUUUUAAUAUUUUCACCGUUAUUGAUAUUUUAAACAAUGACAAUUCUUAGAAUACUGGAAUUCAUGUCCUUUUCAAUUUUCAUAAACAAAUAAAUGGUUAAGAAAUGUAUAUAUUAGAAAAUUAAGAGCUAGAAUUGACUAAUAUUAAAUCGAUUUUAAAUCGGGUAGUAAAACAAAAUUAGGAAUCCAUGUCCUUUUCAUAAAUAAAUAAAUGGUUAAGAAAUUUAUAUAUCAGAAAUUUAAAAACCAAAAUUGACUUAUAUAAAAUCGAUUUUUAAAUGGGUAGAUGUAAUUUGUAAAACAAUUUUUUUUUUAAAUAAUUCUCUUAUAAAUGGUAUUCCGGUGCCACGAUUCAAACCUGGAUGAAAACUCUUAACCGUAAAACUUUUUGUAUUGAGCAACACCGAACGAGUUGAUAGAUUAUGACGAAAUAAAAACAUAAUAAUUUCUUUCAAACUUAGUGAAUAACCUUCAGAAAAUAAAAACACCGAACGAGUUCAUAGAUUAUGACAAAUUAGUGGAUAAACACCUUCAGAAAAUAAAAACACCGAACGAGUUCAGCGGUGAGCAUCACCAUUCCCCACAAAUCAGAUAACCACAUUAUGCGCACAAAGAAUCAAUCAAAACAUAAUAAUUGAAUGAACGAGGAUUUCUUUCAUUUUUUCCAAAUUUUCUGAAGGUUUUUUCUAUAAGAACUUUUCUCUGACCAAUGCUUUCUAACAUUUCAUCAUUUUUUUUUAAAUUACACAAAUUCUUUGCAUACAUUGUUGUUAAAAAGAAAAUUUCUAUUAUUAAGGAGAGAGUUCGAAACUAUUGAAUUAUGGAAGAUGGACUUUUGAACUCGAGACACGGGUAGAAACCUAACACCUAUCCACUAGGACAUUAGAUCACCAGAGGUGGUCCUGGUUUUUUGGUGCCGACUGCCCAUGAACACUCAAAAUGUGCUUUUUUCCAGUACAACAUAAAUUAAACUGAAAGAUUUAAAAAGGGCUGGAGCCAGUCGAAGCUGUUGGGACAUUCUUCCAAAGAGGGAGAUGAAAUCGUUGAGGCUCUUACAGAUCCCACGUCACUGUCUUCAUUCAGCAGUUUUCCUCCAUCUACAUCAACAACUGCACGUUGCUCAAGAAGGUACUUCUAAAAAUUGAAAGUCAAACGAUAAAUUAUUAAGAAACAUUGAAUAUAAGCAUGAAACAAAGAAAAUGUUACGGAAUGGUGAUCCUCAUCCUCAAAGAUGAUUAAAAGCAAUUUGAUUCAAAAAUGACAUAUCAACUCUGGAGAAAUGGAAGACAAACAUGUGGUACCAUAUUCGCAACAGAGGUUAUGAAAGCUGAAAUCGAUUGUUCCUGUGUGCAUUGAUAAGUAAGACUACCGUAGAGAUUCACAACUAAGUAAAGACAGGUAUUCCACAGAACAACCCUGACCUCUUUGGAAACACAGAUCUAACAAAAACUAAAACAUUUUGGAUUAAUAUUGACUAAUCAAGAAUAAUGCAAGGGAGCAAAAGAGAUACUCUUCCUUCUAAUAACAAGAAGGCAUAAAAAGUAUACAGAGUUCCAACAAUUAGAGAACUUAAAUCAAACUAAAAAAAUCACCAAAGUAGACAGAAUUUCACUUCGCCAAAAAUUUGAAAAUAUAUCCUUUUUAUCCACUGAGAAUCAUAAACUACUACUACUACAUCAUGCCAAUAAGCAAUGCGUAAGAGGUGCUACAAUUUACCAAUAUAUUUACCCUGAGAACAAGUUUUGAAAUCAUCUCUAGUGUUAACAGCACCUUGCGUCCUUGGGUAAGCUGAGUCCUAGUAUCAAGUAAAGAGACCAAUCAGUACAUAUCCAAAAGAUCUUAAAUGCUUGUAAUACCAAAUAAGAAAGAAACAUGAGUAUAUCUUGAGUUAACCAUGCAAAAAUGUAAUGUUAAGGCAUCUUGUCAUACAGACCUCUUCAAGGUACCAGAAAUUUUUGCACUAAAGAUGUCACAAGCGGCUGAUAUGAAGCUGCAUUUUCUGUGAGUUGAGAUUUUGUCAAUAUAAUCGAUCACCUGAAGAGAGAGAGAGAGAGAGAGAGAGAGAGAGAGAGAAAGACAGUGAUAUCCAGAGAUGUGAGCCUAAAGGCUGAGUGUGUAAAAAAUAAGAUUAAAUGGAUAGCAAGAAUAUACAACUUUAAUGCCGAAAAGAACAUUAUAUGAUGCUCAUUCAUCAUUGCCAUUGAACGUGUACCUUCUUCUUUUCCUCUUUCUCAAAAGGAAGUAGACCCUUGAAGACUUGCCUAUAUGAUCCAUCAUCACAACCAGGCAAAGUCAUUUUAAUCAUAGCAACAAUGGCUCUAACUACCUGCCAUAAGAAACAUGCUACAUCAACAAGAUCACAGAGUGUACCAGAAACCGUAAUGUAGCAAAAUCUUAGAUAGAAUAGCUGGCCAAAAGGGAAUGGAAAAGCAAGCACAAAAAACAAUGAAAAGGACCAGUGAUGCCAAAAUUCAGGUGUUUAUAACUUUAAGUUCUACGUAGCAAAAACCACCUUAUGCACAACAAUAUUGGAAAAAUUAGAUACAUACAACUGAGAAGAUAGGUUUUCAUAAUCUGGACAAGUGCUAACUACCUUCUUCCUAUAAACUGCCACUCCAUGAACAUUAAAUGGUAUUUUCGUUUCACGCAAGGCUGUCUGGAAGACUUUUCCUGAUACCUGUAGUAUAAAAUACAAAAGAAAAUGUGACCAAAAUGUCUUAUAUGAUUCACCUCAUUCACAUUAGCACUAGGGCAAGCAAGCUUGACCUGCCUCCGGUAAAGGAUUGCUAUAUUUCCAUAGGAGCACCCUGCUUCUGACAGUUAGAUGCAGUCUCCAGGAUCUUGUCGACAACAAAGGCGCAUUAUGCAUCCUCAUUGUGACUUUCCUUGAUAAUUACCUACAUUUUGCCAGUAAAACCAGUGUCACUAACUAAAAAGACUGAAAAAUGACAUCAAAUUGUACUUGUUGGAGCAAGGAAAGAUUAGGUACAUUAGACCCAGAAGAAUUGUCGGUGUCAACAUUCUUUAGUUGGCAUCACUUCUUAUUGUUUUUUAUAACAGAAGAUGCAGCUUCCACAAUAUAGCGUGUGGACCGAUAGUUUUUAUUAAGCCUAAUCUGAACCAUAAAGUUAUGUCAAAUCCCACAGAACCCCAUAAAAUAAAACUUACUUUCCUGUAAUUAUACAAUAUAUUUGUUCUAUACUAUAUAUAAUGAAAAAAGACACUGAAUGACAUAAGAUAAACAUAGCAGUUAAGUGCGAAGGAACCUCUUUGUAAUUUGAAAAAUCUUUACAAAAAGAAUCAAAUCCAGAACUGUCCGCCCCGUUGAAACUGAAAAUGGACUGCAGCAGGAUAUAUGUUAUUUGAUUUAGAACAGAUAAGGGCUGGAUUAGAAUGAGCUGAGAGAGAGAGAGAGGGAGAGAGGGAGCAAUAAGAUUGGAUUUCCAUAAUAAAUCAACAACAUGCCUGAUCAUCAUCACCAACAAUGGUUAUGUGGUUAUGAGAGGCGAGAAUCCGCAAAAGACUAUACUGCAUAGCACUUGUGUCUUGAAACUCGUCUAUUACAAUAGCUUUCCAUGACUCCUGGCACUCCUCCGACACUAAUUAAGAGAACACCAUGUAUCAACAUUUAGCAUUACUUGUAAAACUAGAUAAAUCAAUUUAAUAUACUUAGAUGAUAGAGACCUUCAGGAAAAUCACUUAGCAGCUAAUUAAGUCAUGGUAGUCCAAAGCGUUGCACGAUUCCUAAGAAUUUCACCCUGAUUCAGAUUGAGAUCUAAAACUCAUAAGCAAUAGUUUCAGAGAACUGAAAUGAUAACUGAAAUUCUAGAACUGAAAUGAUAACUGAACAACAACAAAAACAACAACAAAGCCUUUUCCCACUAAGUGGGGUCGGCUAUAUGAAUCCUAGAACGCCAUUGCGCUCGGUUUUGUGUCAUGUCCUCCGUUAGAUCCAAGUACUCUAAGUCUUUUCUUAGAGUCUCUUCCAAAGUUUUCCUAGGUCUUCCUCUACCCCUUCGGCCUUGAACCUCUGUCCCGUAGUCACAUCUUCGAACCGGAGCGUCAGUAGGCCUUCUUUGCACAUGUCCAAAUCACCGGAACCGAUUUUCUCUCAUCUUUCCUUCAAUUUCGGCUACUACUACUUUACCUCGGAUAUCCUCAUUCCCAAUCUUAUCCUUUCUCGUGUGCCCACACAUCCCACGAAGCAUCCUCAUCUCCGCUACACCCAUUUUGUGUACGUGUUGAUGCUUCACCGCCCAACAUUCUGUGCCAUACAACAUCGCUGGCCUUAUUGCCGUCCUAUAAAAUUUUCCCUUGAGCUUCAGUGGCCUACGACGGUCACACAACACGCCGGAUGCACUCUUACACUUCAUCCAUCCAGCUUGUACUCUAUGGUUGAGAUCUCCAUUUAAUUCUCCGUUCUCUUGCAAGAUAGAUCCUAGGUAGCGGAAACGGUCGCUUUUUGUGAUCUUCGCUAGAUUGCUCCGGUCAUUAGUGUGGAAUGGAUAGUGAUAGGAAAGCAAACACAAGAUGUACGUGGUUCACCCAGAUUGGCUACGUCCACGGAAUAGAGUUCUCAUUAAUUGUGGAGGGUUUACACAAGUACAUAGGUUCAAGCUCUCCUUUAGUGAGUACAAGUGAAUAAUUUAGUACAAAUGACAUUAGGAAAUAUUGUGGGAGAAUGAUCUCGUAAUCACGAAACUUCUAAGUAUCGGAGUGUGGUAUCGUCUUGACUCGCCUUAUCUGUCUCAUAGGUAGAUGUGGCAUCUUCUCUGGAAGUACUCUUCCUCCAUCCAGAGGUGGUAUCUUUAACUGGUGGAGAUGCAGAAGGUAAUGUAUCAAUUUCACUUGAAGCUUACUUGUAGUUUCAGGCUUGGUCAAGCGCGAUACAAACCAUGUAGUAGGAGUCCCCCAAGUCGCCGAGCUAGGGGAUCUGCUGAAAGAGGUGACAGACAAGGUAAGCAAUCAGAGCUCCGGCUGAUUGUUCACAUUCUCCCUAUCUUGCAGGCAGCAUGAAGGAUAAAGAGAAGAAAAAUGAGAAAAGAUGAUAUGGGAUACUUUUGCUUUUGAAGAAGUAACUUUCCACAGGCUUAUUCUUGAACUGAGCUGGAGGGUUUUCUGGUUUCCUCCAGAGUAUAAGGCCGACUGAAGAAUUUGAGGGUCAAAACAAGUCCAUCAAAUCUAGAGUACGUUCGACCCUGCUGAUAUAGGAUACUUUUGCUUUUGACAGAGUAAUGGAUGUAUCGGCACGUGUGCUGUUACGCUUGUCUCCACAUGCUUCCUUGUAUCCUUCUCACUUGCCCUAUCUGUUCCUCAGGCAGAUGCGAUAUCUUCCCUGGAAGCAUAAGAUGUUGAAGAUGAGUACUCGAGAGCAAUGCCAGGUAAGUAAUCAGGUAAGGGGUUCCAGGCAAUCAGUUCCUAGCUGGAAGCUUGAUUCCAAGUGCUGAUUGAUUGCUCUCUUUCUCCUUGUCUUGCAGGUAAGAACAAGGUCAAAGGAAAAGACAGGGAAAAAGCAUGAUAUGGGAUACUCUUGCUUUUUAACCCUGAUGAUAUGAGAUAUUCUUGCUCUAGUAUAGCUUGUUUGCAGAGGUAUUAUCGGGGGGAAAGAAAGCUGAAUAUUUCGAAAGGCUUCGUUGGGAAUGCCCUCUCAGAUAUGAGGAAGGGUUGAGCAUUUUUGCAGGUCUGCCUGUCCGUUGGGGAUGGAGGUCGACAUAUAUAGGAGUCUCCCUAACAACAAGUAGUAAUGCUAUUCCUUUAACCUGCUUGGUCAUAGCACGGUAGUUGGAGCUGCCAGCUUCACAUGUUUUAACUUUGUCAGAGCACUUUGAAAAAGUUGUCUGUGGUAUCUGGAAAGCUGAUGUUGCAUGUGAAGAUUACAGACAAGCUUUAUCCAAGGAGAUCCGGCUCUUGAAGUUGGGAAAAUUGUGCCUCUUCGGUUUUCGAACAAGCAAUCCUAUCGGGGAUCUGGCUCUCGAGAUUCGGAGAACGAUGUCACUUCGAUUUUUGAGAAAGCAAUCAUGCUGGGGGUCUGGCUCUCGAGAUUCGAAGAGCGGUCUCUUCGAUUUUUGAGAAAGUAAUCAUGUUGGGAGUCUGGCUCUCGAGAUUCGGAGGACGGUGCCUCUUCGAUUUUGGAGCAAGCAAUCUUGUUGGGAGUGUUUUCUCGAAUGUGAGUAAAGGUUGGGCAUGUUUGUUAGUCUACCUUGCCACGAAGCAUAGAGGUUGACACACAGGGACUUUCCAAUUAUCCAGCAAUGGUACUGUUCCUUUACCCUCUCUUCGAUUUUUGAGAAAGUAGUCAUGUUGGGAGUCUGGCUCUCGAGAUUCGGAAGACGGUGCCUGUUCGAUUUUGGAGCAAGCAAUCUUGUAAUCUUGUUGGGAGUGUUUUCUCGAAUGUGAGUAAAGGUUGGGCAUGUUUGCUAGUCUACCUUGCCACGAAGCACAGAGGUUGACACACAGGGACUUUCCAAUUAUCCAGCAGUGGUACUAUUCCUUUACCCUUGUGGGUAAUAAUAUGGUAGCUAGACCUUCAAAAUUUAUGCGUCUAAACUUUUAGUUGUGUUUUCUUUGCUAUUCUUUUACCCUUCUUGGUCAAAGCGAUGUAGUGGGAGCUGCAAGCUUCACGUGCUCAACUUUGGCAGAGAACUUUGGCAAAGUUAUCUGUGGUACCCAUGAGCUACUGUUGCGUGUGGGAAGUGGGUGAUUGAACAGUAAGAUUCAUGUGCUUUCUACUUCACCAGAAUGCCCAUAAUUUCCGCAAAGCUGAGUGUGCGUGUGACAGGUGCUGACAAGGCUGGAAAAGUAGGUGCCUCUUCGAUUUCUGAGAUCGGCCCUCAUGGUCUCUGAGCAGCCCAGCUUUUGAGAAAGCAAGUGCCUCUUCGAUUUCUGAGAUCGGCCUUCGUGGUCUUUGAGCAUCCCAACUUUUGAGAAAGAAAACGCCUCUUCGAUUUCUGAGAUCAACCCUCGUGGUCUCUGAGAGUAAAGGUUGGACAAGUUUGCUAGUCUACCUUGCCAUGAAGCACAGAGGUUGACACACAGGGAAUUUCCAAUUAUCCAGCAAUGGUACUGUUCCUUUACCCUUAUGGGUAAUAAUAUGGUAGCUAGACCUUCAAAAUUUAUGUGUCUAAACUUUGUUAGUGCUGUUUCUUUGCUAUUCUUUUACCCUUCUUGGUCAGAACGAUGUAGUGGGAGCUGCAAGCUUCACGUGCUCAACUUUGGCAGAGAACUUUGGCAAAGUUAUCUGUGGUACCCAUGCGCUACUGUUGCGUGUGGGAAGUGGGUGAUUGAACAGUAAGAUUCAUGUGCUUUCUACUUCACCAGAAGUCUUCGACAAAAUGCCCAUAAUUUCCACAAAGCUGAGUGUGCGUGUAAUAGGUGCUGACAAGGCUGGAAAAGUAGGUGCCUCUUCGAUUUCUGAGAUCGGCCCUCGUGGUCUCUGAGCAGCCCAUCUUUUGAGAAAGCAAGCGUCUCUUUGAUUUCUGAGAUCGGCCUUCGUGGUCUUUGAACAGCCCAGCUUUUGAGAAAGCAAACUUCUCUUCGAUUUCUGAGAUCAACCCUCGUGGUCUCUGAGCAGCUCAGCUUUUGAGAAAGCAAACGCCUCUUCGAUUUUUGAGCAGACGCCUCUUCGAUUUCUGAAGCUCCGUCGAGUGCAGAUUUUUAUAGGGGCUGACAUUAAGUUCCAAAGCACACUUGAAUCUCCACCAGUAGAAGCUCCAUUCUUGCACUUCUAAGAUCUUGAUUUGUCCGACCUCUUCUCUCUUCAACACCUUUGAAAAUGUCUAGCCCCUCCGACCGUCGUUUUGACUUGAACCUUGUUGAAGAGGCAGCCCCGCCUUCUCCAGACAACAUAUGGCGCCCAUCCUUCGUCUCCCCUACUGGUCCUCUUACCGUUGGGGAUUCCGUGAUAAAGAAUAAUAUGACCGCUGCGGUGGUGGCCAGGAACCUUCUCACUCCCAAAGAUAACAGACUACUUUCCAAACGAUCUGAUGAGUUAGCUGUUAAGGAUUCUCUGGCUCUCAGUGUUCAGUGUGCAGGUUCUGUGUCUAAUAUGGCCCAACGCCUAUUUGCUCGAACCCGUUAAGUUGAAUCAUUGGCGGCUGAAGUGAUGAGUCUCAAACAGGAGAUUAGAGGGCUCAAGCAUGAGAAUAAACAGUUGCACCGGCUCGCACAUGACUAUGCUACAAACAUGAAGAGGAAGCUUGACCAGAUGAAGGAAUCUGAUGGUCAGGUUUUACUUGAUCAUCAAAGAUUUGUGGGUUUGUUCCAAAGGCAUUUAUUGCCUUCGUCUUCUGGGGCGGUACCGCGUAAUGAAGCUCCAAAUGAUCAACCUCUGAUGCCUCCUCCUUCUAGGGUUCUAUCCAGUACUGAGGCUCCGAAUGAUCCCCCUCCGGUGCCUUCUCUUUCUGGGGCUCUACCGACUGCGAGACUUGUCCUAAGCAACCUUUGUGAAGGCUCCCUCUAGUUUGUUUAUUUUGACUCAUGUAUAUGUACAUAUUUGUAGCCUAUCAGGGAUAUCAAUAAAUAAGUUUUCCUUCAUUUCAACAUAUUGUGUUAAAUACACCAAAGCCUUCUUCGCUAAGUUCUUUGAAUUUUCUUUUGUUGAAGCUUGUAUGUUGAAGCUUUGUGAGUGGAGCAUGUAGGUUGAGGUAGUGUUCCUUUAAUUUCCCGAGUGAGGAAAACUUCUCGGUUGGAGACUUGAAAAAUCCAAGUCACUGAGUGGGAUCGGCUAUAUGAAUCUUAGAACGCCAUUGUGCUCGGUCCCGUGUCAUGUCCUUCGUUAGAUCCAAGUACUCUUAAGUCUUUUCUUAGAGUCUCUUCCAAAGUUUUCCUAGGUCUUCCUCUACCACUUCGGCCCUGAACCUCUGUCCCAUAGUCGCAUCUUCUAAUCGGAGCGUCAGUAGGCCUUCUUUGCACAUGUCCAAACCACCAUAACCGAUUUUCUCUCAUCUUUCCUUCAAUUUCGGCUACUCCUACUUUACCCCGGAUAUCCUCAUUCCUAAUCUUAUCCUUUCUCGUGUGCUCACACAUCCAACGAAGCAUCCUCAUCUCCGCUACACCCAUUUUGUGUACGUGUUGAUGUUUCACCGCCCAACAUUCUGUGCCAUACAGCAUCGCCGGCCUUAUUGCAGUCCUAUAAAAUUUUCCCUUGAGCUUCAGUGGCAUACGGCGGUCACAUAACACGCCGAAUGCACUCUUCCACUUCAUCCAUCCAGCUUGUAUUCUAUGGUUGAUAUCUCCAUCUAAUUCUCCGUUCUUUUGCAAGAUAGAUCCUAGGUAACGAAAACGAUCGCUCUUUGGUAUUUCUUGAUCUCCGAUCCUCACCCCUAACUCGUUUUGGCCUCCAUUUGCACUGAACUUGCACUCCAUAUAUUCUGUCUUUGAUCGGCUUAGGCGAAGACCUUUAGAUUCCAACGCUUCUCUCCAAAGGUUAAGCUUUGCAUUUACCCCUUCCUGAGUUUCAUCUAUCAACACUAUAUCGUCUGCGAAAAGCAUACACCAAAGAAUAUCAUCUUGAAUAUGUCCUGUUAACUCAUCCAUUACCAACGCAAAAAGGUAAGGACUUAAGGAUGAGCCUUGAUGUAAUCCUACAGUUAUGGGAAAGCUUUCGGUUUGUCUUUCAUGAGUUCUUACAGCAGUCUUUGCUCCUUCAUACAUAUCUUUUAUAGCUUGGAUAUAUGCUACUCGUACUCCUUUCUUCUCUAAAAUCCUCCAAAGAAUGUCUCUUGGGACCCUAUCAUACGCUUUUUCCAAAUCUAUAAAGACCAUGUGUAAAUCCUUUUUCCCAUCUCUAUAUCUUUCCAUCAAUCUUCGUAAGAGAUAGAUUGCCUCCAUGGUUGAGCGCCCUGGCAUGAACCCGAAUUGGUUGUCCGAAACCCGUGUCUCUUGCCUCAAUCUAUGCUCAAUGACUCUCUCUCAGAGCUUCAUUGUAUGACUCAUUAACUUAAUACCCCUAUAGUUCAUGUAAUUUUGUACGUCGCCCUUAUUCUUGUAGAUAGGCACCAAAAUGCUCGUUCGCCACUCAUUUGGCAUCUUCUUCGUUUUCAAAAUCCUAUUGAAAAGGUCAGUGAGCCAUGUUAUACCUGUCUCUUCCAAAACUUUCCACACUUCGAUUGGUAUAUCGUUUGGGCCUAUUGCUUUUCUAUGUUUCAUCUUCUUCAAAGCUACAACUACUUGGAAAAAGCGUAUCAUACGCUCCCAAACAACUUUGAGUGGAAUCGUUCGAAAAGAAGUUUCUAUGGCCCCCUUGCUCAUUUAACACUGCAUCCGGAUGCUGAUGGAGAUACAGCGACCCUUGCUCACUUAUCACUGUGCUCGGGCCACACAGCGCGCCACUUACGGGUGACGCCCUAGAUUUAGCGCGAUUUCGUUCUGGAUUCAUUUUCAUAAGGAUUCGACGUGAUCAUGGAGUGCCGGCUGUCGACUACCUGACGCCCUCCCCCUCCUCCUUUAUCCGGGCUUGGGACCGGCAAUGUAAGAACAUAGGCGGAGUUAACUGAAAUGAUAACUGAAACAUAAAUAAAUUUAGAAUUCAAGACUAACCUGUGUAGCUAAUAUAUUCUAGCUUGAUUGUAGCUAAUAUUUUUUAAAUCGAAUGAAUGUUGUUCUUAAUCCACUAUAAUCUGAACAUUAAAUUUGGUAUUCAUGACUAACCUGUGUCACGAACUUUAGCCAUUUCUUUGAUGGAUCCUUAAAAUGAUGUGGAGAUGUUACGCCAUUACUCUUCCCCAUCUAUAGCAACAUUAAGAUUCGUUUUACUCUUUUCAUCUUCUGAUAACCGCACAGCUUCAAUGACUGCUCUUCUCUGUUGCCCAUGUCCAUAUAUAAAAAAUUCUGGUGUGCGCUCAAGUCUAAAACACAAGCCAACAUAACAGACUCAGCUAUACCACCAUAGGUAUGGUGUUCAAAAUCAAGGGAGGUGAAUCAAUAGCUUACUUCUCAGCAUGUGAUCGGCAAAGUUGCAAUGAAAAUGAAUGAAAUGUACUGAUUGUUAGUAGUUUUGCCGUUCCUUUCCCAGUCACAGAUCCAAUUCGAUCUCUCAUCUCGGAAGCUGCUGCUGUAGUGAAAGUCAUUGCUAGAAUGUUAGACGCGCUCAUGCCCUAAGAACACAAAAAAAAAAGGAAUAAGAUUUCGAUCAUAAACAAGAAAUGUAGAGAAACAGACAAUUAAGAAAGAAAAAGUUAGAGGGAAAGUGGCAACACCUCAUUGAGCAGCAUUAGAACCCGCCCAACCAUCGUUGAAGUCUUUCCACUUCCAGGGCCGGCAACAAUCAUCAAAGGUACUGAAAUAUCGCUGCAAGCUGCCUCCCGCUGCCUUUCGUUGAGAGAAAGCAAAUACUUCGAAUACUCAUCCGGCAUGUUAGGCAAUCCAUGGUUAACAGAAUCUGUUUGGUUUUCACUACUCAGAGGUGGCGCUGAUGCGGCAUUAACAUCGCUACCACAACUCCCAAUAUCAUCACGCUGAAUGUCCCCACUCGGUUUCUGCUCAAUUAAAGCGUCAAUUUCCUGCAAAAUACUCUCAUCGAAAUCAUCAUCCUCGAGAAUUCCAGACGCAGAGAAAGAAUCGAAUGAAGUCGGAAACUGCGGUUGUUUGAUUGGAAUUGUGAAAGAAUCCGAUUUUGACACGCUUGAUUCAGUCCGGCUAGCGCUUAAGCUCCCGGAACACGACGCACUGCCAUAUUCAGUCCGGCUUGUAGAAAUCGGAGGCGGUGUGUUCAUCGGUAGCUCGGCAAGAGGAGUUCUGUGAACUCUAUUGAGCUGAGCUGGCGUUUGGAUUCCAUUUCCGCCACAAAUUCUGGAAUUUGAAAAACACAAUUGAAUUGAUUUAAAUUGAAUCAAGAAAACAGCCGAGUACCAAAAAAGUAGUAAGAAGAUGAAAUCUUUGAUUCCUGAACGACUUACUUGGUAUGAGGGAGGUGAUGAUCAGUCAAAACGGCGUCGUUGCGGGGGCGUUUGCGAUCAAUGAGGGCCUUGGCGGCUCUGAAAUUCCCAGAGAUGCGGUUUCUUUUGAUAGGAUCACAGAUCUCAGGACCCUAUUCAACCUACAAGCAGCAAUAGAAAUGACAAAUGGAGAAGACGAAGUAGAAGGGAGCAGGGCUCCAAUAUAUUUUUUUGGUUUUGUAUUUCUGUUUGUAAAAUCUGAUCUGCUACAUUUGAGGGAGCUGGACUCCUUUUAUACAAACUCUACUUCUUAAAAUGCCAGCUGGCAUAUUUAACAAUUCUUAACAAAUCAAUUAAAGCAUAAAACCUCAGUAAUAAUUUGGGUCAUAACAAUACUUCCCCCUUGAAGAACAACCUUGUCCUCAAGGUUGAAAGUUGAAAAACUUAUUUGAACGAGUAGAAACUAGGAGUCUUGCAACAGAAGGGAAGCUGCAGGGACUGCAAAUACAAUCUGCAUGUAGCUCUCAACUUUUGGAGAUGAGCCUGACAGCACCCCUGUACUUGUUAUGGCAGCUCCCCACAACUUGGUAAGUGAGCACUUGUUACCCGUAGCCUCUUCAUAAAUUUCAACCCACGAUAUCAUUUCAACUUCCAUGCUAGUUGCCAAAAAGCAUGCAGCAUCAAAUGGAGAAAAUGGGCCAACUCCCAGGGAACCUGCCAGAGGAUCAUUCUCAACGAAUGCAGCUACUAAAGCAAUUGGACCCUUGCCAAGAAUUAUAACCUUAGAGAUGGUUAUGAGCCUGAUAUCCUCAAAAGCAAGACGAGCGGUCUGAUUGAUAAGAGACUGCCUAAGAUUAACUAUCCUCUUCUUAGGUCCAACACACCAUUCCUUGCUCCGAAUGUAGCCAUCCUUCAUCACACCAAACCGAGGGAAGCCACCCAUGGGAGUGAUGUCUUUCUCAGUCAUCUUCCCCUCAUGGAGGCACAUUUCAUAGUUUUUUUCAGUGAAACUAGGACCACCUAAUGUCGGAUUGUCAAAAAACUCCUGAAAUAAGCUGAUGGAUGGGAGCAGUCUAUAUUGGAUAUUGAAACUUGCAAUUCUUUCUGAAUCAUUGAAAUCACUGUACUUUAAACUGUCAUUAGCAACACCGAUAUUAUGCAUGGAAGAUUUAAAGGACCUGAGCAAACCCAAAGCUUCAACCAUGUCCUUCAUCACCUCUGUUAAGGUGUACAAUUGGCAUUUGAAUUCAUAUGAUGGCUCAAUAGUAUCAAGUUCCAAAAAUUUAAACAACUCAUUUUGCCAACUUACACUCACGGUAAGACAAACAUGCAAAAACCAUGCAAAGACAAAUAUGUUGGACAUCCUUUCUGAAGAACAGGCAAAGAAAUAACACCAACAGCAACCAAAUGAAAUAACACCAGCAGCAACCAAUACAUUGAUGUGUACCAUAUUGUCUAACAAAAUUACUUUAAGCUGAUGACUGACUUUGCAGAUACGUCCAUAAUCGUACAACCAUGCAUAAACACUAGCACCAUCAAAUCUUAGAUUUGGCCUGAAUACUAUUACCUCUUCACUACCAAAAGUGAGCAUCUGAAUACGUCUGCCGGUUUUCUUAUGAUGCAACUCCAGCUCUACCAACAUCCAUCUUUUACCAAUCACAUAAGAGAAAACAUAAUGACUUACACAAUGUUGCUCAGGUACAGUCAUAUAUGGUGUUGUCCGAGAUUUCCAUUGCUCCUUGAAAUGCAUUCCAUAAACCAAGAAAAAUAAGAUUGAAGUAGUAGUUGUUCCAUCCUCCUUGAAAGAGAUGAGAAUGCAGGGCCUCUCCAUCAACCAUAUUGUAUAAUUCCUCUGAUUGAAGACAACCCUUUGAGAAGAUAUAUUGUCACAAGGAUUAGUGAGAGUGUGACACCAACCCGGUUGCUGGAAAAUCUGGUCAUUCGCUACGCAAUUAGGAAAGAAAACAGUAUCGAGGUGUACAUCAACACUAUUACAUAAUUCCGGAUUCAAUUUCGAUAACAAGCUGGUGAGAAUAGAAUAGUCAAGCUGGGAAAUGGCCAUGACUGUUAAUGCACAUCUGUGUAACAGUGAUAAGCAGAGGAACUGCUUGAUAGCAUUGAUAUAACCCAAAGUCCCAUUCUCCUCAGUCAAACUAGCUGCAAGAUCUUUAGGCAAAGAACGACAAACAAGUACAACAAUAUCCAAAGCUUCCAGGUUGCUACUCAAUGACAUAUUCUCCAUAUUAUGCCUCUUAGACAUUUCAUCAAAUAGAUGCAAUGCAUAGAAAUUCUUCUUCACAAAUUUACCCACAAGGUACCAAUUAACCCAGCCAUACUUAGCAUUCAAAAAAACAUGAUAUACAAUCGCAUUAUGACCAGUAUAGCAUGCAAUUACACCAUACAAAAGCAAUACCUCAUGUCCACGUACCAUUCCUAACUCCCAUAGCCCACUAGGUAGCUGAUACCAAACAUGAAGUUUCUUCUUGAUGAAAUAUCCAAUGUUGUCAUCGUAAACCGACUGUGUAAUCUUCUCUCCCAGUCUCAUUCGACAAUCUUCCAGUGGCCUAAUUUUGGAGCCUCCACCCUUAUCCCGAAUGCCAUUGCAGUAGCACAUGUCACGAUUGAGAACAACAUAGCCACUUGAGUCUGGAAUUUCAUCAAACAGGUUCCAUGCACAAAAAUCCUCAGGUCCAUUUUUCGUAGUAUCAGAGAACGAGUGCUUAUGGAGUAGCCGCGGAGCAGAGGUCAUCGUCUUCGAUCCCGGAAGCAAAAUUGUAGCUGCAUCAGAGUUGUUCGAGUGUGGCUUCACGGGCGGAGUUGCCAGUGCUUGCAACAACGGUGAAGAUGAGAGUAACGGCGGAACGGAAUGGACUUCAAUUGGCGAUGGAAUUCUCGGUGGAUUGUCGUCUCCUUGAAGUCCGGGAUGAUCGAGAUUGAUUGAUUGAAUCGUUGGGGUAGGAUCGGAAACUUCCCCGACACCAAGAGUCAAGUGAUGGCGGAACAGAGCAAGGUCACGGCGGACUGCGGCGGCUAUUGAAUCUAUAGCCUUGUGGAAAGCCUCCUCCGUACGCCUGAAUGUUUUCCUUGGACAUUGCUUCGAAGAUUCCGACGGAAGAUUUGGCCUGACAGCCUGACCAGGCAACCCUAGAAAGAAGAAGGAGCGAAGAAGACCAAAUGUGUCCGUUUUUCCUUUGGUUUUUUUCCCUCCUAAUCGAGUUGUUCGAAAUAAUUGGGCCUGGGCCUAGUGGGCCCAAUUGUCAGGCCCAUUAUCUCCUGUCUUCUAGUUCUACUUCCAAUUUCCCAAGUUAACAACGUACUGGUUCGCUUUUAGCGCGAGAGAGAAAUGGAGGCCCUGAUUGCCUCGUACGGAGACUCGUCGUCGGACUCAGACUCCGAGUCGCCGGCUCCACCUCCACCGCCACCUCCGGAGCUCAAAAACUCUCAAGAAUCGACCACUGCGCUGCCUCCACCUCCUCUGUCACUUCUCGACAGCCCAAUUCCUUCGGUAACCUCUGAUUCCCAUAAAUAUUCUAUCUUUUAACUUUCUGUUGUGAUGGCUUUUUCCGAGUUGCCCACCAAGUGUUUGAUGUUUUGCCUCUAAAGGAUUUCUGGACUUCUCCCCAAGCGCCCAGCCGAGCAGAGUUCGGAACUUUCCUCACGUCGAAGGGAACUACGCAGUACAUGUAUACAUCCCAGGUAAUCAAAAUUCUCGAAAUUUUCAGCUCCAUUAGCAAAUGCGAUCCCUUUGCACUUAGAUUUUGCUUGUUUAAUUGUGUGGUUCCAGUUUAUAUACCACCAGCACCAAGGAAAGAGAUGGCCUUGUUUUUGAACAAGCUUGCUUCUCUGGUGCCUGGUCUCCACGCCGUUGACGUUGACGUCCCGCUUGACAUUCUGCGUAAGGACGAGCAUAAGCUUGAACAAGUUGCUUUAGGCAGAGAGUUCCAUAUAAGUCUCGGAAGAACUGUUCCGAUUCGGGUGCACCAGAUUAAUUCCUUGGUGACAAUGCUGCGGCAGAAGCUUCAGAUUCAGAGGCGGUAUGGUUGCAUUUACCUUCUCUUGUGUGCAUUGCGUGAAUUUAGUUCUGUUAUUUAACAUAAUUGUUUAAGCCUGCAGAUAUUUUGUCCAUUUUUGGUUUUUAACACAUUUGGUUAUUGUGGAACAGGUAUUGGAUUGAUUUUUGCAAGUAGGAGGUUUUUGUUAACGAUGAUCAGACCCGGACCUUUGUGUCGAUCGAAGUCAUUGCUGCUGGGUUAGCUGAGGUAUGAUUGCUAGCUUUCUCUCUUGGUGCAAUUCAAAAUGUUUUGAGUUGUUUAUGGACUUAAGAUUUAGCAAGUACUUGCCGAAGGUCAUGGGAUUUUGAAAUAUCGAUAUCUUGCUUAUAGAUUGUUUGGUCUUCGAUGCACUUGUUACCUGAAAAGUAAAAAUGUAAAAGAUCAUGAAAAGUCCAAACGAAACAUAAUGGAUGUAUGAUAUGCUCAUGCUUCUAACAUGUGUUGUCCUGGCAUAAAUUAUGUUCCAAAUACCGUCAUUUGCGUGUAAGCCUAUGAACUUAGAGCACGUUUGGUAUGCCGGGUAAGAUUGGAUUUGGUAUUUCAGACUGCUUAGGUUAGGAUUGGAUUGGGUAGGUUAGGUUUUUUGUCUAAUGUUUGGUGUAGACUGUCGCAACAACGCUCGUGAGCCUCCACAUCCAUUGCAAUCUUGCACCACUCUGAUGUCCUGGAGGAGCGAAACAUGGUUACUUGAAGCAUACCUGUUUUCGUAUUAAUACAUGGUUGAAUCAGCUUUCAUUGUCAAUCAGUCUGUAAUAUUUCAACUUCCAUUGAUUUCAGAUAACAAAGCAGAUUCAAGCUGUCAAUGAGGUGUAUAUGCUUCACAAUCUUCCUGAAUUUUACAAGGUUAGCAUUUCGUGUUUUUCAAACUUGAAUCACUUCCUGAACAUAUGACAAUAUAUUGGAGCAAAUGGUUGUGCAUGAAUACUACUCAUUGCUCAGAGGGUGUUGCUGAUCACAGGAUCCGCGUCCUCAUAUUUCGGUAGCUUAGGCAUUGGGUGACAUCAGCAAUUCCCUGAAGAAAGUGGUUGAAGAAGAAAGACGAAGAUCUACCAUCGGAGGAUCGUUACAGAAAUGUAUUUUUACCAGUAAAUUCAAUGGUAUCGAAUGUAGGAUUGGUAAUAAAACACACAAAAUAUGUAAAUUUUCUGAAGAAUAAUGUAGCCAUUUAACUAUAUUGUGAAAUUCCGAGAAUAUAUCGCUGAGCAUUGGAUGAGAAGACAUUUCUUCGUUGGUGUCGAACUUCAUGUUGAAGGUAUUGACACCAGUGUAAACGCCAUCAUCCAUGUUGAUGGUAAUUACUUCCCAGCUACUAAGGGUGUCGGAACAACCUUGCACGCAGCCUCCUGUGCAUUACUUAGUAUUGUCUCAGUUUCUCCAAACUUGAAUGCUCCUGUAAACCCACUUUUGACCUUUCCGUCAUCUGUGAUUACCGGAAUGCUGGCUAGGAUGUUGCCGUUGACCUCCCAAACUUAAAAUACCGGAAAGCCGGCUCCAAUGUAUGCGAGAGCUCCACCUCUAUUGUUGUAACAGCAUCUGAUGCGUACUAGUCCUUUAUUCCCGUUACUCUUUGCCAUCUCCACUUGGAACUUGGCGUAAUGGCUCCCGGCCUCCUCUCCGGUGAAAUUGAGCAACCCCGGAGCUGGCGUGCCAUCAAGAUUUCCGUCAUGUCUGUAGCGAAAGUAUUCGCUGUUGUGGUUUGGUUUCACCACUAUAAAUCUUGGCAGAGUUGGCAUUUUCAUUUCUGUUGUCUGUAUAUCUUGAUAUUACAAGUAUUUGUUGUGCAAUAUGCAUGCUAUGUUCAUGUUAUGCGUAUAUACAUAUAUAAGUGUUUUAACACUUUGCAAACGUUUUCUCCAAAAUUUUGAUUUUGGUGGUGUUCUAACUUUUGUGAAUGCUAAUAACAAUUCCCUCAUUAACUGUUAGGACGAGCAACAAAACAGUUUUGAUUCUGUGCACAAAGGCGAUCCCUCGUAAGAAAUUGAUUCUUCAACAGAAAGAUGUUUUAAAACAAAUUUGAAGGGAAGGAAAUAUUUGAAUCGCAUUCAGAUGUCUGGUCAAAUUCUUGAACAGUUGAUAUACACAGAAGUUCCUUGUUUAUGUCACUACUUAUGAGAGGAUGUACGCAUUGCAUUCGCAUCAAAAGAGAGAGAGAGAGAGAGAGAGAGAGAGAGAGAGAGAGAGAGAGAGAGAGAGAGAGAGAGAGAGAGAGAAGGUUGUCAGUGGUAAGGGAACGAAUAACGAUGGCGUUGCGCUUCUAAUCAAAGGGGUCGAUCCGAGGGUCGUGUUCACUUGCCAUCGCCAUUCCAGUGCAAAGGCAUGUAGGGCACAUUACCUGCCACAUUAAAAACGCGAUGUUAGAUAUACUCGCCAUUUGGAAGUCAACCCUCAAAAUUUGCUACUAAAUUAUCUUAAACUCCAUUUCCAGUCAAUUUUUUUUCUUCCGAAAUGUCUUUCACGUGCUUAGGGAUAGGCAAAUACCCAUUGGUUAUAGGUAAUCGCGGUUACUCGCCCAUUUAAAUUAAACAGUUACGGUUAUGGCUAACUGUUUAGAUAAAUAAACGGUUAUGGGUAUAACCGUUUACCCGUAAAAUUUAAAUGGAUGGUUAUGAGUAUUAACCAUGGUUAUAAACGAGUAACCGUUUACCCAUUUAUUUUAUAUAUGUAAAGCUAACACAAAUCAUGUUCUCCAUCCAAUAAUACUUAGCACCCAAUAAAUUAGCAAGGAAUUCAUCGAUCAUUCUCUCAAUAACACUACUACAUGAAUGAUGAUUCCCAUCAUCAAGGAAUUUGCCAAAUUAAUUUAAAUUCCUUGUGGGUAACCGUGAAAUUGACAGAAAUACUUUAACAAAAAUGUCUUCUAAACAAUUUUUGUAACCCAAUAAUACUUAGCAAAUAUUAUAUUUACCUUCAUUGGUAACAGUUAAAAAUAUCGUCCGUAAACUAUUAUUUCAAUUAUUGGAAUGGUAUAAAGACUUAAAAAAUUAAAAUAUAAAAAUGUAUGACGAAUGUACCUAUAACGGUGUUUAAUUGUCAAAAAAAAAAUUAUGACAAUUUUUUUUAAUUUUCAAGUUGUUAAAAAACAUGUAGACUGGUGAAAAAAAGGUAAUGGUAAAAAGAAAAGAUAAACGGAUUAAAAAUGAUAAAUGGUAUACGGGUAUUAAAUUGUUACGGUUAAAUGGCUAUGCGGUUAUGGGUAUGGUUAACCGUUUAUAAAUGGUUAUGAGUAUGAGUAUAACCAUUUAGGCAAUUACCCAACGGGUAAACGGUUAUGUAGGUAUGAGCAUAAACGGUUAUGGGUAAAUUAACCGCGGUUACCCGCCCGCAUAACCAUCCCUACACGUGCUCGACAAACACAACAGUCACCAAUCAUGUGAAUCAGCUAUUCCUCAAUGUAUAUGAUGAAACAAGUGCAUCCCAGAGGCAGGCACGAAGAGGAAUUUACUAUGCAAUAAACAUUCAAUGGGUACAAUUUUAUGUCUAACCUUUCCCGCUCCUGAGCAAUUUGAACAUCUUUCAGUUUUUGGCAGUGAAAGGGGCUGGUUUCCGCCAUCAACUGUUGAAAUUGGUUCGGUAAGAACAAGGGUUCCAGUGCUGGAGCAACGAGCACAAGCAAGAUAUCCUGCAUAAGUAUCAAAUACACCGGUUAGUUGACAUAUGAAGGAUUGGUUUGGUAUUGCUGUGCUUUGAAAAAAAAACUGCUGUGAGAAUAAGCGGCUGUGCUGUGAAAAUAAGCGGCUGUGAAAUAAAUCAGCAGAGUGUUUGGUAAACUUUUUUGUAAAAGUGUUUUUGGAAAAAAAAAAGUCUAAUAGUGGGUCUUUUCAUUAAAGAAACACUGUAGCUCCAUGUGCUUUGAAAAAAACCAGUUUUCCAAAGCUACAAAUAGCAGCUUCAGCUUUUUCCUUUGAUUUCAGCUUAUUCUCACAGCAGCUUCCAAAAUAAGCCUUUUUUUUUUCAGUUUACCAAACACCUAAAACCCUCACAGCUUUUUUUCAUGGGUGCUUUUUUUUUAAGCACCUCACUCCCAAACUUGGUUUGGUAUUGCUGUGCUUUGAAAAAAAGCUGCUGUGAGAAUAAGCGGCUGUGAAAUAAAUCAGCUAAGUGUUUGGUAAAUUUUUUUGUAAAAGUGUUUUUGGAAAAAAACAGUCUGAUAGUGGGUCUUUUCAUUAAAGAAGCACUGUAACUCCGUGUGCUUUGAAAAAAAACCAAUUUUCCAAAGCUACAAAUAGCAGCAUCAGCUUUUUCCUUUGAUUUCAGCUUAUUCUCACAGCAGCUUCUAAAAUAAGCCUUUUUUUUUUCAGUUUACCAAACACCUAAAACUCUCAUAGUUUUUUUUCAUGAGUGCUUUUUUUUUAAGCACCUCACUCCCAAACUAGGUCAACCAAUCCAAACAUCUCCAUCGUAUAUAUUUAAAGCUACGGUACAUAUGACUAAAAGUGAGAAACAUAGGACAUUAUCACACCAGUUCCAAGACAAUAUUUGCAUCGCUUAUGCUCCUGCUGUUUCACAUUGCUUAUUUCAACUACCAUCAAUGCUGAGAUCACUCCGACUGCUCCUCCAGAGAACGAUGCCACUAUGGGAUCAACUUGACUGCAGAUUGAAAGUAUAUGAGAUCAAUAAACGAAACUGAUAACAAUGUAGUAUUAACAUUAUUUAGCUCCAUGUCAAGAUAGACAACACAUCCUAGAUUUUUCUAAUGUGUAAAAUUUGAGGACCCUCGUAAAAUUUGACCACAUCGGUUCCCAAAGUAAAAUUUAGUACCUUUGGUUCCUACAUUACAGACCGAAAAUAGUAACUACCGAAUUUAAAGUUCAUAUCAAGAUAGAGGAUACAAAAUUUCGAAACGAUAAUUGCUAGAGAACAGGAGGGUUAAUAGCCCGAGAUAUGAGCCAUACCUCAACUGCAACGGCAGAUGCAUAUUUACUAUAAAAUCUUUAUACGAUGUGCCUCCUAUUCCCAGCUUCAACUCCAACUGAAAGAUGUAAACGUAAUUGUCGGCAGAGAGUUAGAAACAUAACCGAAUCCAUGUUUUAUAAGCAGAAAGUACACUUAUUUGACAUGCUUCCUCAUUUUUUUACUUGCAAAUUCAAAACCGUAUUGUCAGACCAGUAAAAUAAAAUAAUGUUUACUAAUAACUGUUAAAACUAAUCACAACAAGUUAAUGCAUAAAGAACUUACGGAGGGUGCUAUGAGGCCACCGAAAAGGAUAAACCCCGCAAUAAUUGAAUAACAUACAGCAUAAUACUGCUUAAGGUUGUCUGAACUCUGCAAGCAAUGCAUUCACCUUGUGAUUAAUACUUUUGCACAAACACUAGUUUUCGCAAUUUUUUAUGAACCGACAAAAGGCUACAACAAAAUAUGGCUAAAACAUGUCGGGGAUAUGAAAAUACAUGUCUUCACAGGGGCAGCAGCUUACCAGGGGAGGCAAAAAUGGAAUGAAUGAUGGAAAACUUGAUCUUCAUUUACCGCUCCAAGCUCUGCGCGUUUAAUCCGUUUAAUCCGCUGUUGUAUCCUCAGCCUGCGAACCUACGCAUAUCGAAGCUCAUUCUUAAAGAACACAUUUCUAAGGGCAAUUGGAGAGUAAUUUGAAACAUGCUAAACUGAGAAAGUGGCAGCAACUAGCAAUUGCUCUCACCUCCUCCGUAUGCAAGAAAAUUUUGUUGCGCCGACUCCGAAUAUUAUCUUGAAUUUCCUGCAGCUCCAUUGUCGCAAAGUCCUGCACUGUUUCAGGCCCCUCUAUGAUACAAAAUCUGCACAAUUAAGCAUGUAACAACUAAAACUUACAGGCUACAAAGCAAUUUCCGUAUCAUUUUUGGGUUAAUUAACAUCAACAGCAGAUAAAUCACAUGAGUUUUUCACAUGAAGUUACAAACCUUCAGAGACCAGUAAGCUCUCUGCAAUCUCAUAAAUUUCACUGUGCAAAGUAACAAUCCAAAGCUUGGAACUUUAAAUUUCCAUUUUCUGUUAUUUUCCUAGAGAGAGAGGGGGGAGUACCCGGCGGGGUUUGUAUCGGCGGCGGGUUUAGGAUCAGAAUCGACAGACGGAGCGAACGAGGAGGAGUCGGGCUCCGAAGCCAUGGCCAGGGAUCGCCAUCUGGAGCUGCUUGUUGAUAUGGGGCUUCUUGCGUAGCUGAAUUUGGAGCAGCGGAAGCUAUGCAGUUUGUACGGACCGCACCGAUUUACGGGGAAAGAAACGGCCAAAAGUCUGCCGGAGCAGAGCAUCUCUCUCUCUCUCUCUCUCAAACCAGAAGGCAGAGCUUUCUGUUUCUCUUGAGGUUUCUUUCACUGGUAAAUUCCAGACAAGCAGAGAAGGCGGCUCUCUGAGAAAUGGCGAUGGUGCAAGUGGAGACAAAACAAAUGUAAAUCUUGAAGCACCGAACAUGUGCAGAACACUUGUCAACUACCGAACUCUAGGAUUAGGAGAGAGAGAGAGAGAGCGAGUGACCGGCCAAAAAAAAAUGGAGGGAAGUGGCUGAUUCUUCUUUUUAGUGGACCUGGUGUCCUUCGAUUCGAGUACUAUGUCAUAUUUAAAAUUUAGGGUUAAUUUUGUUUAAGUUUCUUAGUUUUCAACAUUUAGUACAUAAAGUUUUUUUCAUCUCAGAGUGGUACAUAAAGUCAUAAUUUUGAGACAGUCUAAUACAUCCGUUAAGGUUGCUGUUAAAUCAACCGUUAAAUAGUGACGUGGCGUCUAGGUGGAUAUUGACUGGACGACACGUAUCAUUAUGGGUCCAUGUGGAUAUUAAAAAAUUAAAAAAAAAAAAUUAAUGGGCCGUUCAACCCCUCCUCCCUCGACCCCCUCCCUUCUCUCCUCUGCACCCACCCUCCCCACGUCUGCAACCCAUCCCCACGUCGUCAUCUUCUUCUUUGCCCAGAUCCCGCAAGAAUCUUCUUCGUCGCCGACAACUCAGCCACCAUCUCCAUCUCCGCCUUCCCCUCCUCCGAACCCGACUCCUACCCACUUCCAGUUCCAAUUCACCCUCUCCCAAUUUGCCCACUUCUUGUCCGAUUUUCGCGCCACUAUUGAACCCGAGCCCGACCCACAAAGAUGCUUAGAUUCUGAAAAAGAGAUGACACAAAUGCAAGAAAUGGAAAGCAGUGUGGUUUAGAGGUUAGAAACUGAGCAAUUUUUGGAUUGCUUUUUGGUUUGAUCAAUUUAAAGAAAUGAAAUUCUGAGUCGAAUUUCUUGUUCGUUAUAUUCGAUCUCCGCUUGAGAAUUUUAAACUUAAUAAUUGCAAAUCAAGAUACAAAAUUGACAUGAAUUUCGAAUUGGGGUUUUGGGAAAUUUGAGAAGUUCUUGGCGAUUCAUAAGAAACUUCAACUCCCAAUCGUUUCUUCUCGCUCACAACCCGAGAUUAAUAAUUUUAAAGUUUGAGCUUGAAUGUUCUUUGUAAUUAAAGAACAGAUGUGCAUCCCUCUGAAUGGCAAGAGGGUGAAUAGGAAGCGAAAAUCGGUGUGUGGCAAAUCGGAGAGGGUUAGGGAAAAAGUUUAGAGUCGGGUUCGGAUGAGGGGAGGGCGGGGUUAUAUUUUUUGUCGAGGCGAAGAAGAUUCUGCGGGAUCUGGGCGAAGGAAGAUUGACAUGGAGGGUGGGUGCACAGGAGAUAAGGGAGGGGGUCAAGGGAGGAGGGUGAACGGCCCAAUUUUUUUUUUUUUUUGGGUCAUUUGGACCAUCUCACUCAUCACCUAAGACGCCACGAUCUAAUAUUAAUUCCGGUUGACUUUGUAAAUUGGAUGUAUUAAUUAACAAACAUAGAUUAGGACAUUGAUGAUUUAAAAUUUGGGGUUUUGUUCUUCAGAAAUUUGGUCGAAAUAAGAAAUUCCCUAAAAGUUCAAUUCAGAAGAGUUACUUGCCUUACAAACAUUUUUUAAAUACUUACUAAGAAAAAGAUUUUUGUGGGUGGGUACAGUAUGGGGUUUAACUCAUUGUGUUUUAGUUUAAAUCUUUUUCUCUCUUCUUUAAUAAUAUUUAGUAUAUUAUCAAUUCGUAAUAAAAAAAUUUUGAUUAAAAACUCUCAUCUAUAUUCUAGCCAAUGGAAAAAAAUGAAUAGUGAUUUUGAUGUUGCUUUAACAAAAUAUUUUUUAAAAACAAUGGACGGCUUUCAACAAAAAAUUUGAGUAAGAGGGGUUUUGCCUUAAGUAAUUUUUGAAAUUGAAUUCAUGGUGGUUUUUUGAUUUUAUUAAAUUAGUCCCUCCCAGCAAAAAUGUGAUCAAUUUCUCUAUAAAAGAAAUAUAAGAUAUAAAUGAGAUAAUAAAGGGGUCAUUAAUAAAGAGUUGAUGAUUGUUUUUUUUUUUUUACAAUUCACACUAAGGGGGAAUAAUUGAUUUCUUUGUUGGUGUUCAAAAGCUUUUAAAUUUAUCUCUUUAAAAUAGUUUUAAUAAUCUUUUAAUGUGUUUAGUUGCCAAAAUUUUAUUUUUUUAGCAAUGAUAUUAUCUCAAUUUGAUUGGGCUUAAAUUUCUCUUAUUUUUCAUUAAUUUUCAUAUUCAAAACAUCUUAAAUGUCGUAAAUGCCGAUCAAAUAACUCUUUUCUUUUUAAUUAAUUAAUCUAAAAUUAAGUAAAAAUGAAAUUAUUACAGAGAUUUUCGAAAACCAAAUUUACAUUAUUGAUUUUUUUAACCUUUUUACAAACAAUAUAUCUAGUCUUUUUGUUUUACAAAGUAAUAUUGAAUUUUUUCACAAGAAGGCUAACAUAUCACAUUCAUUGAUUCAUGAUCAAUAUUUAAAAGUCAAAAAAAUAUUAGUAACCAUUCUCUAUUUUAACACAAUGUUCCAAGAAACAAUCUAGGGAUUAUCGGAUUUAAUGACCAAGAGGUUGGAAUUUUCCCCGUAAAUAAAUGAAUUGUUAACAACAAACAUAAAAAACAAAGCAAUAAAGAAUUCAGAUAGUGAAUACCUACUAAACCAUGUGAACACAAGCAAAAUACUUCAGAAUCACAUGUUGUCGAAAAAAUACGACUAUUUCUAAUCAGAAUUACAAUAUACCACGUUUUGCCCAUCACAUAAAAUCCAAAAACUAGUUAGGGAGCUCAAAAAGGGAGCGGGUUUGGAAACCACUGAUACACGAAGUAAAGAGGUGGUACUGUUUUGGUAAAACACAAAAGGUGCGAAACAAAGUAAACAAAACGGAAGGAAGAUGUUAUAGUCAUUCUCAGCAACAAAAUUCGAGCUUGUUGUCGAAAUCACAACAGGAGACAAUUUCGAUUAACAGCCUUUCCUGCCAAACUCAAUUUCCAAAAUCCUACAUCACAUCAUAAAUCCAUUGUUUCAUUCCCACGCACAAUCCCUACCCACUGCACAGGAGAACAAUUGUUUCUGCAAAGAAAAAACAGUUAACAAAAAACGGCAUGCAUAUCGCAAAAUCGGGAUAGGAAGCAGAAGCUUUCCUUGUUUUCCUUAAACACCAAGCUCUACAUUCCAAAAAGAACAUGAAAAAAUAAAAUUAAAUAAAGAGCCUUUCCUGCUUAUUUUGAAUUAAGGCGGGGAGGUCGAGACACGGCUGGUGUAUUUUUGUUUUUUUAAUUGUCAAACUGCCCAGGACACGCUGGGCAUUUUUUUUUUUGUUUAAACCUGGGCCCAAAACGACGCGUUUGCCAUUUAAAAAAAAAUUCCUUGGGUCAUUUACCAAUUCCUUUUUUCAAAAAAAAAUAACUGGCCCAGCGCCUUCGUCUUCUACAAAGGCACAAAAGCCCAAAAACCCCGACGAACCUUCCGUUUCACAGUUGGUGUGAGCGAACGGUGGUCGCACCAGGGGUCGCACCACCAGUCCAAGGGUCUUAAAGUUGCUUCAUGCUCUCCAAGGUCCGCGACGUGGUUGCGCACCCCAAUUGAACCGCACAGGAUCCGAAUGGCUUCUUCCCAUACAUGCCAUCGAAAUUCAGCAAAAGCAAUAACCAGCGAUUUCUUCUGGAGAAUUUAAGCCACCCCAUUGGACCAACAAUUCAAUCAAAAGAAACCAGUAACCAAGUUCAAUUGAGUUUAGAAGCAUUUACAAUGUUCCCACGGAUGUUCAUCACUUUACCCAAUAGUUCGUUUCAAGAAGGAAAUUCCAGCAGAACUGAAACUUCAAAACUUCAGAAGGCACCAAAUUUUUGAAGUAAAUUCAUUUCAAGUUGAAAUAAUCAACUUAGGUGAGGACCCAUAAAAUUAGGAGGAACAUGAAAGAAAGCUUUAUCUUUUUCCUCUAAACUCAGGCGUUACUAAACAAACGGACAUUCACAUCCCCACCAGAUGCAUUUCCUUUCACAUCUUCCCAAGUAAAUCAGUACCUUCUUUCGUCUGAAUCUUAAGUCUGAAUUCUGGAAGUGAAAAUACUGGAAAAAAGUGGGCCUUUAUAAAAGAAUACCUCACGUUUUAGUCAAUGUAUCAGCGCACUAAGAGGACCAGAGGCAGGAGUGAACGACAGCAAACAAUUCAUGUAAUAUUCAGUCGAGUUUUGGGUGAUUUCUGCAGCGAUUUCGGAGGCCAAGAGCCUGAUAAGAAAGCUGGGACGGAAGGGCAGUGGUCUGGAAGAAAAGGCUCGGGUCACACUGUCGCGAUUCGCGAAGGAGAAGUGGCCCAAUACAAUUUCGGCCUGUUUGCACUGGACUGUUUUGCACAGGGCCAAGGCCGACCCUGAACCAGAUAAAGCUUCUCCAAACAGUAUAUAUCAGGUGCUAGAAAUUCUAUAGAACCAUUCAAUCUUAGAGCAACAGCUUAGCAUUAGUUGGUACAAAAAGAUUUCCGAUUAUCGCUUUUAUUUAUUCCUCCUCUGAUGUGUCCUUUUAGACUGCAACAGACGAUUUAAAGAAAUGAAAGUUAGCAGAAUAAAUGGCGCACAAAGGGAUUUAAAAUCCUGACAUGUGUAUUUUUGGCAGAUUUAUGUGAGCAUGCAACUAAAACUGGCAUCACUAUCAAUGGUGCACGAAGAUUGGCGGAAAAACGUAAAGGGAAGCAAUCACAACACAAAAUGUACGACGUAAUCUGUCCACAUGUUGGAAGGAGCUAUGAAAGUAUGGCUUUUCACUAAUCAGGCGUCCAGAGAAUCAAUAUUUUACUCACGGAUCAGUUACGGAGAACAAUCCCCACCAAAGCAAUCUCAAUAGUCCUCCACAUCUCAAACCAAACAGAAAUCGCACUAACAAACACGACUUCUAUACUAUUAGUCCUUCCCAUCUCAAAUCUAGUAAGUAACCCAUCUUUCGUCUGAAUCUGGAAAACAAGCAGCAGUGGAUUUAAAAAUCUGGGUAUCUCAAAGUUACUCACUUUAAUCACAAAUUUAACAAUUAAACAUAUAAAUGGGCAUUUUUAGUGAAAUAUUAGUGUAGUACUCACUGUGUGCUAGGAGCAAGAGUACCCAGAAAGCUCAAUGAGCUGCGCACAGAGGACUGCAGCGGUGAACGAUAGCGACCAAUUCUGUAAAAUUCAGUCGAGUUUUGGGCAAUUUCUGCAGCAAUUUCGGAGGUCAAGAGGCUGAUAAGGAAAGCUGCGACCAAAGGGCACUGGUCUGGAAGAAAGGCUCUGGUCACCGCUGUCGCGAUUCGCAAAGGAAGAAGUGCCCCAAAACAAUUUUGGCCCUGGGCAGGUGCACUGUUUGCACUGGGACAGGGCCGGCCCUGAAUCGCGAUAACGUCCUUCUCCAAACAGUAUAUAUACAGAUGCUAGAAAUAUCUACCAGAACCAUUCAAUUCUAGCGUCUACAGCUUUAGCAUCAGCUGGUACAAGGGACAUUCUUCCAUAGAGGGAGAUGAAAUCGUUGAGGCUCUUAUUUAUUCCUCCUCUUGAUGUGCCCUUUUAGACUGCUAAUUCCAGACGAUACAAUCUCAUGCAUCUUCCCUGAAAAAGGGUUGCCACACAUCGAGAUCAAAUUUUUCCAAUAAAAUUAACUUAAAAAUCAAACUCGUUAGCAGAAUAAAUGGUGCACAAAGGGAUUUAAAAUCUAGACAUAUGUGUAUUUUUGGCAGAUUUUAAGUGAGCAUGCAACUAAAACUGGCAUCACUAUAAAUGGUGGACAAAGAUUGGCGGAAAAACAUAAAGGGAAGCAAUCACAAAGCAAAAUGUACUAAGUAAUCUGUCCACAUAUUGGGAAAAAUUUUUAACAGUUUGAUUUGUAACUUCUCCAUUGUAUUAGUUAAAGACAAGACGGUGUCAACCAUGCAAUUUGCUGAUGAUUUUACUGAUGAAUGCAGAGUUAGCUGAUGAUACGACAAGCAAUUGAAAAUCCCAUCAUUAUACCCCACAUAUACCAAAAAAGCAAGUCAUUUGCACAAAUUCAGAAGGUUCAUCCACUGCAAUUUGCAGAUAUAGAAAUGUUAAGAUAAAUGGAAAUACAAAGUACCUUUCACCCAAAUUGGAGGAACACCGGUGGCAUUAGCAAGUUAGCAUCGGGAAUUGACAUUACCAGUAUCUUCACAGUUUCUGCGGUGGAGUUAUGUACCUCUCCUUGGAAAAUGCCACCAAAGCCGCCGCAACGCGGUGUAGUGUCCGAUUGAUUGCUUCAAAACAAAGCUUCGUAUCCAUGUGUUUAAUCAGCACAGAGUACCCAAAACCCCUGAAAAUUAUUUCUUUAUUCAGACAAUAAAAUUUCCCAAAUUUCGAAUUUUAAUUCCAAAUCAAAAAUAGGGUUUGAAUUUUGAUUACCUAGAAAUUGGGGGGUUGGGGUGGAGAGGGACCCGGGCCAGGACGGAGCUAUGUGUAUAUGCUAAGGCGUGCCAAAUUACAUAGAGUGUCAGGAAUGUGUACAAGUCUUUUGCAAUUUAUCAGACUUAAAACCUGAAGCCCCGUAAGGCGUUCAAUCCAGGGGGAAAGCUCUUUGAUAGAUGUUCCACCCAAGAAAAGCAUUCUUAAUCCUUCCAUAUUUUCUUCAAUGCUUGGAAACACCUCAAAUUUUGUACAAUUGUAAAGAGAGAGACGGUAAAAGGAUUUGAGUUGACAAAUGCUGCUUGGAAGACUCUCAAGUUCCUUGCAAUUCAUCAUAAGCAAACACCUCAAUCCCGUGAGAUUAUUAAUUGACAGGGGUAGUUCUUUAAUUUUUGACCCAGAUAAAUCAAGCUCUUCUAACCCCUCAAUAACUUCUGAAAUCUCUGGAAACAUCACAAGACUCGAGCAACCAGAAAGAUCAAGGGUUUUGAGAGAUUUCAUACGAAUGCUGCUUGGAAGACUCUCAAGUUCCUUGCAAUUGUUUAGGUCCAAAUAACUCAACCUCGUGAGAUUAUUAAUUGACAGGGGUAGUUCUUUAAUUUUUGACCUGGAUAAAUCAAGCGCUUCUAACCCCUCAAUCACUUCUGAAAUCUCUGGAAACAUCUCAAGACUGGAGCAGCCAGAAAGAUCAAAGGUUUUGAGAGAUCUCAUACAAACUUUGCUGGGUAGAAUCUUAAGUUCCAUGCAUUUUGAUAGGUUCAAAUGACUCAACCCCGUGAGAUUAUUAAUUGACAGGGGCAGUUCUUUAAUUCUUGACCCGGAUAAAUCAAGCUUUUCUAACCCCUCAAUCACUUCUGAAAUCUCCGGAAACAUCUCAAGACUCCGGCAGCCAAAAAGACCAAAGGUUUUGAGAGAUCUCAUACAAACUUUGCUGGGUAGAAUCUUAAGUUGCCCGCACAAACUCAGAUCCAAUAAAACAAUUUUUGUAAGAGCCAAAAUCGACCCGUGAACCUCAACUAAGCGUGUACAACCUUGAACAAUUAGCCUCUCAAGAUUUGGCACAUUUGUGAAGUCAGGGGUUAUCUCAAGGUUAUGACAAUGACUUAAAUUGAUGAAUUUCAACUUUUCCUGCGUCUGUUAAAACAUUCAGGAAAACAUGCAUUACUUAAUAAGACAUCUCACUCAAAGCCCAAACAUUUAAAAGAAACAAAUACAUGUAAAUGAUUGUACAUACCUGGGUUCCUUCCCAAAGUCGGUCAAUGAGGCUAUAUUGCAUGUCAAGUCCAACAAGAUUUUCGAAUUGAAAGUUGGAUGGCAAAGACUUGAGAGGGUAUCCAGACCAGGAAAGACACCUCAACUCACUAGAAACAAACUUUAAGGGCCCAGUCAGGUGUUGUAUGCCGUGAGCACUGAUCUUGAGAAGUCUUAGUUUAGUCAUCCUAUCAAAAGCUUCAACCAUUAAGCAUCCCUCAUCUGAGUUCCACGAAUCGAGGAUUAUGCUUUCGACUGUUUCUGUACCCUGUGCAAAUCAAAGGGAAGGAAAAAGCAGAGAACCUUAGUUUAGAUUAUGAAGUUAAUGCUUGUUUCUUAAGGAGUUGUUUGAUAAUAAUUUUGUUUUCACUUUUCACUUUUGUUUUGAUUAUUUAUUUAGAAAUCUGAAAAUUGAAAACAUAUAACUUGUUUGUAAUUGUUUUCAAUUUUCAAUUUUCAAUUAUUAAAAAAAUGAAAAUUAAAAAUUAAAAAUGGAAACAAAAGUGGUUAUCAAACGAGCUUAAGAAAUUGAUUUUGGUCAAAAGUUGAAGCUUUCUACUAAACAUUGCAUAAGAAAAGAAAUUAUCACCGUAUUUUUAGUUAUCACAUGAAAAACAUCUUCAUAACUCCACAACCUACUUCGUCUCCCAGGCUCUUUGAUAGAUUCUUGGUAGACGAUUUUCUGACCCAUUUCCUCUAGUAAAUCAUGCAUCUCCAGUUCCCCCUUCGUUGAGACAGUUACUAGAGCUCGAUCGAUUAGAACUUUUAUUCCAAUAUCAGGAUAGAAACCACAGCUGUGCAGAACUUCGGUUGCACAGUCUUCUCUCAUUCCUUUAAAGUAACAUGCAAUAUCUAGAAAGAUAUCCUUCUCCAUGUCAUCUAGUCCAUCGAAGCUUGUUUUAAGCACAUCAUGAAUUCCCUUUUGCGGGAUUUUCUUUAUUUUUUCUAACUCAUUUUCCCACUGGCGUACAUUUUUGUUAUAAAGAAAAGCUCCCAAGACUUUGAGUGCUAAAGGCAGACCUCGAGCAUAUUUUACGGCACGACGGGAGAGAUCAUCAUAAUCUCUGGUGGGUUGGUUUUUUCUGAAGGCGUACCGCCUAAAGAGUUCCAGAGCUCCAGAAUCACUCAAAAUCUGGGGAUUAUAUAUCUCACCAGCUAUGCUUAGUAAUUGCGAAUCUCUGGUUGUUAUAAUAAUUCUGCUUCCACCACCAAAGGAAUGUGGCUCUCCAAGUAAAGCUUCAAUAUGUUCUAAUUCUUCCACAUCAUCAACAACAAUAAGAACUUUUCUCCGACCUAGACUAUUUAACAUCACCUGGAAACCUUUAUUCGAAACGUCGGAACUCCCCACCCUGUUGUUCGAGAUACUCGAUAGAAGUUCUGCCUGCAUAUGUAGUUUGCCAUGCUUCAUGAAACCUUCCUUGAAAUUUUCAAGAAAGCAACAAGCUUUAAAUCCACCAGAGAUUUCAUUAUAAACAGCUCUCUAGCGAUGGAUGUGUUUUUUGCCUAAACCCACACCCAUACCCCCAUAUUCCAACAAUGCGAACAUCAUAUUAGUUUCAACUCCAGGAGGAUGCAGUAAUGAAUGCAUGUUAUGCAUAUGAGAGUCCAUUUCAACCAAGCCAUUAUAUUUGCUUGAUGAUGAUGAGAUGUAUCGCCGACCCCACUUAGUGGGAAAAGGCUUUGUUGUUGUUGUUGUUGUUGAUGAUGAUGAGAUGUGGAUCAAUUUCUUAAAAACAUCUUCUACAAUUUUCUCAAUAAGCUCUGCAUCAUCCCUGUCAAAUUUAAAACACAAUAUAAUUACAACACCAAAUGAUACUUAAUGGGUCGUUUUGAUUACAAUUUCGUUUGCAAUUUUUUUUAAAUCUAGAUUUUAAGUUUGCAGAUUUUGUUUUCAGUUUUUAGUUUCAAUGAAAGUAGUUAUUAAACAAGUUUUCCAAUUUUUCUUUCAUGGUAUACAGUACGUAGUCCCAAAUAUCAGUAGUUAGAUCUUGCAUUUAGAUCUAAUGGGUAUUUACAACCUUUUUUCCUGAGAAUUUUGUACCAUUGUAGCCAGAUCACAUGUUUUCAUCCGUUAGUUUUAUAAAAAUGGAAACUACAAAAAAAAAAAAAAAAAAAUAUAUAUAUAUAUAUAUAUAUAUCAAAUGGCCCCUAAAUGCUAUUAAAAAUCUCAAAAAUUAACAGGAAACUAAAACAAAUUAGAAUUUAUUCAUGGUUUCGCAAAUCCCAGCCGGAUAAACUGGUGGCCGUUGUAAGAGAGAGGACCUCCAGCCGGAUAAACAUUUUCGAGUUAUUUGAUAUUUGUAUAGUAAAAAUACUUUAAUAGCAAGUGCGCGUGAGUGAAGAAAUUGAACUUACUUAUAUAUUCUUCGAAUCCCAACCGGAAAAAUUGCAGGCUCUGGGAAGAGCGGACCUCCAGCUCUGCACCUCCUUCACGUCACGUUACGAAGAACGACUUCAUGUUUAGCAAAAGCUUCUGCAAAACUUCCCUCGAGUUUACGUUUUACGAAUAUUGGACGGAUCGACUUGGUAGAAAAUGGGGAAUACAAUCUGGUUCUUGGAAUGGUUGCAUUCCAAGAUUUCCACGAGAGUUCUUUCAAGCACCAUGUGGAUGAAGCAUAGUUUUGAGAGAAACUACACUACAAUCGAAAUCCUUGACUCUCUCGAAUCGCUGUCAGGAGCUCGAAAAGGCGGUCGCCUUUUUCUGAGGUCUUCAAUGAUGGCAUCAAUGAAGGUGUUUCUGAUUGUUUCUAGAUUUGUAGAGAUGCUCUUUGUAGAGAUGGCCUGACGAGAACCGCGAGUGUCUUUCCCCUCUAAAAAAACUGAUGAACACAUCUCGUCCCAACCAAGGCAAGAAGAAGAAGAAGAAGCAAGCCAUUAAUCGAUCUCACCUGGGCAGCGAUGAUCUCAGAGCAGCUAAGACUAAGCAAGAAUUGUAAGUACAGAACACUCAAUAGAUCUACAAAUUGGAUCCAGAAAUUAGUCAAUGAGUCAAUGCAAAAGGGAAAAGGGCAAUUAUGCUUUUUGCGUUUUCACAUCUUUCUUCAGGAAAUUUCGGUGUGAAAGGAAUCCGCAUACUUUUGAUUUUUCAACCCAAGAAAAUGCGAAGAAGAAGGGUACAAAGUAGUAAAUUUAAUCUACAGUUGCCUACCCAACACAACUCUCUUGAUUAAUAAUAUAUAUUUAAUUGGGAAAAGUAGUUUAGAGGAAGGAUGUUUUAUCUCCUUUUUCUUCUCUCUCGAACAGUCAAUCUUCCGUUCCCGUGCGAUUUAAUCAUGAUUAAAGCUAAGCUUAAUCUUAGGUCGUAUUAUUUAGGUCUAAUUGGAUUCUUAAUUCUUGUUGUGAUAUAGUAGUUCGAAGAUUAAAAAAAAUUAUGAUUUAAACGUUUGUGGUGAAAUCUGUUACGAUUUAGAUUCAAAAUUGAAAAUUUCGUUAACUCCAUUAAUUGUUAGCACAUGAAGAAACACUCACAAAUGAAACUAAAAAUAAUAAAGUUAGCCCUCACAUGUAAUCUUCACGUGCUAACAAUGAAAAGAAAGUUCCGUUUUAGCUUAAUAUAUGUGACUCACGUGUUAAUAAUUAACGGAAUAUUAACAAAAAAAUUUAUUUUAAGCAUAAAUUCAAAUAAACUUCACCACAUAAGCUUAAAUUCUAAUUUAGAUAUCUUCUAACUAUCUUAUCACCAUAAAAAUUAUAAUCAAAUUAAACUUAUUAUUUAUUUAUAAAUGCGUAACUAAAUCACAAAGUGUUGAAUGAAAGGGAGCACUCCAAAUGAUGAAAGGGGUAUGAUAUCCACACAUCUUUUUUUUUACUUCUUACACAUCGUUUUAAUUUUCGACCGUCGGAUCAAAUUAAUUGAAGAAUAUCAAAGGAUAAAAAUCAACAAAGGGUGUGUAAGAAGUAAAAAUGAGUGUGUGGAUAGCCAUCCAUGAUGCCAAAAUGAAGCAAAAAGCGGGAGCAUCGAAAGCUAUCUCCGUUUUGUUGUUCUAGCUUUGUCUUCUUUUGGCAGAUAGCUCCUAGGGACCGGCCUAUUUUCCACAGCUGGUUAUAGACUCAGUUGUGCUAUAUAGAAGGGAGUGUUUUGUUGUAAUUCCAAUAUCGAUGGAAAUCCAACAGCCAAAAUCUUUUCAAAUUUUUGUGAGGAUUUUGGGGUGUACGUAAAUUGAUUAUGUUUAUCGUAUAUUGUGUGAUCAUUUUUUAUCAAAUAUUAUUUGUGUUUCAUUUUAAAUAAAAUAAUUUAAAAUAAUUUUUAACUACAAGAUGUACGAUGAACAGAUAUAAUUCACAAAUCUCCAAAAUCCUUACAAAAAAAUCCGAAAAAGAUCCAAAUUCAAUGGAAAUAAGCUAAUUUUGAAUCAAAUUACAUUACUUUAUUUUGUAAAUAAAUUUAAUUUUGAAUUGAACAACACAUUCAUUUAUUAUGUAAGUAAUUCAUUUUGUAUGUAUCAUCAUAUAUAUUAGGCACAUUUUAUCAUAGGUGAUUUUGUGAAAAAUUAAUAAAAAGUUACAAUAUUAACAAUAGAUCAAUAAUAUUUAUGUUAAUUAUAAAUAGGUUAACCAUGUAUUGUGAUACUUAAAUACAUUUAAAAUAAAUAAAAAUUACAAAAUCUACUACUACAGCUAGCAUUCACUUCAACUAAAACUCUCUUCCACGUAGUUUUUAUAUUUGGAAUAAGUCAUACGAAUCAGAGACAUGAAGAGGUGUAAGAACUGUGAAUGUCCAACAACAAAGACUUCGGAGUUUGUUGUCGAAUAUCUGCAGCGCAUCAUUUCUGAUAGAUCAAAUCGAGCCAAUUCCCGCAAACUCCAAUCCCACCACCACCUUUCAAGCCGGCCUCAGCCCUCCGGGCGGCAUUUGGCAGGACAGCACUGGAUCAAACAAGAAUGGGACUGGCAGUGGGAGCAAUGAACGAGUACACUCAGCAGGGAAGUCCAUCAUGCGUUAAGGCAAAUGGUUCUCAAACACAAAGCAAUAGUUCGCUACCGAAAACAACCAAAGUCUGACAAAGGGAACCGUCUUACACCUAACCUGUUUUUCCCUCAUCAAAUGAGCGCGUUGAUCUGCAGAUAUUUUCUGCCAUCUCAAAACCUGUUACAAAGAAAUAUAACGUUGAUGUCGAGCUGGAUAGCAUAUUAUACCAAUUAUGUGUACAAACCUAUUGAAAUAAAGUAGCUGUAGUUGCAUAUUACGACAGAUAUUAACGAAAACAAAAGAAGGCUCGCCUAUUCAAGAUCCUAAAUCCCAUGAUUCUUUUGUUUUUAGUUUCAGAAAUUUUCAGAGCACAAACUGGAAAGUACCAAGAUACUUACAUAUUGGGCAUAAUGAAAUGCAUCUUCAUCUUUCAAGCAAGAUUUGAGUGAGCGCAAACCGUCCUGAGAGUUACAUAGAGUCAAUCGGUAAUAUAAAAACGUAGAUGCAUCACACCCAAACACAAGUAUUCAAACACCGACAACUUCUUCAUGCGGUGAGGCAUGUUAAAAAAUAGGGAAGAACAGUUAUUGAAUAGGAAGUUAAAGGACUAAAUUUAUGACCUUGUGUUUGUAGUUCUUGGCUCGUAUGCGUUCAUCUAUUACAAAACCAAUCUGUAACAGGUACAACAGAAAAUAUAAGCAGUAGUCAGAACAUUAAGCAUCGGCAUUCACAUUGCCGCCAAUCCAAAGUUAAAAGUCUAAAGGCAAAACAGUAUGAUUCUUAUCUCUCAAACAAAAAUGAAACUAUACCCCAGACAUAAAUGAAAUAAGUUCUACUGCCUCAACUGAGUACUGUGAUUAUAUAUAAAUCCAAUUCACCUUGUCAAGUAAUCUCUUAGGAUCUUGAAAUGCUUGCUUCUUAGCCCAGUCAUUAAAUACAUGCGAGAUAAUCGAUCUCUCAUCCACACUGAAUCUAUUGUACAGUGACAGAAUAAUAAAGUUAAACAUGAACAUAACCAACCAAAAAUGCUAGUUAUAAUAGUACACCCAUAAUUGCAAGCAAAACCUUUUUAAGAAGCCAUUUCCAUGGUUUUCCUCCCCAAAUUCCAUCAAUUCUGCAGAGGCAACGUCAAAUUUACUAUGAUGGAGAUCAUUUUGAACCAUAACAACUUCAGAAGGUAGGAGAUUUGGUUUGAGAUCAUCUGUUGACGGAGUAGUUUCUUUUGAAGGGUCAUGAUGCUUUGAUUGCAAGCCUUCUGUACUUACGUCAGCCUACAAAACAAAAAUUGCAUUCAACCCACACUAGACUUAAUAAGAUUAGAAACACUUCAGAUUCUUCAUUAUUUGUAAGUUUGACUAAACAGCAGAACAACUGAGGAUAAUGAACAGUAAUACACACCUGGACUUCUCGUAGAGAUUUGGAAUUUCUUUCAGAAAUCGCGAAGGUUGAAGCAUCUGAAGGAGUCACCUUCUCAGUCAGAGCAACAACAACAAAUAAGGAGGACAGGAAUUCAAGCUAAAACGUACCUGCCAACUGGAAUCCAUCGUAACAUAAAGAAUGAAAAGCUUUUUUCGAGCACGAGUCAUUGCAACAUAUAAUAGGCGUCUUUCCUCCUAUGAUUAGAGUGGGAUUAUUGAGUUAUUGACCAAAAGAAAAAAGAGUGGGAUUAUUGUGAAAAACACUUCAAAGCUCUGCAUAUAACUGAAAAAUGUUGAACAAUUUACCCCACACCUCAAUGGAGGUCCCAUUUUCUUUUGCAACGCCAUUGAAUUCAUGCAACAACGGGAUCUCAGAUUCAUUUACCUGUGUUAUUGGCAUGAGCAUUAAAGCAAGCUAAGAUGAUUUGAAGAGGUUGAUAUCGUCAUGAUUAUAGUAGAACAGAAUACCAAUUUCAAGUCAUCAAUUAGGUAUAGCAUUGGCAUGUUUAAUCAGUAAAUCUAAUGACAGAACACCUCAACUCUACACAUAAAUAAAUAAACGGUCGUACCCAGUGCACAAGGCUCCCGCUUUACGCAGGGUCUGGGAGAGGUGAAUGUCGGCUAGCCUUACCCCCAUUUAUGGAGAGGCUGCUCCCAAGUCUCGAACCCGAGACCUACCGCUCAUGGGCGAAGGCACUUGCCAUCGCACCAAGUGCGACCUCUACACAUAAAUAAAUAAACAACCUGAAAAAUAUUACAGCCACUUGUUAAGGCAAAUACCUUAAUUAUGAAAACUAUAUCCCACUCUAAACCUUUUGACUGCAAGAGAAUGAAAAAGAAAGACAGUAAGCCAAGAAUGUUUUGUAGAACUCCAAAGGAAGUCCAAUAGGGAAAUCAUCGCAAGUACAAGAGUUAGCGAGGUUCGCAUAAGAGGAUAUCAAAAAGAUCUAUAACCUGAUGAAUAGUAGUCAAAGUGACAGAACUUUGGUUGUCAUGUCUUCGGGAGUGAAAAUUUUCACUCUCCCGCUCAGAUAUGUAGUCGAUGAAUGCUUUGAGUAAAUUAACGCAGCCUUUUUCUUCUGCUACGACUUCUCUCUCCCCUUUUCCCGCAACAAAAUGAGUUGAUAAGAAAUCAGAUACGUCGUCUAGUAGGUACUGAAGAACCUGCAAUGAGAAUAAUCGCAUCACAACAACAGAGUUGGACCAAGAUUUAAGUGACAACAAUGAUUAACUAACUAAAACAGAGAAAUUAUUCAUUUAAGACCUUGUUGACUGAAAAAAGGGUUUUCCAAGCAGCGGGUCAUUUAAGCUUAUUGUAUAAAUGACAAUCAUCACAAACGGCAAACUUACAGAUCUCACGUCAUUGUCUUCAUUCAGCAGUUUUCCUCCCUCUAUAUCAACGACUGCACGUUGCUCAAGACGGUACUUCUAAAAAUUGAAAGUCAAACGAUAAAUGAUUAAGAAGUAUUGAAUAUAAGCAUGAAACGAAGAAAAUGUUAUGGAAUGGUGAUCCUCAUCCUCAAAGAUGAUUAAAAGCAAUUUGAUUCAAAAAUGACAUAUCAACUCUGGAGAAAUGGAAGACAAACCUGUGGUACCAUAUUCGCAACUGAGGUUAUGACAGCUGAAAUCGAUUGUUCCUGUGUGCAUUAAUAAGUGAGACUACCAUAGAGAUUCACAACUAAAUAAAGACAGGUAUUCCACAGAACAACCUUUACCUCUUUGGAAACACAGAUCUAACAAAAACUAUAACAUUUUGGAUUAAUAUUGACGAAUCAAGAAUAAUGCAAGGGAGCAAGAGAUACUCUUCCUUCUAAUAACAAGGAGGUGUGAAAAGUAUACAGAGUUCCAACAAUUAGAGAACUAAAAUCAAACUAAAAAAAUCACCAAAGUAGACAGAAUCUCACUUCGCCAAAAAUUUGAAAAUAUAUCCUUUUUAUCCAUUGAGAUUCAUGAACUACUACUACUACAUCAUGCCAAUAAGCAAUGCGUAAGAGGUGCUACAAUUUACCGAAUAUAUUUACCCUGAGAACAAGUUUUGAAAUCAUCUCUAGUGUUAACAGCACCUUGCGUCCUUGGGUAAGCUGAGUCCUAUUAUCAAGUAAAGAGACCAAUCAGUACAUAUCCAAAAAGAUCUUAAAUGCUUGUAAUACCAAAUAAGAAAGAAACAUGAGUAUAUCUUGAAUUAACCAUGCAAAAAUGUAAUGUUAAAGCAUCUUGUCAUACAGACCUCUUCAAGGUACCAGAAAUUUUUGCACUAAAGAUGUCACAAGCAGCUGAUAUGAAGCUGCAUUUUCUGUGAGUUGAAAUUUUGUCAAUAUAAUCGAUCACCUGAAGAGAGAGAGAGAGAAAAAGACAGUGAUAUCCAGAGAUGUGAGCCUAAAUGCUGAGUGUGUGUAAAAAAAAGAAGAUUAAAUGGAUAGCAAGAAUAUACAACUUUAAUGCUGAAAAGAACAUUGAAUAUGAUGUUCAUUCAUCAUUCCCAUUGAACGUGUACCUUCUUCUUUUCCUCUUUCUCAAAAGCAAGUAGAGCCUUGAAGACUUGCCUAUAUGAUCCAUCAUCACAACCAGGCAAAGUUGUUUUAAUCAUAGCAACAAUGGCUCUAACUACCUGCCAUAAGAAACAUGCUACAUCAACAAGAUCACAGAGUGUACCAGAAACCGUAAUGUAGCAAAAUCUUGGAUAAAAUAGCUGGCCAAAAGGGAAUGGAAAAGCAAGCACGAAAAACAAUGAAAAGGACCAGUGAUGCCAAAAUUCUGGUGGAAAAGGUGAAAAGCUUAUGUCUAUUACAGUUCUUGUAUGCAUUCUUUAUAACUUAAGUUCUACGUAGCAAAAACCACCUUAUGCACAACAAUAUUGGAAAAAUUAGAUACAUACAACUGAGAAGAUAGGUUUUCAUAAUCUGGACAAGUGCUAACUACCUUCUUCCUAUAAACUGCCACUCCAUGAACAUUAAAUGGUAUUUUCCUUUCACGCAAGGCUGUCUGGAAGACUUUUCCUGAUACCUGUAGCAUAAAAUACAAAAGAAAAUGUGACCAAAAUGUCUUAUAUGAUUCACCUCAUUCACAUUAGCACUAAGGCAAGUAAGCUUGACCUGCCUCCGGUAAAGGAUUGCUAUAUUUCCAUAGAAGCACCCUGCUUCUGACCGUUUAGAUGCAGUCUCCAGGAUCUUGUCGACAACAAAGGCACAUUGUGCAUCCUCAUUGUGACUUUCCUUGAUAAUUACCUACAUUUUGCCAGUAAAACCAGUGUCACUAACUAAAAGGACUGAAAAAUGACAUCAAAUUGUACUUGUUGGAGCAAGGAAAGAUUAAGUACCUUAGACCCAGAAGAAUUGUCCGUGUCAACAUUCUUUAGUUGGCAUCGCUUCUUAUUGUUUUUUAUAACAGAAGAUGCAGCUUCCACAAUAUAGCGUGUGGACCGAAAGUUUUUAUUAAGCCUAAUCUGAACCAUAAAGUUAUGUCAAAUCCCACAGAACCCCAUAAAAUAAAACUUACUUUCCUGUAAUUGUACAAUAUAUUUGUUCUAUACUAUAUAUAAUGAAAAAAGACACUGUGAAUGACAUAAGAUAACAUAGCAGUCAAGUGCGAAGCGAACCUCUUUGUAAUUUGAAAAAUCUUUACGAAAAGAAUCAAAUCCAGAAAUGUCCGCCCCAUUGAAACUGAAAAUGGACUGCAGCAGGAUAUAUGUUAUUUGAUUUAGAACAGAUAAGGGCUGGAUUAGAAUGAGCUGAGAGAGAGAGAGAGAGAGAGAGAGGGAGAGAGGGAGAGAGGGAGCAAUAACAUUGGAUUUCCAUAAUAAAUCAACAACAUGCCUGAUCAUCAUCACCAACAAUGGUUAUGUGGUUAUGAGAGGCGAGAAUCCGCAAAAGACUAUAUUGCAUAGCACUUGUGUCUUGAAACUCGUCUAUUACAAUAGCUUUCCAUGACUCCUGGCACUCCUUCAACACUAAUUAAGAGAACACCAUGUAUCAACAUUUAGCAUUACUUGUAAAACUAGAUAAAUCAAUGAAAUAUACUUAGAUGAUAGAGACCUUCAGGAAAAUCACUUAGCUUAGCAGCUUCACAGAGCAGCUAAUUAAGUCGUGGUAGUCCAAAGCGUUGCACGAUUUCAAGAUAUCAUUGUAAUUCCUAAGAAUUUCACCCUGAUUCAGAUUGAGAGCUAAAACUCAUAAGCAAUAGUUUCAAAGAACUGAAAUGAUAUCUGAAAUUCUAGUUCUGAGCGUACUCCUGUCACAUCACCCAUUCUUCGGCAUUCAGCGGGAGUCUUUCCAGAAGCUUUUGCCUGAAACAUAAAUAAAUUUAUUGCCUAAUGCCACAUAUUGUAAGACACACCAUUGUAUUGGUCAUUCUAGCUUGAUUGUAGCUAAUAUUUUUUAAAUCGAAUGAUUAGAGUUCUUAAUCCACAAUAAUCUGAACAUUAAAUUUCGUAUUCAAGACUAACCUGUGUCACAAACUUCAGCCAUUUCUUUGAUGCAUCCUUAAAAUGAUGUGGAGAUGUUACGCCGUUAGACUCUUCCCCAUCUAUAGCAACAUUAAGAUUCGUUUUACUCUUUUCAUCUUCUGAUAACCGCACAGCUUCAAUGAUUGCUCUUCUCUGUUGCCCAUGUCCAUAUAUCAAAAAUUCUGGUCUGCGCUCGAGUCUAAAACACAAGCCAACAUAACAGACUCAGCUGUACCACCAUAUGUAUGGUGUUCAAAAUCAAGGGAGGUGAAUCAAUAGCUUACUUCUCAGCAUGUGAUCGGCAAAGUUGCAAUGAAAAUGAAUGCAAUGUACUGAUUGUUAGUAGUUUUGCCGUUGCUUUCCCAGUCACAGAUCCAAUUCGAUCUCUCAUCUCGGAAGCUGCUGCUGUAGUGAAAGUCAUUGCUAGAAUGUUCGACGUGCUGAUGCCCUAAGAACACAAAAAAAAAAAAAACGAAUAAGAUUUCGAUCAUAAACAAGAAAUGUAGAGAAACACACAAUUAUGAAAGAAAAAGUUAGGGGGAAGUAGCAACACCUCAUUGAGCAGCAUUAGAACGCGCCCAACAAUCAUCAAAGGUACUGAAAUAUCGCUGCAAGCUGCCUCGCGCUGCCUUUCGUUGAGAGAAAGCUAAUACUUCAAAUACUCAUCCGGCAUGUUAGGCAAUCCAUGGUUAACGGAAUCCGUUUGGUUUUCACUACUCAAAGGCGGCGCUGAUGCGGCACGAACGUCACUACCACAACUCCCAAUAUCAUCACGCUGAAUGUCCACACUUGGUUUCUGCUCAAUUAAAGCGUCAAUUUCCUGCAAAAUACUCUCAUCGAAAUCAUCAUCGUUAAGAAUUCCAGAUGCAGAGAAAGAAUCAAAUGAAGUCAGAAACUGAUGUCUGAUUGGAGUUGUGAAAGAAUCCGAUUUUGACACGCUUGAUUCUGUCCGGCUAACGCUUAAGCUCCCGGAACACGAAGCACUGCCAUAUUCACCACGCGCUGAAUUGUACCGGCUUGCGGAAAUCGGAGGCGGUGUUCUUUGAACUCUAUUGAGCUGAGUUGGCGUUUGGAUUCCAUUUCCGCCACAGAUUCUGGAAUUUGAAAAACACAAUUGAAUUGAUUUAAAUUGAAGCAAGAAAACAGCCGAGUAGCCAAAAAAUAGUAAGAAGAUGAAACCUUUGAUUCCUGAACGACUUACUUGGUAUGAGGGAGGUGAUGAUCAGGUGAAACGGCGUCGUUGCGGGGGCGUUUGCGAUCAAUGAGGGCCUUGGCGGCUCUGAAAUUCCGAGAGAUGCGGUUUCUUUGUUCCGCCGUGAGCCCUCCGCCGUACGCCUGAACGUUUUCCUUGGACAUUGCUUCGAAGAUUCCAACGGAGGAUUUGGCCUGACGGCCUGACCAGGCUGAUAACAGUGUAAAACCUUAGGAGCUAAGGAAAAACUAAGAGAGAGAUCGUAGAGAGGGAAAGUUUUUUCUUUUUGGAAACCAGUAGAGAGGAAAAGUUUGUUAAACCUGAAUAAUAUUCUUUUGGCCUAAUCGGAUAAAUGGUCCCGUGGUCAUAAGGUAUUCGGAUGAUAGGCCUGUGGUAAAAAAAUUCAGAUUUAAACCCCUGUGGUCUAAAUCUGUUAGGAUUUAUGCCCUUUUGUUAAAUAAUGCUGACGUGGCUGCCACAUAUAUGCCACGUGGCUGCCAAAUGUCUGCCAUGUGGCAAAAAUAAUAAUUUUUAAUUUUUUUUUUUAAAACCUGAAUUUUUACAAAAAAAUAAAAAAUAAAAAACCCAGUCCGGCGAGGGGGGGAGCUGGUCUCUGGCGGGAGGAAGAAGAAGAAGAAGAAGAAGAAGAAGAAGAAGAAGAAGAAGAAGAAGAAGAAGAAGAAGAAGAAGAAGAAGAAGAAGAAGAAGAAGAAGAAGAAGAAGAAGAAGAAAGAAGAAGAAGAAGAAAAGAAGAAGAAGAAGAAGAAGAAGAAGAAGAAGAAGAAGAAGAAGAAGAAGUCGCGCGGGGAGACCGGCGGGAAGAAGAAGAAGGAAGAAGGAGAGGGAGGAGGGUCGCGCGGGGAGAGGGCUCCGGCGGGGGGGGGGGGGGAGCUGGUCUCCGGCAAGAAGAAGAAGAAGAAGAAGUCCAGCGGGGGGGGAAGGGCGAAGGGCGGGGGGAGCUUCUGGGUUUUUUUUUUUUUUUAAAUUCAGGUUUUUUAAAAAAAAAAUUAAAAAUUAUUAUUUUUGCCACGUGGCAUAUAUGUGGCAGGCACGUCAACAUUAUUUAACAGAAGGGCAUAAAUCCUAACAGACUUAGACCACAGGGGUUUAAAUCCGAAAUUUUUUACCACAGGGGCUAUCAUCCGAAUACCUUAUGACCACGAAAACCAUUUAUCCGAUUAGGCCUAUUCUUUUCAUUCAACUUGUCUACAAUAAUUACUAUUGGAUAAGUAUAUAGGCUGUGUCAUUACUACUACACGUGCAAAACAUGUGCACAUAUGGCUUACUAGAUAGAAUAGUAUAAAUACCUUUUCCUUUCCUUUAUUUUGUAAGAGGUUGUAAUACCUAAAACAGUUAGAGAAAUAUAUUGUAAUUCUUUCUGACUUCUCCUCUAAGCUUCCUUCUUCAGUGUAUUUCUUAAUUUCUAUGGAAUUCAUCUCUACUGUUAAGAUGGUAUCCAGAGUCGUUCUUGCUUGCGCAAUGGUACUGGUUCAUCGUUUCCAUUGCUUCGACUGGUAAGAAGGUGAUAUUGCUUAUGGGCUUUGUCUCUGGAUAUUUGUUCUUUGCGUUGGAAACCCUAAAAGAGUUUAGUGUUCUUCUUCUGAAAUUUCGUUUGAAUUGAAGUGUAAUUGAAGGCCGAUGCCAUAGUUUUUUGGUUAAUUGAAGAGUUAUAUGUUGAUUUGAUGAAAGGCCGAUGCCAAAAUUUGUUGAGAAUUUUCAAUUUCUUGAAGUGAUUUGAGUUGAUUGAAGGCCGAUGCCAUAGUUUUUUGGUUAAUUGAAGAGUUAUAUGUUGAUUUGAUGAAAGGCCGAUGCCAAAAUUUGUUGAGAAUUUAGUUUCUUGAAGUAAUUGAAUAGAUUCAAGGACGAUUGCCAUUGUUGGAGUAUAUAUGUGAUUCUUGCUUCUCUGCGAUCGUAGAGUGAUUGUCUUCGUAGUUGGAAAUCAGAUUUGCAAUUCUUGUUCAUCUGGAGUUAUCCACCGAUAUCAUUAACAUAUAAUAAGAGAACAAUAAUUGAUGAACCAUCACACUUGACAAAUAAAGAAGGAUCUGCAUAUGAUGACUUGAACCCAAGCUUAGGCAAAUAACCUGAAAACAUGUCAUGCUAGGCUCUGGGAGCUUGCUUGAGACCAUAUAAAGACCUCUCCAGUUUGCACACAUAAUCUGGAUAGGUAGAAUCCACAAACCCUUAGGGCUGAGACAUAAAAACUUAUUCCUCAAGAAAGCCAUGCAAAAAAGCGUUAUUGACAUCUAACUGUAUGAGUUUCCAAUUAUGAGAUGCAGCCAACGAUAGAACCAAUCGAACUAUGGUUGGUUUGAUCACAUGGCUAAAGGUUUCAUAAUAGUUAAUACCAACUUCUUGAGAAUACCCCUUAGCUACAAGUCUAGCCUUGUACCUAGCCACUGAACCAUCUGGAUUUCUUUUAAUCUUGUAGAUCCAUUUACAACCAACAAGAUUUUUGUCAGAUGGUAAGGGCACAAGCUUCCAAGUACGUUGUUGAAUCAAAGCAUCCAUCUCUUAUUUCAUGGCAUUUUGCCAUUGAACACACUUGAUUGCACUAGAAAAAGACUUAGGUUCCUUGAUUUCAGAAGCCUGAUCCACCUUAGCAGAAAACACCUUCUUUUUCAUAAUCCUAGACUUAGACUGGGUUUGCAUGGGAUGACAAUUUUGAGCAUUGAUACACACUAGUUGGAGAUCAUCCACUUGAGACAUUGUAGUAUUUGGAUGAUCUUUUGAAUACACAGUAGGCAAAACCUCUGAAGAAGGCACACCACUUGUGGAAUAAGAGACAAGAUCACCAGAACUAGUGGGUUGAGAGGAUGAUGACUGAGUAACAUGCCGUGAUUUAGAGGUAAGAGAAGUGGGACCAAUAAAUGGAAAUGUGGAAGAAACACUAGGUGGAUGAAUGAAUGUGUUUGAAUGCACAACAGACACUGGUGAGGAAGAAUGACCAGAAGUAACUUGAGGAUUGAAACCCAAAGCAUUAGAGUCUGUAGGAAACUUGGAUUCAUAAAAAAUAACAUGUCUAGAUACUAACAGUUUCUGAUCUUUGAGAGAGAAGCAAAUAUACCCUUUGUAUUGUGUAGCAUACCCCAGAAAAAUACACUUAGUAGUUUUAGGUUCAAGUUUAGUGCUUCUAUAGGGUUUCAAUGAAGCAUAACAUAAACACCCAAAAAUUCUCAAAUGAUCAAGCUUAGGUGGAGAUUUAUAUAGCAUUUCAAAAGGAGACUGCAUAUGUAGGGUAGGUGUGGGCAUUCUGUUUAUAAGAAAAGUAGCAGUGGCACAGGCAUGGAACUAGAAUUUUGAAGGUAAUGAAACUUGUUGUAAAAAGGUAAUAGCUGUUUCAACAAUAUGUUGAUUUUUUCUCUCAGCUAACCCAUUAUGGUAUAGGGUAUAAAGACAAUAUUUUUGAUGAACAAUGCCUUUGGUAAGAAGAAAUUGCUUAAACUGAGUACUAACAUAUUCCCCACCCCUAUCACUUUGCAAAAUUUUUACAUGAGCAUCAAAAUAAAUCGAGACAAAAGUAAGAAAGUUGACAAAAACAGUGAACACUGCAAUUUUAUUAUUUAAUGGAAAAAUCCAAGUAUAUCUUGUACAUUCAUCAAUGAAGGAAACAUAAUACUUGUAACCUUCUAUAGACAGACUAGGUGAGGGACCCAAACAUCUAUGUGAAUUACUUUAAAUGGAGUAAGUAACUUCGAAGCAAUUACAGGAAAAGGGAACUUGGUAAACUUGCCUUGCAAACAAGCUUUACAAGUAUGAGAUUGAGAGUUACAAGGAAAAGAUAUACAAGACUUAUCAAGUGUUGCAGUGACAAUGGAAUGUGCAGGAUGACCUAAUCGACAAUGUCACAAUGUAGAAGAAAUCUUUUAUCCCACAAAUGCAACUGGAUUAAAAACAGGAGAAAUAGACCUCUGUGGUUUGAUUAUGGGAAGUGGAUAGACAACAUUAUUACUCAGCCCUUGGAAUAGCACUCUCCCGGUGACCUUGUCCUGUAGAUAGAGAGAAACAUCAUUAAUGAUACAACGACACUGAUUAUCUUUGCACAACUGAUUCAUAGAUAAUAAGUGUUGUGACAGUUUUGGAACAUGUAACAUAGAGUUUAACUUGAAAUUAUGUGACUUAGUGAGAAGAGAAGAGGAACCAAUAUGUUUGAUAGCUAAACCUUCACCACUAGCACUGGUCACAAUAUCAUUUGAUGGAUAAAUUUGUUGCCAUGUGCAAGUUUGACAAAUCUGAGGUCAUAUGGUCCAAGUCAAGAAACCAGAAAUCUUGUUGAAGAGUUGAGGAUGAUGCACCAGCUCGUGCUUGCAUAGCAAGAUGAAGAUUUUGUGAGGAUGUAGUUGAGAGAUAUGGUAUGACAAGAUACUAAAACUGGGAGCUAUUAGACUGUGGAAUCAUGCCUUGUGAAGGACCACAUGGAUUCUAGCUAGGUGCUUCACCAUAUAACCCAGUAGGCAUUGGAGUUGGCAUAGAUGAGGAUAAACCCUGAGAGAAAUGCUCUGAUGUGCCUGUAAAAUUCUUAUUCCAAUCAAAGCAAGUAGCAGCAACAUGGUGACAAAUUUGACAUCCAUGUUGAAAACAAUUCAAUGCAGAAUGACCUUUGCGAUCACAUAUUUGCAGAAUGACCUUUGCAACCCUAGAAAGAAGAAGGAGUGAAGAAGACCAAAUGUGUACGUUUCUCUUUGAUUGUUUUUCCCUCCUAAUCGCGCAGUUCGAAAUCACGGACCUCGGGCCUCGGCCUAGUGGGCCCAAUUAUGAGGCCCAUUAUCUCCGGUCUUCUCGUUCUACUUCUAGUUACCCAAAUUAAGAACGUACUGGUUCGCUUUUAGCGCGAGAGAGAAAUGGAGGCCCUGAUUGCCUCGUACGGAGACUCGUCGUCGGGCUCAGACUCCGAGUCGCCGGCUCCACCUUCACCACCACCUCCGGAGCUCAACAACCCUCAAGAACCGACCCCUGCGCUGCCUCCACCUCCUCUUUCACUUCUCGACAGCCCCAAUUCCUUCGGUAACCUCUGAUUCCCAUCAAUUUCAUCUUUUAGCUUUCUGCUGUGAUGGCUUUUUCCGAGUUGCCCACCAAGUGUUUGAUGUUUUGCCUCUGAAGGAUUUCUGGACUUAUCGGCAAGCGCCCAGCCGAGCAGAGUUCGGAACUUUCCUCACGUCGAAGGGAACUACGCAGUACAUGUAUACAUCCCAGGUUAUCAAAAUUCUCGAAAUUUUCAGCUCCAUUAGCAAAUGCGAUCGCUUUGCACUUAGUUUUUGCUUGUUUAAUUGUGUGGUUCCAGUUUAUAUACCACCAGCACCAAGGAAAGAGAUGGCCUUGUUUUUGAACAAGCUAGCUUCUCUGGUGCCUGGUCUCCAUGCGGUUGACGUUGACUUCCCGCUUGACAUUCUGCGUAAGGACGAGCACAAGCUUGAACAAGUUGCUUUAGGCAGAGAGUUCCAUAUAAGUCUCGGAAGAACUGUUCCGAUUCGGGUGCACCAGAUUGAUUCCUUGGUGACAAUGCUGCGGCAGAAGCUUCAGAUUCAGAGGCGGUAUGGUUACAUUUACAUUCUCUUGUCCGCAUUGCGUGAAGUUAGUUCUGUUAUUUAACAUAAUUCUGUAAGCCUGCAAAUUUUUUGUCCAUUUUCGGUUUAACACAUUUUGUUAUUGUGAAACAGGUAUUGGAUUGAUUUUAGCAAGUGGGAGGUUUUUGUUAAUGAUGAUCAGACCCGGACCUUUGUGUCUAUCGAAAUCAUUGCUGCUGGGUUAGCUGAGGUAUGAUUGCUAGCUUUCUCUCUUGGUGCAAUUCUAAAUGUUUUCAGUUGUUAUAUGGGCUUAAGAUUUAGUAAGUACUUGCCGAAGGUCAUGGGAUUUUGAAAUAUUGAUAUCUUGCUUGCUUAUUAGCUUAGAUUUGGUCUUCGAUGCACUUGUAACAUGAAAAACACAAACGAAAACUAAUGCAUGAUAUGCUCAUGGUUUUAACAUGUGUUGUCCUGGCGUAAAUCAUGUUCCUAAUCCUGUCAUGUGAGUAUAAGCCUAUGAUACUUAGGGCAUGUUUGGCGGGCCGGACAAGAUUGGAAUUGGUAUUUCAGACUAGUUAGGUUAGGAUUGAACUGGAUAGGAUAGGUUUUUGGUCUAAAGAUUGGUGUAGACUGUCUUAACGAUGGGAUUUAAAACGUGAAACAGAUCUGCGACAUCCCAACGAUGACCCGCCCACCCAACAACUCUGCUCGUGACUUGCAACACCUCUCGUACCCUCCACGCCCCUUGAGGCCCGUCAGACCACUCUGAUAUCCUGGAGAGGUGAAACGUGGUUACUAGAAGCAUACCUGUUUUCGUAUUAAUGCACGGUUGAAGCAGCUUUCAUUGUCUACAAGUCUGAAAUAUUUCAACUUCCAUUGAUUUCAGAUAACAAAGCAGAUUCAAGCUGUGAAUGAGGUGUAUAAGCUUUUUCGUGUUUUUCAAACUCGAAAAACAAGAUUGUGCCUGAAUACUACUCAUUGCUCAAAAAACUAAAUCACUUCAUGGGGUGUUGGUGAUCACAGGAUCCGCGCCCUCACAUCUCGGUAGCUUGGGCAUUGGGUGACAUCAGCAAUUCCCUGAAGAAAGUGGUUGAAGAAGAAAGACGAAGAUCUACCAUCGGAGGAUCGUUACAGAAAUGUAUUUUUACCAGUAAAUUCAAUGGUAUCGAAUGUAGGAUUGGUAAUAAGACACAAAAUAUGUAAAUUUUCUGAACAAUAAUGUAGCCAUUUAACUGUAUCGUGAAAUUCCGAGAAUAUAUCGCUGAGCAUUGGAUGAGAAGACAUUUCUUUGUUGGUGUCGAACUUCUUGUCGAAGGUAUUGGCACCAGUGUAAACGUCAUCAUCCAUGUUGAUGGUAAUUACUUCCCAGCUACCAAGGGUGUCGGAACAACCUUGCACGCAGCCUCCUGUGCAUUACUUAAUAUUGUCUCAGUUUCUCCAAACUUGAAUGCUCCUGUAAACCCACUCUUGACCUUUCCGUCAUCUGCAAUUACAGGAAAGCUGGCUAGGAUGUUGCCGUUAACCUACCUAACUGGCUAGGAUGUAGCCGUCAUCUCCAAACUUAAAAGACCGGAAAGCCGGCUCCAAACCUCAAUGUGCUACUAGUUUUUGUAUGCGAGAGCUCCACCUCCAUUGUUGUAACAGCAUCUGAUGCGGACUAGUCCUUCAUUCCCGUUACUCUUUGCUAUCUCCACUUCAAACUUGGCGUAAUGGCUCCCGGCCGCCUCUCCGGUGAAAUUGAGAAACCCUGGGAAACCCUGGAGCUAGGCGUUUUCAUUCUGUUGUCCGUAUAUCUUGAUAUUACAAGUAUUUGUUGUGCAAAAUGCAAGCUAAGUUCAAGUUAUGUUUAUGUAUGUGUGUGUGUGUGUUGUCACUUCGCCACUUUUCCAACGUUUUCUCCAAAAUUGUGAUUUUGGUGUUGUUCUAACUUUGGUGAAUGCUAAUAACAAUUCCCUCGUUAACCAUUGGGACGAGCAACAAGGCAGUUUUGAUUCCGUGCACAACGGCGAUACCUCGAAAGAAAUUGAUUCUUCACCAGAAAGAUGUUUUAAAACAAAGUUGAACAGUUGAUGUAUACAGACGUUCCUUGCUUAUGACACGACUUAUGAGAGGAUGUAUGUAUUGCAUUUGCAUCAAAAGAAAGAAAGAAGGUUGUAAGUGGUAAGGGAACGACUACCGAUGCCGCUCCACUUCUAAUCAAAGGGAUCGAUCCGAGGGUCGUGUUCACUUGCCAUCGCUAUUCCAGUGCAAAGGCAUGUCGGGCACAUUACCUGCCACAUUUACGGACGCAAUGUUAGAUAUAGCUGCCAUUUGGAAGUCAUCUCUCAAAAUUUUGCUACUAAAUUAAUCUUAAACGUCAUUUCCAGUGCAAUUUUUUUCUUCUGAAUUGUCUUUCACAUGCCCGACAAAUAAAAGUAUCACCAAACAUGUGAAUAUAGUGCAUCUAAGCGGCAGGCACUAAAAGGAAUUUAGUAUGCAAUAAACAUUCAACGGACAUAAUUAUAUGUCUAACCUUUCCCGCUCCUGAGCAAUUUGAACAUCGUUCAGUUUUUGGCAGAGAUAGGGGUUGGUUUCCGCCAUCAGCUGUCGAUAAUGGUUCAGUAAGAACAAGGGUUCCAGUGCUGGAGCAACGAGCACAAGCAAGAUAUCCUGCGUAAGUAUCAAAUACACAGGUAAGUUGACAUAUGAAACCAAUCCGAACAUCUCCAUCGUAUAUAUUUAAAGCUACAGUACAUAAAACUAAAAGUCAGAAAUAGAGGACAUUAUCACACCAGUUCCAAGACAAUAUUUGCAUCGUUUAUGCUCCUGCUGUUUCGCAUUGUUUAUUUCAACUACCAUCAAUGCUGAGAUCACUCCAACUGCUCCUCCAGAAAACGACGCCACUAUGGGAUCAACUUGACUGCAGUUUGAAAGUAUAGGAGAUCAAUAAACGAAACUGGUAACAACAUGGUAUCAACAUUAUUUAGCUUCGUUUCAAGAUAGCUGACAUCCUGGGUUUUUCUAAUGUGUAAAAAUUGAGGAUCCUUGUAAAAUUUGACUAUAUCAGUUCCCAAAGUAUUUGAUUCCUAUGUUACAGACCGAAAACAGUAACAAUUGAAUUUUUAGAUUCAUAACACGAUAGAUGGUACAAAAUUUCAAAACGAUAAUUACUAGAGAACAGGAGGGCUAAUAGCCUGAGAUAUGAGCCAUACCUCAACUGCAACGGCAGAUGCAUAUUUACUAUAAAAUCUUUAUACGAUGUGCCUCCUAUUCCAAGCUUCAACUCCAACUGAAAGAUGUAAACGUAAUUGUCGGCAGAGAGUUAGAAACAUAACCGAAUCCAUGUUUUAUAAGCAGAAACUACACUUAUUUGACAUGUUUCCUCGUUUUUUUACUUGCAAAUUCAAAACCGUAUUGUCGGACCAGUAAAAUAAAAUAAUGUUUACUAAUAACUGUUAAAACUAAUCACAACAAGUUAAUGCAUAAAGAACUUACGGAGGGUGCUAUGAGGCCACCGAAAAGGAUAAACCCCGCAAUAAUUGAAUAACAUACAGCAUAAUACUGCUUAAGGUUGUCUGAACUCUGCAACCAAUGCAUUCACCUUGUGAUUAAUACUUUGCACAAACACUAGUUUUCGCAGUUUUUUAUGAACCGACAAAAGGCUACAACAAAAUAUGGCUAAAACAAGUCCGGGAUAUGAAAAUACAUGUCUUCACAGGGUCAGCAGCUUACCAGGGGAGGCAAAAAUGGAAUGAAUGAUGGAAAACUAGGAAGUUCGUUUUCUUGAUCUUCAUUUACCGCUCCAAGCUCUGCGCGUUUAAUCCGCUGUUGUAUCCUCAGCCUGCGAACCUUCGCAUAUCGAAGCUCAUUCUUAAAGAACACAUUUCUAAUGGCAAUUGGAGAGUAAUUUAAAACAUGCUAAACUGAGAAAGUGGCAGCAACUAGCAAUUGCUCUCACCUCCUCCAUAUGCAAGAAAAUUUUGUUGCGCCGACUCCGAAUAUUAUCUUGAAUUUCUUGCAGCUCCAUUGUGGCAAAGUCCUGCACUGUUUCAGGCCCCUCUAUGAUACAAAAUCUGCACAAUUAAGCAUGUAAAAACUAAAAAUUACAGGCUAAAAAAGCAAUUUCCGUAUCAUUGCUCGGUUAAUUAACAUCAACAGCAGAUAAAUCACAUGGGUUUUUCAAAUGAAGUUACAAACUUUCAAAGACCAGUAAGCUGUCUGCAAUCUCAUAAAUUUCACAGUGCAAAGUAAAAAUCCAAAGCUUGGAACUUUAAAUUUCCAUUUUCUGUUAAUUUCCUAGAGAGAGGGGGGGUGGUACCCGGCGGGGUUUGUAUCGGCGGCGGGAUUGGGAUCAGAAUCGACAGACGGAGCGAAAGAGGAGGAGUCGGGCUCCGAAGCCAUGGCCAGGGAUCGCCAUCUGGAGCUGCUUGUUGAUAUGGGGCUUCUUGGGUAGCUGAAUUUGGAGCAGCCGGCGCUAUGCAGUUUGUACGGACUGCACCGAUUUACGGGGAAAGACACGGCCAAAAGUCUGCCGCAGCAGAGCAUCUCUCUCUCUCUCUCAAACCAGAAGGCAGAGCUUUCUGUUUCUCUUGAGGUUUCUUUCACUGGUAAAUUCCAGAGAAGCAGAGAAGAAGGCUCUCUGAGAAAUGGAGGCAAAACAAAUGUAAAUCUUGAAGCACCGACCAUGUGCAGAACACUUAUCAACUACCGAACUCUAGGAUUUUUAUUUUUUGGUAAACUACCGAACUCUACGAUUAGGAGAGAAACAAGGGGAGAGAGAGUGAGUGACCGGAAAAAAAUAAAAAAUAAAAAAAAUAUGGAGGGAAGUGGCUGAUUCUUCUCUCAUUUUUUCCUAUUGUUUUUCAGAAAAAAAAAAAUAAUAAUAGUAAUUAGUCGUUAGAUUCGAGUAGUCGUUCGGUAUGUCACAUUUAAAAUUUUAUUAUAGGAAGCAUAAGGUUAGGCCAUCUCCAAUCGAAUUAGGUCUGAAAGAUCAUGUUUAUCCUUAUAGUUUUGCAAGAAAUUAUAUUUUAAUAAACAAUGCAUGUCAUAUUUUAUACCAUCUCUAACCGGGGGGCCAAAGAAUCAUGGGCCAAACAUAGCCCUUUGACAAUAAACGCAUCUCCAACCGAGAGGGCCAAAAUGUCAUAGACCAAAAAUAAUCCCCUAAAGAAUUUAUUAUUUUAAUUGAAUUAAUAUAGUUAAUUAAAUUAAACUACCGUAUUAAAAUAAGGUUUUCUGACAUAUUUUGAGUGCCACUUGCCACAAUAACGAAGAAAGCGUGGUAUUGUUGCACUUGCUAUAAAGUCAAGCUUGACAUUCUGCCGCUGGAGAACUGGUUGGCUGACUGGAAAUGGCCAACCCGUUGGCUUGAUUUGGGGGUUUUGGCCAGAUGGGGCCCAACAAGCCAUUUGGCCUAGCCUUGCUUGAAGACGGUUUUCUUGUCAUUCCAAGCUAUUUUUAGCCCUAUGACCAUUUGAUUUGAUCGGUUGGAGAUGACUUUAGGUGCGGUGAUUGUCCUUGAGAUAUCGAAGGUUCUGUGUGAUCGAAUACUUCGUCCUCCUCCAAAGCCGCCACUGUUGAGAAGGUUACUUGCCUUAUGCAAACAUUAUGAAUUGCAAGUGAUGAAUUGUUCUGAUGAUAAGGUUUAUUUUUUAACUCAUUAUGUUUCGAGUUUAAACAUUUUUCCCUCUCUUUAAUGUAUAUAUUAAUGAAAUAUUGUUCGUAAUAAAAAAAUAAAAAAAUGAUACAUUCUCAUUCAUAUAUAAGAUGAUCAAGUCUGAAAUUAUUACUUUUAAUGAGUGACUUAGUUAACCAUUUUCAUUUCUUAUGCGUUCAAAAUUAGACAAAUUCUUUGCAAACAUUAAAAAAAAAAAAAGAUAUUAAGGAGACUUUGAAACUAUUACAUUAUGGGAGGGGGAAUUUCGAACUCGGGACUUCUGAGUAGAACCCAAAUGCUUCUCCACUAGGAUAUUAGACUAGUGCCGGUCCUGAAUUUUUUGGUGCCUGGAGCGAAUAAUGUGCCCUUUUCCAGUACAACAACAUAAAUUAAAAAGAAAUAUUUAAAGAGGGCUGGAACCCAGUCGAAGCUGGGGGGCUAGGCCCUCACGCCCAUAUUAUAUUACUUUUAAGAAUAAACAUACAACUGGGGGAACAUAGUAUCGAAAUCCCGACGAUCAAAAGCAAAAUAUAUACAACCACUCCAAGCAGUCAACAUGGCCAUCACAUAUUGAAUCCAAAAUGUCAACGCCCCAUUGGCUGCAUAUAAAGUACAAACGAGCGGCAACUUCAGCCAGUUCUGCGAUAUCCGGCUGGAUGAGAGCAGCUAAAGACAUGAUUGUUCCCUAAUAACAUGAAUAAAUUGAGUAAACACCAAAAGUAGCAGCAAGGGAAGGAGAUGUGAAGUAGAUGAAGAGAUGUAAGAACUGUGAAUGUCCAGCAACAAAGACUUCGGAGCUUGUUGUCGAAUACCUGCAGCGCAUCAUUUCUGGUAGAUCAAAUACAACCAAGUCCUGCCAACUCCAAUUCCAAAAAUCCUACAGUAUAGCAUAAAUCUUAUUCUCUUCUGAUAAAGAUGUGUGUCCCUACCCAUAAAUCGAAACCUUCAUCUGCAAGGACGAAUCCCAUUUAUUCUUCUGAAGAAUUUAAGAACCAUGAACCACCUGGUCAAGAUCAAGAAAAGCCAGUAACCAAUUACAAUUGAGUUUGAAGCAAAUUAGAGCCAAAUUUAAAAUGUAUCCGAUGGAUGUUCAUCAAUUUACACAAUAGUUAGUUUCAAGAAAGGAAAUUUCAACAGAACCUGAAAACUUCAGAUCAGGGGGCACCAAAUAGUGAGCUACACAUUCAGAAUUUGAAAUAUUUCAAAUCAACUUGGUGGGGCCAAUAUGUUGAAAAAAUUGGAAGGAGCUAUGAAAGUAAGGCUUUUCGCUAAUCAGGCGUCUAGAGAAUCAAUAUUUUACUCACGUAUCAGUUACGGGGAACACUCCCCACCAGAGCAAUCUCAUUAGUCCUUCACAUCUCAAACGGCACAGAAAUUGCACUAACAAACACGACUCCUAUUAGUCCUUCACAUCUAAAAUCCAGGAAGUACCCAUCUUUCGUCUGAAUCUGGAAAAUAAGCAGAGCACUCAAUUUAACAAUCUGGGUAUCUCAAAGUUACUCACUUUAAUCACAAAUUUAACAAUUAAACAUAUAAAUGGGCAUUUUUUUAGUGAAAUAUUAGUAUCUUACUCACUGUGUGCUCGGAGCAAGAGUACCCGGAAAGCUCAAUGAGCUGUGCACAGAGGACUGCAGCGGUGAACGACAGCGACCGAUUCUGUAAAAUUCAGUCAAGUUUUCGGCAAUUUCUGCAGCGAUUUCGGAGUUCAAGAGGCUGAUAAGGAAAGCUGCGACUGAAGGACACUGGUCUGGAAGAAAGGCUCUGGUCACCGCUGUCGCAAUUUGUGAAGGAAGAAGUGCCCCAAAACAAUUUCGGCCCUGAACAGAUGCACUGUUUGCACUGGACCAGGGCCGGCACUGGCGAUAACGUCCCCCAAACAGUACAUAUACAGAUGCUAGAAAUAAUAAAUGUCACCUGAAACUACUAGAACCAUUCAAUUCUAGCGUCUACAGCUUUAGCAUUAGUUGGUACAAGGGACAUUCUUCUAAAGAGGGAGAUGAACUCGUUGAGGCUCUUAUUUAUUCCUCCUCUUGAGGUGUCCUUUUAGGCUGCUAAUUCCAGACGAUCCAAUCUCAUACAUCUUCCCUGCAAAAGCAUGUGUGCCAGACUUCAAGAUCAAAAUUUUCCAACAAAAGAAACUUAAAGAUCAAACUCGCCUGCGGAAUAAAUGGUGCACAAGGGUGUUAAAAAUGGUGCACAAGGGUGUUAAAAUCUUGACAUAUGUAUAUUUUUGGCAGAUUUUAUGUGAGCAUGCAACUAAAACUGGCAUAACAGUUUGAGUUGUAACUUCUCCAUUGUAUUUGUUAAGGCAAGACGGAUGUCAUCUAUGCAUUUUUCUGUAAAACUUAGAAGGCUGCAUAGCAGCUCUUGUUCGUUGUAUUGAAUACCGUGGUUUAACCGAUGAAUGCAGAGUUUGCUGAUGAUUCAUACGACAAGCAAUUGAAAAUCCCCAUCAUUUACACAAAUUCAGAGCAUUCAUCCACUGUAAUUUGCAGAUAUAGAAACGUCAAGAUAAAAGGAAAUGCAAAGUACCUUUCACCCAAAUUGGAAGAGCACCGGUGGCAUUAGCAAGUUAGCAACGGGAAUUGACAUACCAAUAUCUUCACAGUUUCUGCACAAGCACAAAUCAAAAGAAUUGUGGAUUUCAAAAUAUGCGGCCGUGGCUAGCCGUCUGACCACGCCAAUUCCACCAAAGCCGCCGCAACGCGGCGUAGUGUCCGAUUGAUUGCUUCAAAACAGAGCUUCGUAUCCAUGUGUUUAUCAGCAGAGAGUACCCAAAACCCCUGAAAAUUAUUUCUUUAUUCAGAUAAUAAAAUUUCCCAAAUUUCAAAUUUUAAUUCCGAACCAAAAAUAGGAUUUGAAUUUUGAUUACCUAGAAAUGGGGGGGGGGGGGGUUGGGGUGGAGAGGGACUCAGGCCAAGACAGAGCUAUGUGUCUGUGAUAAGGUGUGCCAAAUUACAGAGUGUGUCGGGAAGAUGUACAAGGCUUUUGCAGUUUCUCAGAUUUAAAUACCGAAGCCCCGUAAGCUGUUCAAUCCAGGGGGAAAGCUCUUUGAUAGAUGUUCCAUCCAAGAAAAGAUAUCUUAAUCCUUCCAUAUUUUCUUCAAUGCUUGGAAACACCUCAAAUUUUGUAGAACCGGAAAGAGAGAGAGAGACAAGGGACUUGAGCUGAGAAAUGCUGCUCGGAAGACUCUUAAGUUCCACGCAAUAUUUCAGGCUUAAAUAACUCAACCCCGUGAGAUUAUUAAUUGACAGCGGUAGUUCUUUAAUUUUUGACCCGGAUAAAUCAAGCUCUUCUAACUCCUCAAUACCUUCUAAAAUCUCUGGAAACAUCUCAAGAUUGGAGCAGUCAUAAAGAUUAAGGGUUUUGAGAGAUUUCAUACGAAUGCUGCUUGGAAGACUCUUAAGUUCCACGCAAUGUUUUAGGUUCAAAUGACUCAACCCCGUGAGAUUAUUAAUUGACAGGGGCAGUUCUUUAAUUUUGGACCCGGAUAAAUUAAGCUCUUUUAAUCCCUCAAUAACUUCUGAAAUCUCUGGAAACAUCUCAAGAUUGGUGCAGCCAUAAAGCUUAAAGGUUUUGAGAGAUUUCAUACGAAUGCUGCUUGGAAGACUCUUAAGUUCCACGCAAUGUUCUAGGUUCAAAUGACUCAAUCCCGUGAGAUUAUUAAUUGACAGGGGCAAUUCUUUAAUUUUGGACCCAGAUAAAUUAAGCUCUUCUAACUCCUCCAUACCUUUUGAAAUCUCUGGAAACAUCUCAAGACUGGAGCAACCAAAAAGAUUAAAGGUUUUGAGAGAUCUCAUACGAAUCUUGCUGGGUAGACUCUUAAGUUGCUUGCAAUGUUUUAGGUUGAAAUGACUCAACCCCGUGAGAUUAUUAAUUGACGGGGGUAGUUCUUCAAUUUUUGCCCCGGAUAAAUCAAGCUUUUCUAACCCCUCAAUACCUUCUGAAAUCGAUGGAAACAUCUCAAGACUAGAGCAGCCAUAAAGAUUAAAGGUUUUUAGACAUUUCACAUGAAUGCAGCUUGGAAGACUCUUAAGUUCCUCGCAAUGUUUUAGUUUGAAAUGACUCAACCCCGUGAGAUUAUUAAUUGACAGGGGCAGUUCUUUAAUUUUGGACCCGGAUAAAUUAAGCUCCUCUAACUCCUCCAUACCUUCUGAAAUCUCUGGAAACAUCUCAAGACUCGUGCAACCAUAAAGGUUAAAGGUUUUGAGAGAUUUCAUACGAAUGCUGCUUGGAAGACUCUUAAGUUCCUUGCAAAGUAUUAGGUUCAAACGAAUCAACCCCGUGAGAUUAUUAAUUGACGAAGGGAGUUCUUUAAUUUUUGACCCGGAUAAAUCAAGCUCUUCUAACUUCUCCAUACCUUCUAAAAUCUCUGGAAACAUCUCAAGAUUGGAGCAGCCAUAAAGAUUAAAGGUUUUAAGAGAUUUCAUACGAAUGCUGCUUGGAAGACUCUUAAGUUCCUCGCAAUGUUCUAGGUUCAAAUGACUCAAUCCCGUGAGAUUAUUAAUUGACGAGGGCAGUUCUUUAAUUUUUGACCAGGUUAAAUUAAGCUCUUCCAACUUCUCCAUACCUUCUAAAAUCUCUGGAAACAUCUCAAGACUAGAGCAGCCAGAAAGAUUAAAG